GGUCAUCACCUCCACACAUGCACUAGCUCAUAUCCUAGAGGGUUUCCUAAUGAUGAAGACUCUUACAUCUCUCAACACUUAGUGGUAAUCUAAGGUGCACAGUGAACGGUGUGGGUUCAUCCAAAAAUCAUAUCAAGCUAAACAAAGAGAAAACACAUUGGUCACACAAAUAUCCUGAAAUCUAGCUCUAACCUAUACAAGUCUUCAAAGAUUGGACUCCAAUUAGCAUUAAUGUUUCGACCUUCUCCAGAAUGCUCCCAAACAUAGAUAUAGUCCAUCACUAAACCCUACUCCGAAUCACUAGCUCGGUCGAAGAGCAAACAAAGUAAUAAGUCUCAUAUCAAAUACGAGAUCAAGGGGAACACGGUCACCCGAGACUAGGGAAUUGAAGGUAAGGAGAUAGGUGUGUGUCCCACAUAGAAAAUCAACAUGCAUUACACAGAAGAAGAAUAGUCAUGCAAUAGACAACCAAGCAAAGAACAGGUAUAUCAUUCAUAUCUACACACAAGCUAAACAAGAAAUAGGUAUUUAACAAGAAUAAACAAUAUGUUGAGAUAAACAAGAUAAUAUACAAUAAAGAGAAUCAAUCACACCAAUAUGAAUGAGAUAUACAAAAAUGAGAAUAUACAUGUCAAGGAGAGCAAGAUAAUCAUACAACAAGAAGAGUCUUAUGUUAAAGCAAGCAAGAGAAUCAAUCGAUGUAGUCAACAUGUCAAUAUCGCAAAUGAACAUAACAACCAAAUAUGCAUCAUAAAGAAAAAAUGGUAAUCAUGCAGCACGUAGUCAUACAAAACAAAUAUAGACAAACAUAAGCAAAUAAAUGUAAACACACAUGAUAACAAAAAUCAAUGUAUAGUAAGGCACAUGCAAUAUAUACAUAAAAUAAUCAUCAAGUCAACACUCAUAUACCUUAAAACAUGAAAAUAUACAAUAAAGACACAAUGAGAGGGUAUUCACUGAUCGAUUAAUCAAACGCUACAUUUCCUUUAACUCGAGUUCAAGUUUGAUCCUUUAAAUAUCCCUAGUGGAGUCGCUAUUUUGUGGACCCACAUUUUUCAAAUGCGUCCUUACACAACAGCGAGACUCAUUUUUUUUAUUUGGUGAAAAUUUGAUUUUUAGAAAAAAGACUUUGAGUCGUCACUUAUUUUUGUUUUUUUUUAAGGGAAAACAAAACAAGAAAGAAAACCUUGUGUAACUCCUUAUUUGGGAAAGACAUGUAUGCAAAAACCAAAUCUGGUUUCGGGGGUCAAGUUACCUAUUGGGAAUGUACGAUGGUGAGCUGUAGCACCUCUCUAAGCUCAUAUACGUACAGUCUCUACUAAACGAAUUAAGAGAGUUGUAGUAAUUAAUUAAUUAGUCAAGGAUACCAAGAAAAAGAAUCGCACAAAUGAGUACGUACAAAUCAUGAUAAAAAAAAUCAAAUUAUAAGAAUAGACAAAAUAAAUAACAAGAGAAUUGUGCAAAGUGAUUUAUUAAACUAAAUAAAAAAGAAGAUAUUAAAAAAAUUAGUUUUCAAGAAAUUUCAAAGGAUUUUAUUAAAAUGAUUUUGAAUUAAUGAUUUUAAUUUAUUUAUUUACAAAAAAAAAAGUCAAUUUAUUUUCUUCAAGUGAUUUGAUUCAAUUUUUUUUAAAAAAAAAAGUUAUUUACACUCAUGGUUGUUAAAAGAAUUAUUAACAAAAUUUCAAGUUGACAAUAAAAAUGAUUUUUACUUGCUUUUACUCGAAAACAAUGAAUUUUUACAAUUUUAUUAACAAAAGCAUUUCAAUUUAAGAAAAGUGACUUAAACAAAUUAUUAAAAAAAUAUAACUUUAUCUACAAAAGAAUUUUUAAUUAAAAAGAAAAAAUUUAAAUCAUCUAUUUCUAAAAAUGACUUUUAAUCCCAUUUUAAUUAAGGAAAAUUGAGUUAUUUAAAAAAACAUUUUUUGGACAAUUUGAAUAAAAAUUAAUUUUUGGGACAACUUAUUUACAAAACAAUUUUUGGACAAUUAUUAUUAAAAACAAAAUUUCAAAUUCGAUUAAAAACAAUUUUUUGGAUUUUUCCAAACACAUUUUUAUGAAUUUUUAUUAAUAAAAAACUUUUUUUUAUUAAGAAGAAUAUUUUUUGAGCUAUUAUUUUAUUAAAACAUGUUUAUUGAAUUAUUCUUCUUAUUCAAACAAAAUUUUUAAUUUGUUCGAUAUCCAAUUCUGUACACAACAAGUAAAUAUAUACAAACAAAUAUUUAUAGAAAGCAAUAAAAAUAAAACCAAAUAGAAGUGAGAAAUAAAACAUGUACUUAAACAUGCUUACAACAAGCUCAAUGUCUUCUUACGAUUUUUCGAGUCUCACUUUCUUUCAUUAAAUUUUAUGCUCCACGUACCAUAAAUCCGUACUCAACCAAAAAAAUUGCAGAAUUGGCCCAUGCAAAAACAAAAAUAACACAAAUGUAAAUAUCUAAAAAUGUAUAAAGUUCACAAUAGAUAUUCAAGCCCAAAUUCAAAUUUCAAAUUAGUCCAACAAAUUUCGUCAAUCAAAAUAGGUCUAAAUUAGCAAAUAUAGCCCAACAAAAACAUUUCACAUGUCAUAGGCCUUAAUAUAAAAUUUCCAAGUUAAUAACCAAAAUAUAAGUUCAAUUAAUCAGACCCAAAACAUGAUACAUUAAAAUAAAUCUCAUUAGGCAUAAACUUAAUAUCUCAUAAUUCAAGCCUAAUUUAAUAUAUAAACCUAAAUCCACAAUCAAAAUCAACUCACUUUAUGCUAAUCCCAAUUUACAAUCAAAAUCAAACAUAAUUUAAUAAGUAAAUAACUAAAUAAAUUAAGCAAAAUCAAAACUCUCAAACCACUAUUGCACAAUAUCAAACAAUAAUAAAUAUAAUGACAACAACAAUAAUAAUAAAAUAAAAUAAAAAAAUUUAACUCACGUUGGAGCCAGUUUGAGUGUCGUGGGAAAGAAAGAAAAUGAGAGAAAAGUGGGAGAUGAUCGUUAGCUGGUAGUAGCUCGCCCGCGGCGACUGGUCGAUAGUCCUGCUGGCGGUAGUGAGGAUUGAUGAAUUUUUGGGAAAGGAAAAAAAAAGAGGAGUAAUAAAAAAAUGGAGAAAUGAGAGGAAGGUGGGAUAAGAGGGGAGAGAGAGAAUGAAGAAAAUAGGGGAAAAGAAAUGAGGCCGGCCGGAGGAGGAAGUGGUAGUGUGUGUGAGCUAAAGUGAAGAAGAAUGAAAGAAGAAGAAGGAGAAAAAUGGGAAAGAAGGGGAAAAAAAAUUCGAGCCCUCUAAAUGAAGAAAGGUGAGUAGCUUAAAGAAGAAAAUAAAAUAAAAUAAAAAAAGAAAAAAUGAGGAGAAAAUGAGAGGGCCAGUAGUCUUGGGAAUGGGGUGGUAUAGGUGAGAGAGAGUGGGCGAGGUUGUUGGGGAAGGUAUGGGAGAGAGAGGAGAGAUGAAAGAAAGAGAAAAAAAAAACAUAAUAAUAAUAAUAAUAAUAAUAAUCAUAAAUAAUAUAUAAAAUAAUAAAAAUUAAUAUUUAAAUGAUGAGUGUGUCAAAAAUAUUAUAUGUAAUUGGGAUUUAAUUUUAAGAGUAAAAUUGGACUAAAAAUUAAUGUAAAAAUAAAAUUUGAACAAAUUUUAAAAUCUACAAAUACAUUCUUUAAUCUUUCCACAACAUCAAUCUGAUCUAAAUGAAAUGCAAUAAAUUCUAAAAAUGAUACAAUCUUUAAUCAAUCCACAAUAUCAACCCGAUCAAAACUCAAUGCAAUAUUGCUUAAUGGAGAGAAUCGUAAAAUCCUUUUAUGAGAGGAAAACAAAACCCUUAACAGACCUUUAUGAGAGGAAAAUAGGAAAACAUAGAACUAAAAACCCUUAACGUAUUCAUGAGAAUAAAAAAAAUCCUUAACACCUUAAUAAGAGGAAAACAAAGAAUUUGAACAAUCCUUAAUCCAUCAAAAGCUCUUAAUAUGAACGAGGGGAAAACAUAACCUUUAUUUUUCAUAUCGCUGAAUACAGAAUCUAAAGAGAUAGAAUUUUUAGUUAUUAAGGAUUUUUUAUAGAUGUCUAUUGAAAGUUUAAGAACUUUUAUGGAUAAUUGUUAAUUAAGAGACUGAAAGGGUACUUAGGAUUUUCAACUAAAAAAGUUAUAACAAUAUGAAUAGUAAGAACUUAAAAACAUCACCCAUCCAUCAUAGGAAUAUGGAAUGAGAGGUUAUUUUUUUACUUAUACAACAAUAAACUUUUUUGGAAGAGGUUUUUCUAAGUACAAAAAGUUAUGAAUAAAAAACCAUUGUUACGAUGAGUUAACUAAAAUAGAAUUAAUUUAGAAAAUAUCAAUAAAGUUGCAUGAAUUAUUAUCAUGAGUUAACUUAAUAAGAAUAAAUAGUAAUAAAGUUAAUGAAGUGAAUUUGGAUUGGCAGAUAUAUUUGAUGAUAAGAUUUUUUUAAUAAUAAAAAAUUAUUAUGGCAGGAAAAAUAGGACAAAAUUGACCUUAUGAUAAGAUUUUUUUAAUAAUAAAAACAUUAUUAUGGUAUGAAAAAAAGGGACAAAAUUGGCCUUUCCUUAAUUGUACCGGUUAAUGGAAUAAUGGGACAUGCGGUGGUUACAAGCCACCCCAAAAGGUAGGAAGAAUCUCCAACCCCCAUUCUCGGCUCCCUUAUCUUUUCCCUUACAACCAAAAAUCAACAACUAUCUUAGAAUGUCCUUCAGUCCAUCAAAAUUCAACAACAACAAUUAUACAUUACAAUAAUGAAAACAAAAUUGAUUGAUCACCAGCUAACAUUAGGAGAUUAUAAGAUAAGGAUGUAAUUGCAAUUAUUGAAAUCACUUAAAGAGUAAAAAUUAGGAACAUGCUCACAAUAAAUAAAAUCACCUUAGAAUUAAAAAUUAGGGACAUGAUUAUGAUGAUUAAAAUCACUCGAGAACUAAAAUGUUUUAGAGAUACAAUAAUUGAAAUCAACUGAAAAAUAAAUUCGGGAUGUGAUCGCAAUUAAUGUAUAUAUAAACAACCAAAUGUUGAAAGGAAAAACUAAUGAAAUUAAUAUGAUUUUCUUUUAGAUUUCUCUUGACACCAAACAAAUGUAAGGAAGUUUAUAAAGGAAAAUUAGGUUUUGAUUCACUAAAUUAAAAUAAUAUAGAAAAAAGAUCUUCAAAUUUUAUGUAUCAGUUUUAUUUUUAUUUAUUUAAAAAUAUUUUAAAAUACAUAUAUUUUUUCAUAACUCAAAUAGUCAUUCCUCAAAUGCUAGUUUUACUUGUUAUGUUAAUAACACUAGUUAAUAAUUUUGUAUUGUGAGAACGAUUUAAGAUUAAUAAAAUAAGAAAUUUUUAAAACUAAAAAGACAUUUAAAACUUUAAAAUUAAAAAUAUAAAAAUAAAACAAUAAUUUUUCAUUUAGUAAAACACGCAGUAGAAAAUAUAGAUAUAGAGAAAGAGUUGGAAAUAAAAUAAGAGUUAAUAUUUUAUUUUUAAAAUUUUAUGUUUUUUAUUUUAAUUGUAUUUAAUUUUAUGUAUUUUAGUUGUAAUUAUAUUUUUAAUUUUUAAAUUUUUUUAUUUUAUUGUUGAUGUAAAUUUUUGUUCAAUUAUAUAUAUAUAUAUAUAUUUUAAAUUAGUGAGUAAAAACCCACUUUUUCUAAUUUAUAAUAUAUUUAUGGGAUUUUAUAAUAUAAGCAAUUUUUUUUUUUGAGAAAGAGGAAAAAUCAACUUUUCAAUUUCCCUUAAUAAUUAUUAGUAUUAUUAUCCAAUUUGGCUGAUUAUGAGAUUAGUUGGUAUCAUUACUAUAUCCAUUUGUUCUUAACCCUUCAUUAGAAUAGUAUUAGGAGUUGAACGUCAGUUGGAAUACAGGCUUAUGGAAACAAAUCUAUCCGAUUAGUAGGUUCUUAUUAUUUUCAAUAUAGGCCCCAUAAAAUAAAUAGGAGAUGGGCAGCCCGUCCCUUUGUCUGGAGGCCAUCCUCCCAACUUAUUAAAGGUGAUAUGAGAUAAGAUAGUGACAAAAUUAUCGGUUACUUCCCGACACCUGGCUCUCCACAAGCAAACCCAGUGAUCCAGAAAUUAAUUGGUACCUGGACACGUGACUACCAAACGUUCGCUCACCUACCAUACCCAUGGCCUCAUGCCCCAUAUAUUUCCACAAACCUAGCUCAAUUUUCAUAGCCACCUUCACUAUCCUACACUCACUAAGCCAUGGCCAUAGAUACAAGCCUCUUGAUUGAGCUUGCUGCAGCAACUCUACUCUUCUUCAUCACCCGCUUCUUCAUUCGUUCUCUCCUUCCCAAAUCUUCCUGGAAGCUCCCUCCUGGCCCCAAAGGGUGGCCGCUCGUCGGCGCUCUUCCUCUUCUAGGUAACAUGCCUCAUGUUGCAUUAGCAAAGAUGGCCAAAAGAUACGGGCCUGUCAUGUUCUUGAAAAUGGGCACUAACAGCAUGAUGGUGGCCUCAUAUUAAGGAAAUUAUAUGUUAGUUAUUGUAUGAUUAUCUUGACAUAAUUAGCUGAUUGUAUAGGAGCAUAAUUAGCCUUAUAUUACUGAUUCUGUAGCUAUAAUUUAGGAGAAGAUUAGAUCAAACAUGUGUAUAUAUAUACUACAUUCUAUUAAUGAGAAAAGUAUCCAAUUUGAAGCCAAUCUCUUUAUUCUUGUUAUGGUAUCAGAGCAAGAACAAAAAACCACCAUGGCUGGCAGUCAGAAGGCUUCUGGAUCAGAAAACAAGACCAUCGAUCCUUCACAUCCUCUCUAUAUUCAUCAUUCAGAUCAACCAGGCCAUGUUUUGGUGCCCAUCAAAUUAAAUGGGGUCAACUAUCAAUCAUGGAGCAAAGCAGUUAUUCAUGCCCUUACUGCCAAGAAGAAGAUCGGCUUCGUCGACGGGACAGUUGAAGAACCAUCGCAGGAAGAUGAACCCUUUAUGUUUGAACAGUGGAAUCAAUGCAACAGCAUGAUACUUUCUUGGCUAACUCAUGCUGUUGAAUCGGACAUUGCUGAAGGAAUUAUCCAUGCUAAAAUAGCACGCGAAGUGUGGGUUGAUUUGCGCGACCAGUUUUCUCAAAAGAAUGCUCCAGCGGUUUUUCAAAUAUAGAAAUCAAUCGCCACCAUGUCGCAAGGAACGAUGACAGUAGCUGCAUAUUUUACAAAGAUCAAAGCCUUAUGGGACGAGCUUGAGACAUACCGUUCCCCGCUGACCUGCAACCAACGGCAAGCACAUCUCGAGCAAAGGGAGGAAGACCGUCUUAUGCAAUUUCUAAUGGGUUUGAAUGAGUCAUAUAAGGUAGUGAGAUCCAAUAUUUUGAUGAUGUCGCCAUUGCCCAAUGUCUGUCAAGCAUACUCUUUAAUUGUCCAGGAAGAGAUGCAACGACAAGUUUCUUCUGAGCCAACCGAGAAUUUCUCAAUAGCUGCCGCAGUCCCUGGAAAAGGAGGUAAUCCAAGACAAAAAUUGUGUGACCAUUGUAACAGAUCCGGACAUACCAUAGAUGAAUGUCGGACUCUUAAAUUUCACUGUAAGUUCUGUGAUAAAAGAGGUCACACGGAGGAUAGAUGCCGACUGAAAAAUGGGAGCAAUAACAAAACGGGACAAUUCCGAGGACAAUGUCCUUUUGGUCGUGGGAAUCAGCCCUUAGCAAACGCGACAGAAUCCCAGGAAAUGUCUGAUUCGACUUCUUCUAGUACAGUCCAGGGGUUCACUACAGAACAAAUACAACAGUUGGCUCAAGCAAUUUCAUGCAUUAAAUCACAGUAAUUCCGGUAAUAUUGACGCAUAUGCAAAUGCUGCAGGUUUGAUUCCAUCAACUCUUGUGUCUGUUAAUUCUAGUAGUACAAGUUCUUGGAUUUUGGAUACAGGUGCCACGGAUCACAUCGUUUCCCACAUGUCUCUUUUCACUGAUCUCAAACCUUCUAAUGUCACAACUGUUAAUUUACCAAAUGGUGCAGCAUCACCAAUAACACACACUGGCACCGUUAUUUUUGAUUCCCAAUUGACCCUUAAAGAUGUUUUAUGUGUCCCAUCCUUUAACUUGAAUUUAAUUUCGGCUAGCAAACUCGCAAAAGAUCAGAAUUGCUGCAUCAUAUUCUUUCCUGACUAUUGUAUUUUGCAGGACUUGGUUUCGGGGAAGAUGAUUGGCUCGGGUAAACAGCGUGGUGGUCUAUACUACAUGCAUCCAUCAACAAAUAAAUCGGUUGUCUUUCAUGUUUCUCAACCGUCUGACUUAUGGCAUUUACGCCUGGGUCAUCCCUCUUUUUCUCGUUUUAAAUUAUUAUCACAUUUGCUUCCAGAUAUUCAUAAAGAAUUAGGAAAUCAUUGUCCAAUUUGCCCACAGGCUAAGCAGACACGCUUGCCCUUUCCCAAAAGUUCAAUAACUACAAAAUUUCCUUUUUCUCUUUUACAUUNNNNNNNNNNNNNNNNNNNNNNNNNNNNNNNNNNNNNNNNNNNNNNNNNNNNNNNNNNNNNNNNNNNNNNNNNNNNNNNNNNNNNNNNNNNNNNNNNNNNNNNNNNNNNNNNNNNNNNNNNNNNNNNNNNNNNNNNNNNNNNNNNNNNNNNNNNNNNNNNNNNNNNNNNNNNNNNNNNNNNNNNNNNNNNNNNNNNNNNNNNNNNNNNNNNNNNNNNNNNNNNNNNNNNNNNNNNNNNNNNNNNNNNNNNNNNNNNNNNNNNNNNNNNNNNNNNNNNNNNNNNNNNNNNNNNNNNNNNNNNNNNNNNNNNNNNNNNNNNNNNNNNNNNNNNNNNNNNNNNNNNNNNNNNNNNNNNNNNNNNNNNNNNNNNNNNNNNNNNNNNNNNNNNNNNNNNNNNNNNNNNNNNNNNNNNNNNNNNNNNNNNNNNNNNNNNNNNNNNNNNNNNNNNNNNNNNNNNNNNNNNNNNNNNNNNNNNNNNNNNNNNNNNNNNNNNNNNNNNNNNNNNNNNNNNNNNNNNNNNNNNNNNNNNNNNNNNNNNNNNNNNNNNNNNNNNNNNNNNNNNNNNNNNNNNNNNNNNNNNNNNNNNNNNNNNNNNNNNNNNNNNNNNNNNNNNNNNNNNNNNNNNNNNNNNNNNNNNNNNNNNNNNNNNNNNNNNNNNNNNNNNNNNNNNNNNNNNNNNNNNNNNNNNNNNNNNNNNNNNNNNNNNNNNNNNNNNNNNNNNNNNNNNNNNNNNNNNNNNNNNNNNNNNNNNNNNNNNNNNNNNNNNNNNNNNNNNNNNNNNNNNNNNNNNNNNNNNNNNNNNNNNNNNNNNNNNNNNNNNNNNNNNNNNNNNNNNNNNNNNNNNNNNNNNNNNNNNNNNNNNNNNNNNNNNNNNNNNNNNNNNNNNNNNNNNNNNNNNNNNNNNNNNNNNNNNNNNNNNNNNNNNNNNNNNNNNNNNNNNNNNNNNNNNNNNNNNNNNNNNNNNNNNNNNNNNNNNNNNNNNNNNNNNNNNNNNNNNNNNNNNNNNNNNNNNNNNNNNNNNNNNNNNNNNNNNNNNNNNNNNNNNNNNNNNNNNNNNNNNNNNNNNNNNNNNNNNNNNNNNNNNNNNNNNNNNNNNNNNNNNNNNNNNNNNNNNNNNNNNNNNNNNNNNNNNNNNNNNNNNNNNNNNNNNNNNNNNNNNNNNNNNNNNNNNNNNNNNNNNNNNNNNNNNNNNNNNNNNNNNNNNNNNNNNNNNNNNNNNNNNNNNNNNNNNNNNNNNNNNNNNNNNNNNNNNNNNNNNNNNNNNNNNNNNNNNNNNNNNNNNNNNNNNNNNNNNNNNNNNNNNNNNNNNNNNNNNNNNNNNNNNNNNNNNNNNNNNNNNNNNNNNNNNNNNNNNNNNNNNNNNNNNNNNNNNNNNNNNNNNNNNNNNNNNNNNNNNNNNNNNNNNNNNNNNNNNNNNNNNNNNNNNNNNNNNNNNNNNNNNNNNNNNNNNNNNNNNNNNNNNNNNNNNNNNNNNNNNNNNNNNNNNNNNNNNNNNNNNNNNNNNNNNNNNNNNNNNNNNNNNNNNNNNNNNNNNNNNNNNNNNNNNNNNNNNNNNNNNNNNNNNNNNNNNNNNNNNNNNNNNNNNNNNNNNNNNNNNNNNNNNNNNNNNNNNNNNNNNNNNNNNNNNNNNNNNNNNNNNNNNNNNNNNNNNNNNNNNNNNNNNNNNNNNNNNNNNNNNNNNNNNNNNNNNNNNNNNNNNNNNNNNNNNNNNNNNNNNNNNNNNNNNNNNNNNNNNNNNNNNNNNNNNNNNNNNNNNNNNNNNNNNNNNNNNNNNNNNNNNNNNNNNNNNNNNNNNNNNNNNNNNNNNNNNNNNNNNNNNNNNNNNNNNNNNNNNNNNNNNNNNNNNNNNNNNNNNNNNNNNNNNNNNNNNNNNNNNNNNNNNNNNNNNNNNNNNNNNNNNNNNNNNNNNNNNNNNNNNNNNNNNNNNNNNNNNNNNNNNNNNNNNNNNNNNNNNNNNNNNNNNNNNNNNNNNNNNNNNNNNNNNNNNNNNNNNNNNNNNNNNNNNNNNNNNNNNNNNNNNNNNNNNNNNNNNNNNNNNNNNNNNNNNNNNNNNNNNNNNNNNNNNNNNNNNNNNNNNNNNNNNNNNNNNNNNNNNNNNNNNNNNNNNNNNNNNNNNNNNNNNNNNNNNNNNNNNNNNNNNNNNNNNNNNNNNNNNNNNNNNNNNNNNNNNNNNNNNNNNNNNNNNNNNNNNNNNNNNNNNNNNNNNNNNNNNNNNNNNNNNNNNNNNNNNNNNNNNNNNNNNNNNNNNNNNNNNNNNNNNNNNNNNUUUUCGUUUUUCACCCCAUCACCGUGCUUUUUUAGCUCUUUUGACAGCCCAAACCGAACCUUCAUCCUUUGAACAAGCUGACUGUGAUCCACGUUGGCGCCAAGCCAUGUCCACCGAACUUCAGGCUCUAGAACGAAACAACACUUGGGAGAUGGUCCCUCUUCCUCCGGGACACAAACCCAUUGGCUGCCGCUGGGUGUACAAGAUCAAAUACCAUUCUGACGGAACCAUUGAACGCUAUAAAGCCCGUUUGGUUGCCAAGGGCUACACACAGGUCGCCGGUAUCGACUAUCAGGAAACCUUUUCUCCAACUGCCAAACUCACCACUCUUCGCUGUUUGCUGACUGUCGCAGCUUCCAGAAAUUGGUACAUCCAUCAGCUUGAUGUGCACAACGCAUUCCUUCAUGGCAAUUUACAAGAAGAGGUUUAUAUGACUCCACCUCCUGGUCUUCGCCGAUAGGGGGAGAAUCUGGUAAGUCGGCUUCGCAAAUCUAUUUACGGUUUGAAACAGGCAUCACGCAAUUGGUUCUCAACUUUUACAGCUACUGUUAAGUCUGCGGGUUACAUACAGUCCAAAGCAGAUUAUUCACUUUUUACUAAAUCCCAAGGUAACAAGUUCAUUGCUAUUCUCAUUUAUGUUGAUGAUAUCCUGUUGACUGGUAAUGAUUUGCAUGAAAUCAAGAUGCUCAAGACUCAUCUGCUCAAGCAUUUUUUUAUUAAAGACCUCGGUGAAUUGAAAUAUUUUUUGGGUAUAGAAUUCUCUCGCUCUAAAAAGGGAAUCUUUAUGUCUUAAAGAAAAUAUGCAUUAGAUAUUUUGCAAGACACAGGAUUGACAGGAGUGAAGCCCGAAAAAUUUCCGAUGGAGCAAAACUUGAAAUUGACUGAUGAAGAUGGCGAGUUACUUCAUGAUCCAAGUAGGUAUCGGAGACUGGUUGGCAGAUUAAUAUACUUGACUGUAACCAGGCCUGACAUAGUGUAUUCAGUACGUACACUAAGUCAAUUCAUGAACACACCUCGGAAGCCGCACUGGGAAGCAGCAUUACGAGUCCUCCGAUAUAUUAAAGGGUCACCAGGUCAAGGUCUUUUUCUUCCAUCUGAAAAUAAUUUAACACUCAGCGCAUUUUGCGAUUCAGAUUGGGGAGGAUGUCGUAUGUCAAGACGUUCCGUUUCUGGUUAUUGUGUUUUCCUCGGAUCAUCACUCAUCUCUUGGAAAUAAAAAAAACAAACGAAUGUUUCACGUUCGUCAGCAGAAGCAGAGUACAGAGCAAUGGCGAAUACUUGCCUGGAAUUGACUUGGUUGAGGUACAUACUUAAAGAUUUGAAGGUUGAAUUGGACAAACCAGCACCAUUGUUUUGUGAUAAUCAAGCAGCUGUAUAUAUUGCAGCUAACCCAGUUUUUCACGAAUGUACUAAACACAUUGAGAUUGAUUGUCAUAUAGUUCGAGAAAAACUUCAAGCUGGGGUAAUUCGUCCGUGUUAUGUUUCUACAAAGAUGCAGUUGGCGGACGUUUUUACAAAGGCACUUGGCAGGGAGCAGUUCGAAUUUUUGUGCACCAAGUUGGGAGUUCUUGAUUUGCACUCUCCAACUUGAGGGGGAGUAUUAAGGAAAUUAUAUGUUAGUUAUUGUAUGAUUAUCUUGACAUAAUUAGCUGAUUGUAUAGGAGCAUAAUUAGCCUUAUAUUACUGAUUCUGUAGCUAUAAUUUAGGAGAAGAUUAGAUCAAACAUGUGUAUAUAUAUACUACAUUCUGUUAAUGAGAAAAGUAUCCAAUUUGAAGCCAAUCUCUUUAUUCUUGUUACCUCAACUCCCGGGGCGGCUCGGGCUUUCCUUAAAACGCUAGACAUUAAUUUCUCUAACCGCCCGCCUAAUGCCGGUGCCUCACUCUUGGCCUAUCAUGCCCAAGACAUGGUUUUUGCGGAUUAUGGGGCAAGGUGGAAGCUACUGAGAAAGCUAAGCAACUUACACAUGCUUGGUGGGAAGGCUCUUGAGGACUGGUCUCAGGUCCGAGCUGUUGAGCUAGGCCACAUGCUUCGAGCCAUGCUUGAGUUGAGCCAGCGAGCGGAGCCGGUGGUGGUGCCGGAGAUGUUAACUUUUUCCAUGGCCAACAUGAUAGGUCAAGUGAUUCUAAGCCGCCGGGUGUUUGAAACAAAAGGGUCGGAGUCAAAUGAGUUCAAGGACAUGGUGGUGGAGCUCAUGACCACUGCUGGGUACUUCAAUAUUGGCGAUUUUAUUCCGUCCAUCGCAUGGCUGGACAUCCAAGGGAUCCAGCACGGGAUGAAGCAUUUACAUAGGAAGUUCGAUCGGUUAUUAACAAAGAUGAUGGAGGAGCACACGGCGUCAGCCCAUGAGCGGAAGGGAAACCCAGAUUUUCUGGACGUGAUCAUGGCAAACCAAGAAAAUUCUACAGGGGAGAAGCUCACUAUUACCAACAUUAAAGCACUCCUCCUGGUAUGCAUAGUUAAAGCUCGUCUUUAAUUUUGUUUUCCGAUAUUUUCUUUCCUGAAACAGCACUUUUAUUGCUUUUAGAUAUGUACGUUUUUAUCAGGUAGCCAUUUUAGGGGCACAUCACUGUUCUUUAUUUGGAUUUUUUUUGUCUUUUUCCACUUGCAUGGUUGUUUUCAUAUGCUCAGCUGCAUGGCACAGGAAAAUUGUGAAAAAUGAUUGGUUCUCUGAUCAGACCUUCUGCACCAAAACAUAAUUCUCUCUAUUUUAUAAAAUCAAGAACAUUUAUGGUUUACAUGAUUUUUCGAACUUGAACUUUUGCUAGUGCUAAUGCAUGGAUCUCAAUUUUUCAAUUGCGUUUGAUUAUAUAAAUUUCAAGUAUGUGAACAUAUUUUUGUUUCCUUGGCUAGAAUUUAUUUACUGCAGGAACAGACACUUCAUCGAGCGUAAUCGAGUGGUCUCUGGCUGAGAUGUUGAAAAACCCGAGCAUCCUCAAGCGUGCUCACGAAGAAAUGGAUCAAGUGAUUGGAAGGAGCCGGCGGCUCGUGGAGUCUGACUUGCCAAAACUUCCAUACCUACAAGCCAUAUGCAAGGAAAGCUUCCGGAAGCACCCAUCCACCCCAUUGAACCUUCCUCGUGUCUCAACCCAAGCAUGCGAAGUGAACGGCUACUACAUCCCAGAGAACACUAGACUUAGCGUGAACAUAUGGGCAAUUGGGCGAGACCCUGAUGUCUGGGAAAGCCCGGAAGAAUUCAGGCCAGAAAGGUUUUUAAGUGGAAGAAAUGAAAAAAUUGAUCCUCGUGGAAAUGAUUUUGAGUUGAUCCCGUUUGGGGCUGGACGAAGGAUUUGCGCUGGCACUAGAAUGGGAAUAGUGCUGGUUGAGUACAUUUUAGGGACGUUGGUACAUUCAUUUGACUGGAAAAUGCCGGAUGGAGUUGAGAUCAACAUGGACGAAGCUUUCGGGCUUGCACUGCAGAAGGCAGUUUCUCUUUCGGCCAUGGUGACACCAAGGCUUCACCAGAGUGCGUAUGCAGUCUGAGCUCAAACCGCUCAGACCAAAACCCAGGCCUCGCUGCUAUAUGGCAUGGAUGCAGUUAAGUAGAAAAUAUUUUGGGAUGCCUGUGGCUUAGUAUAAGAUGUAUUAGCUCAAAGAUGGUCGUUUCAUUCUACCACCAAGCCAUAUGCAUCUAUGCAUAAUCUAUUGAUUUAGGCUCGAUUUGGUUAUAGUUUUUGUUUUUUUGUCUUCCAAAUCAGUAAAUAGUAGGGGUAUUUUUGUCCUAUGUAGUGAUUCUUUUUGUUUGAUUGAUUAUAUUUGGAUCCUUCAAAUAUUCCUACACAACUAUUAACCUCCUUCAAAAAUAUAUAGUUAAGGGCCUUGGUCAGAGCCAUCUCCAUCUUUUCACUUCUUGUGCUGCAGUAUGGGAUUGGCUUAGAUGAUCGUUAGUCUAAUGUUUCCUUUUCAACAUCAUAAUUCAGCGCAAACUAAGUUGAAUAUUCAACAACAAAUAAGUACAGAAAAUAAUGGAAGAAAAAUUCCCACUUUAUCUCCGUAAAGUAAUGCCAUAUUUUUCUUCAUACUUACCUUCUAGAUUUUUGUUGGAGCUCUGAGCCCGUGAUCCAUUAGAUGAUUGCGUGUGUGCAUAUGCAUGUGGGUGAUUGCGUGUAAUACGUACGUACGUUCCAUGAUUCAUGUUCGAAGUACCCUCUCUUAUUUAUCGUUGAAGAGGCUAUCGUCACAAACUCUAUUGAUUAAUUAGUCUAGGCAAAUUAAGGCGCGAUAACGACCGAUGUAUAUCUUAAAAGUAACGAUUAAGAGAAUAUUAUAUGUACAAGGGAAAAAUCUACAUAUAAUUAUUGAUGCAACUUGCAAGUGGGAUAAAAUUUGGGAUGGGGAUUAUUAUAAAUUAAUCUCAAUCCAUAAUUGUGAUUGUGGAGUAUAAAUUAAAUGAUUCAUAAUCCAUCUACAUGAAGAUUAAAACCCAUAUUGAAAAUAGCUUUAAAAAACUAAUUUAUAAGAAUAAUUUUUGCAUCAUAUUUUGUGUGCUUGAACUCGUUUCCUAUAUUUUUAAAUAUAUAUUAAAUAUAAUUUUCUUUUAUUUAUAGUGUUUUAUUUUUAAUUAUUCUUCAUAUUUAUAUAAUUAUUUUUUAAAACAAUCAUGAUAAAAAGCAAAAAGAAGUGAAAAUAGCUUAAUAUAAUUAAAGACAAAUAUCUUAUUUUUUGUUAUCUGUUGUUAUUGUUUUUUCUUUUUGUUAACCCCCUUCAAAUCUAAUUAUUCAUACUCAAUUUUGACACGAAAGAGCCAUUGUCAUGAAAGGGGGAGGUCCAUCAUUUUGGUACGAUGCCAACUCUACCACAUAACCACCAUUUAGAUAUCUAUCCUUUUAUUUUUGGCAUGUGAACUUAUAGUGGGUGGCUGACCUUGAAUCCACUAGUUAUCAUGUUGAAAUUAACCACCAUUUAGAUAUCUAUCCUUUUAUUUUUGGCAUGUGAACUUACAGUAAGUCCGAUUUAUGUCCAAGGGUCAAAUUUAAAUCUCUCUUCAAUCUAAUGGCUAAGAACUUCCCAACUUUAUUUAAUACUUAAUGUAUCCAAUAAUUGUAAUCGAGUAAUCCAAUGACAAGUACCUUCAAUGACUAUUUUGGCAAAAGAAAAAAGAAAAAAAGAAAUAAUAUAAGUUUGUUAUUUUAUGAUAUAAUAAAUUUAUUAAUACUUUCCUUUUUCAAAAUAUGUAAUUAGUUGUAAUUUCAUUAUAUAAUAUAUAAAUUAAGUUAUUUGCAAUUUUAAAAUAUGUUCAUUUUGUUUUUUUUUAAGUGUUAAUUAAAAAUUAUACAAUUUUGUUUUAUAAAAAGUAUUUAGUACUUUUAAUUUUAUAAAUUACAAACAUUAAUUAUACUAUUUUCUUAAAAUAUUUAGUUUAGUAUGCAUAUUAUUAGUUGUUUUCUCAUAUCUCAAGUUUCAAUCAAAAAAAUAUUUAUGAUUUGUUUUUGUUAAUUUGUGUCUUGUUUUCAAUUUAAUUAAUGAAAAGUUAUUUGAUCAAAAGGUUCAUUACAAACCAAUUUUAAAAAUUUAAUCCUUUAUUAUAUUUUGAUAUUGUUUUGAUAAAAAUGUCUUUAUUAUUUUUUAAAUAUAUUGUAAAUAUUUAAAAUAAUUAAAAAUAUUUAGAUCAAAAAUCGAUUAUUUUUCAAACAAAAAUAUGAAAGUGAUAAAUUUGCAAAUGUGGGGAAUAUUUAAUCCUUUUAAUCGAUUAUUUCAUUAAUGAAGUGGGUAUAAUGAUGAACGCAGACUUGGUUUUACUAGGGCAUGCAGAGGUUUUGCAAGAGAGAGAGAUCAUUUCUCGACUCUGAGAAAUCAAUCUCCUUUUGGCCCGGUGGCGGACUCCAAGUAAAGCCUUGAAGGAGCCUUGCUAACAUCCCUGCACACCCACGCCUUCCAGUACUGAAGGAAAUGAAGCGAAGGUUUGGCUCGUUCAACUCCACUGCUUGAACUGUACUAGCAUUCAGAUGCCGCUCUGGAUUGAAAUUUAGCGGUUCUUCCCAGAUUCUAGGGUUCCGGCCCAGCCCCAGACGGCUCAGAAGGACAUGACUGCCUUUGGGGAUAGAGUACCCAGCAACACUAGUCGGAUUCCUGAACUCGUCUAUCCUUUCCAACCACUCCAUCAAUUUCUUCACUGCUUUGCUCAAAAUCCCUGGUUGCUUGAUCAUUGCCUACUCAAUUGCAUUUGAUGGACUAUCGAAGCCUGCAAGCAUCAACUCCUGCAAAUUAUGGAAGGAUCAUAAUCUCAUGAUUGAUCAAGUUAUUUGCUGGCUAGGAAAUGAUCAUCAUGCAAUGUAGAUCAAAAGGUAAGCACAACACUACUACAAAAAUAAUUUAUGGUGUCAUUUUUAAAAUAAUGACACCAUAGGGUUUAUAAUUAAUAAAGGUGAUACAUCAUAUGAAAAUUCUUCAAUUGAGGUAGUUAGAUUAUGUUAGUUUUAUAUUUAUAGUGUCAUUUUUUGGGAAGUAACAUCAUAUAAAAUAAUUUUUUUUUAAGUAUUAUAACUUAAUGAGCCCACUUUUAUAAUUAAUAAUGAGGGAUAAUGUAUAAAAAGCCCAUUGUUUCCACAUGCCACCCACAAUCCAAAAAAUCUCAGUAUACAAACCUUAUAUAUAAAACCAUAAUCUUCUUCUACCUUUUCUCUUACCUAUAGUCAACACACUUAUAACCGACAUUUUCCACUUUGUGGACUCCCAAGUUAUCCAAAUUCUCUUAGAUCUAUCCUAUUUUUUUUCUUUUAUUAAUAUCAUUAUAUUGAUUGUUUCAGCAUCUUUGUAUUAUGGUUUUUGUGAACUGCAUUUUCUUGAGUUGUAGGGAAGAAAAACUUAGGUUUAAACUUCUAGCAUAGACAAAGAAACUUGUAGAUUAAUUGAUUUUUUAAUAUGAACCAAACACAUGACCGACUUUUUCUGUGUGUAAUAAGGACAGCUAGUAUUCAUGCAUAAAAUCAGCAUCAGAAUUCGUAACUGCAUUUGAUCAGCUAGUUUAGUAAAUCUGUACAACUCAUUCUUUCCUUUAUUUUCACAUAUGUUGUUAUACGUUAGCACAAGUUUAGGAGUAAUUUUAGUUUCUCAAAUCUGUAUUUAUACCUCUUCUUCUAAUAAGAAUUGUGUGAAUCAUUUUGUCUAAACCUCUUUAUGGUAUCAGAGCACACCUCAAAACUCCAACAAGUAUUUCCUGUCUUUCUCGCUUCUGCUAUGGCCACUUCUUCCUCUGAUAGUUUUCCAAUAGCCAUCAAUGCCACCCAGCAAAUUACUGCACGUCUUACACCAACCAACUUCCCUUCAUGGCAUGCUCAAUUUGAGUCUCUCCUCCUCGGCUAUAACCUCUUUGGCUAUGUCGAUGGCACUCAUACCUGCCCACCCCUACCGAUGUCAACUAAUGCAGCUGCCACUACAGCUCAUCACCUUUGGUUCCAUCAGGACAAACUUAUUCUAAGUGCAAUUUUGACUUCAGUGUCCCUAGCUGUGAUACCACUCAUAGCAACCUCCCAAACGUCAUAUCAAACCUGGACAAAACUGACAAAACUGUAUGCUAGUCGAUCCAGGACUCGUGUCAUGCAGCUCAAAGAGGAUCUCACCCUCAUGCAAUGUGGCAAUCGCAGCAUUACAAAGUACCUACACUCUGUAAAAACCAUUGUCGAUGAGCUUGCUCUCAUCGAUGCCCCAUUAUCUCAAGAUGACAUCACCCUAUAUGUUCUUCAUGGCUUAGGAUCAAAUUUUCGUGACAUUGUUGCCCCGAUUCGAGCCCGAGAGUCUUCACUCUCAUUGUUGCAAAAUACUGUCCGAAAUUGAAACCCUCUGAAGCCACUGUGAACUGCACAACUACUACUUCCAGUCCCGACAAACGUUGGCUCAUUGAUUCUAUGGCUUCCCAUAAUAUCACUUCUCAGGUUUCAAAUUUACAAUUUCACUCUGAAUAUGAUGGUACUGAUGAAGUUAUUAUUGGAGAUGGAUCAGGUUUGCCCAUUACUCAUUCUGGUUCUCUUACUCUUUCAUUUCCAAACAGAAAAUUUCAAGUUGAAGAUACUCUAUGUGUUCCUACCAUUAACAAAAACUUGAUAUCUGUUCACCACUACACAAAGCAAAACAAUGUUAUCCUGGAAUUUCACCCAACUUAUUUUCUUGCGAAGGAUUGGAGAACGGGGGAGAUUCUUCUUCAAGGACCGUGUGAAAAUGGAGUCUACCCUCUGGCCUCAUCGCCUGCUGCUACUCCAAUUGCUUUUGUCCAUGAACGCACAUCAGCAGCUGGUUGGCAUCAUCGCCUUGGUCAUCGAUCAUUCAAAGUUGUCACUCGCCUCAUUAGUUCUUUCUCCCUUCCCACCACUUCAUGUCUUUCUGGUUCUAAUAAUUGUCAUUCGUGUUCUAUCAAUAAAGCUCAUCAGUUACCCUUUCAUAAACACGGUCUAACUAGCACAACACCAUUUGAUUUACUUUACACUGAUGUAUGGGGACCUUCUCCCACUCCUAGUCUCAAUGGCCACAGAUAUUAUGUUAUUUUUGUUGAUCACUUUACCAAAUAUGGUUGGUUCUUUCCAUUGCAUCAAAAAUCAGAUGUUAAAACCAUAUUUCCUCAUUUCUACAAAAUGAUUGAAACUCGUUUUAACAUAAAAAUUAAAGGAGUUUAUUCCGAUAAUGGGGGCGAGUUCACUGUUCUUCGACCCUUUUUCACAACCCAUGGCAUUAGUCAUUAUACGACAGCCCCUUAUACACCCCAACAAAAUGGAGUGUCUGAGCGUCGUCAUCUCCAUAUUGUGGAGACAGGUCAAACCCUUCUAAGUCAUGCCUCUCUUCCAUCAGAAUAUUAGGCUUAUGCUUUUGCAACAGCCACAUAUCUAAUCAAUCGACUUCCAUCACCUGUUCUUCAUCAUAUAUCACCUCUUCAAGCAACAACCUCGGUAUGAAAAAUUACGUUCCUUUGGAUGUCUUUGCUUUCCCUUGAUGAAGCCGUAUAACACAAACAAAUUUCAAAAGAAAUCCGUUCCUUGUAUCUUUGUUGGCUACUCUACUAGCCAAAGUGCAUAUCUAUGUCUUCAUCUACAAAGUCAGCGCAUAUACACCUCCAAACACGUAACCUUUGAUGAAUCUGUUUACCCCUUCAAACAGGUUUCCAUGCAAUCACCCACUGACUCAUCCCCAUCAGAAACCUCUUCUUUUUCAGGACCAAUUUUGCAGCUUGCUUCCAGGGAGCUUCCAACAAUCACACGGGCUCAAGGAGAUAUCCCCUCUGCUUCUUCGACUCCAAGUGAAGAUCCAGCUCUUGUGCAACCUCAAGAGGCACCACUUUCCACUUUAGAUCAGGUAACUCUUAGACCUUCUACUUCUGUUUCUCAACCAGAAAAUUCAAUGCCAUCCUCUCCACCACCAUGUCCACGAACCAUCAUCACUCGCUCCAUGAACAAUAUCUUUCGGCCAAAACAACUCCACACCACCACCAAGCACCCCUUACCUGAACCACCCGAACCAAGUUGUGUAAGUCAAGCUCUUAAAGACCCUCACUGGUGCAAGGCUAUGUCAGAAGAAGUGACAACCCUCCUUUAACAUGGGACGUGAGAACUGGUUCCUCCCACUCCUGGCCAGAAUCUUGUUGGGUGUAAAUUUGUGUUUCGGAAGAAACGAAAUCCAGAUGGAACAAUCAGUCGAUAUAAAGCUCGACUUGUCGCUAAAGGAUUUCAUCAACGGCCAGGUAUUGACUACUCUCAAACCUUCAGCCCUGUCGUAAAGCCAGUAACAAUUAGGCUUCUUUUAACCAUUGCUGUCAUGCAUGGCUAGCCCCUUCGUCAGUUAGACAUCAAUAAUGCAUUCUUGCAUGGUAAUCUUGAAGAAACAGUCUUCAUGCAUCAACCUACAGGAUUUGAAGAUCCAUCUCAACCUCAGUAUGUUUGCAAGCUAAAAUAGAGUAUCUAUGGUCUUAAACAAGCCCCAUGACAGUGGUACAAGGCCCUUCGGGAUGCACUUCUCAGCUUUGGUUUUAUUCACUCGGCCACUGACAACUCUUUGUUUAUCUAUAAGUCUCAUGAUAUCUUGUGCUACUGCCUUGUUUAUGUUGAUGACAUAAUUGUCACAAGCAACACACUCAGCUUUGUGAAUAACAUUAUAAACAAGCUUGGCUCUACAUUCUUAGUCAAAGAUAUGGGCUCCUUGCAUUAUUUCUUGGGAAUAGAAGUGAUUCCAAUGCCACAGGGGCUCUUUCUAUCUCAACAUCAGUAUAUAUGGGAUCUCCUUUCACGAACCUCCAUGGAAAAUGCUAAAGAAACACUCACUCCAAUGUCCACUACAGCCAAGCUUACGGUUCAAGAUAAUUUUGAAUGUGUUGACAGCACUGAGUAUCGCAAGAUCAUUGGAGCACUUCAGUAUUUGGGACUCACUCGUCCCGAUAUUGCCUUUGCAGUCAACAGAUUAUCUCAGUUCAUGUAGAAGCCGACAACAAACCAUUGGGCCGCAGCAAAAAGACUACUCAGCUAUCUUAAACAGACCAUGUUUCAUGGUAUCCUUCUCCAAAAUCAUGAUCAAUUCCAACUCAAGACCUAUAGUGAUGUGAAGUGGGCAUUAAAUACGGACACUCGUGUUUCAACCACUACUUUCAUCACAUUCAUUGGUCCUAAUCCAAUCUCAUGGUCUGCACGCAAGCAAAUGGCAGUCUCAAGAUCAUCUAUAGAAGCAGAGUUUCGGGCACUAGCUACUGCCACACAGAAACAGUUUGGCUUCAUUCUCUUAUCAAGGAACUUGGUCUCACUCUCAGAGAAGCACCUCAAAUGUUUUGUGAUAAUAUUGGUGCCAACCAUUUCAGUUUAAAUCCAGUCCAGCACAGACGGAUGAAACACAUUGAAAUUGAUCUCCUCUUUGUACGAGAUCUUGUCAAAAAGGGAACUAUUCGUGUUCAGCACAUCCAUACCAUUGAUCAACUAGCUAAUCUCCUUACAAAAUCACUCUCACAUCAACGCUUUCAACUAUUAAGAUCCAAGAUUGGUGUUGCAGAUGGCACCUCCAUCUUGAGGGGGCAUAUAAGGACAGCUAGUAUUCAUGCAGAAAAUCAGCAUCAGAAUUCGUAACUGCAUUUGAUCAGCUAGUUUAGGAAAUCUGUACAACUCAUUCUUUCCUUUAUUUUCACAUAUGUUGUUAUACGUUAGCACAAGUUUAGGAGUAAUUUUAGUUUCUCAAAUCUGUAUUUAUACCUCUUCUUCUAAUAAGAAUUGCGUGAAUCAUUUUGUCUAAACCUCUUUAUAUUUAUGUGAGAAUGACAGGUACAAAAUUUUGUUGAGAUAUACUGCCCCAUAAUCUUCAUCCUUUCCCUAAAAUGAGAGAGGGAAAAAAAAAAAGGAAUGAUUUUUUUUGUGUGUAUCUAAGUGGGAACAAGAGAUAUAGAAUUUCGUUGAGAUGCAGUGCUGCCACAUGAUCUUUAUCCUCCAUUAAACCCAACAUAUUAAAUCCACUAACUCUCUCCCCAAAAAUGAGUAAAAAAAAAAAAAAGGAAAAAAGUAUGAGUUAAAAAACAAAAACGGAAAAUAUGAUUUUUUUAAUGUGUUUCUAAGGAGAAUGAGAGAUACAUAUUUUUGUUAAGAUGCAUUGCCACGUGUUCUUCAUCCUCUCCAUUAAGCCUAAUAUAUUAAACCUAAUAGCUCUCUCUUUUAAGCUUUCCAAUGAAGUGCCUAUAGUAUCCAACUCAAAAUAAGACAACUUAAGCCCCAUUAGCCAACAACCCAUAUUUUGUGUACAUCUUGAUGAGAUUAUUUUGUGAGAAAAUGUCAUGAAACAAUCCCAAUUUGAUAAUCUAGGCAUGUAUUUGAGUUAAAAAUAAAUUUCUAUUCUAUAGAUCAAAGAAUAAAAUCAUGUUUGAAAAUUAUUUUUAAAAACUUAUUUAGAGCAAAAAUAGUUUUCUAACAUAAAAAUAAUUUUUUAACUGAGAAAAUAUAUUUGAAAUUAUUUGAUAGAAAAUUGGGCAUGUAUUUGACUUAAAAACAAAUUUCUAUUCUAUAGCUCCAAUAAUAAAAUCAUGUUUGAAAAUUAUUCUUAAAAACUUAUUUAGAGCAAAAAUGGUUUUCUAACAUUAAAAUAAUUUUUUAAUUUAGAAAAUAUAUUUGGAAACAGUUGAUAGAAAACUGGGCAUGUAUUUGACUUAAAAAUAAAUUAUUAUUCUAUAGAUCAAAGGAUAAAAUCAUGUUUGAAAAAUAUUCUUAAAAACUUAUUUAGAGUAAAAACAGUUUUCUAACAUAAAAAUAAAUUUUUAACUUAGAAAAUAUAUUUGAAAACAUUUGAUAGAAAACUUUUUUUUUUAAUGUCAAUAAGUUGUCUUUUUGUUAAUUUAAUUGUAAUCAAUUUUCUUAUACGCAUUUAAAAGUAUAUAUUAUCAUAUUUAGUAAUAUUUUGAUUAUUAGGCAAAUUAUCAUUUUUGAGAGGAAUUUUUGUAGCUCUCAUAAUUAUAAUUGUAUUUUAAUAACCACUUCCAAUAAAUAAAAAAAAGAAAAAAAAAGUUAGACAAUUAUCAAAAUCUGAUUUUUAGGAUUUUAAAAAAAUCUACAAGCCAAAACUAUUUAUAAUUUUGAUCAUGUGAGAACACUUCUUUUUUAAUACUUUGAGUUAUUUUGUUUUUUUUUUUUCUUAGUAUCUGAAAGUAUAAAAGAAUUUCUCAUAUAUGUGCAUGUGUGUUCUCAUGGUUGUUUAUGUCAUGUCUUAUUAAAGAAUGAAGUGAAGUUUCCUUUGAGUGGAAGGUUUUAGUCCACGCUAGUCAGUGGACACGGUAUGAAUAGUUUGGGUGGGUUGUAUCUAUGGUAAAAAAAUAAUAAAAGACAACUUUUGCAAGUCUCCAAGUUGGUUGAGAUACAUGAUGUCAUGUUGACUAGACCUUGACUUUUGCAAGUCUCCUAGUUUCCAACUUUUUUUUCUUUUUUUUUUUUAAUAUUAAGGUGUGGGGCCAUGAACUCCUUUCUUUCCUUUUUAAAUAACAAAAAGGAAGAUAAUUUUAUUGUGAGAAGGCUAUUGCUACCAAUUGUGUUCACGUCGAGAAUUUUUUAAUUUACGGAGGCCAUAUAUAUAUAUAUUUAUGUCUAAUUUAGGAGGGUAAUUUGGGUUUGUCUAAUCUAUUCCAUUUAAUCAUACUAUACAAUCAUUUUUUUUUAUUUGGAUUAUUCUUGUAUUAAAUUUCUUCAACCCAAAUUUUGUUGAAAAGUUACAAUGUAUUAUUGAAAAUAUGACUUGGUAGUUGAUUAUGGAUAUGUGUCAUUUUUAGUAUAAAAAAAAAAUAAAUCUAUAACAUUUUAUAUUGAUAAUAUAUUAUUCUUGUAACAGGUUUGAAUAAUAAGCAAGUCAUUGUCAAAGAAGUUAUUGAAAGUGUAAGUGUACAUUUAUUUAUUGCAUGCUCUUAUAUUGUAUCAAUUGUAAGGAAGAUAAAAUUACCUUGUAAAGGUAAUUAAAUCUUUCUAUAUUUUAAAAACUUUUUUCCUAUAUACUAUGCUUUUGAAGCUUGUUUAAUUAAACAUAUUAGUUAUUUGACAAACUUUUCACAAAUGUUUUGUAUACUUAUGUGUUCUAUUUUGUUCCAUAGUUUUAUUGCAUAAUACUAAUGUAUAUUUUUUCACAAACUUUUUACAACUAUUUUGUGUACUAAUGCAUAUUAAGUUUUGUUCUUGCCUAUAUAAGCUACAUUUAGUUAUUUAAAUAUAUCUAAUAUUAUGUUGAAGAAAGAUGUACUUACUUAACUUUUUUUAUUCUAAAUAUUAACAAGUUUUUCAGUUCUCUUGUCUCGAGAUUGAAUGUCAAAAGAUAGAAGGUCAGUUGAGUAUGAUGAAAGAGUUGAAAACUUUAUCAAUUUUGCAUUAGCACAUUCAAUCAACCAUUCCCCUAUAAAAUGCCCAUGCUUACGUUGUGCAAAUCUGUUAUGUCAAACUCUUCAAGUCAUUACAGAACAUUUGUUCUUUAAUGGAAUCGAUCUUAGUUAUCGAGUAUGGUAUUGGCAUGGAGAAAAUGGACCCAGUGGAGGAUUUUCAAAUGUCUCACAACAACAUUAUGACAAAUGCAAGUAUAAUGAUGUUGUUGACACAAUAGAUAUGGUUAAUGCUGCACAAGUUAAUUGUAUGAAUGAUCCCUAAGUGUUUGGAAGGUUACUUGAAGACGCAGAAAAACCUUUAUAUCUUGGAUGCAUGAAAUACACAAAGUUGUCAGCAUUGGUAAAACUUUACGACUUGAAAGCAUGUUAUGGUUGGUUUGACAAAGGAUUCUCAAAAUUGCUUCAGUUGCUUGGAGAUAUGUUGCCAUUGAAUAAUGAGAUGUCAUUGUCCAUGUAAGAAGCUAAAAAUACUUUUAGUGCACUUGGGAUGAAUAUAACAAAAUUCAUGCAUGUUCUAAUGAUUGUAUUUGGUAUAGAAACCAGUAUAAGGAUGCUAUUGCAUGCCUAACUUGUGGAAAGUCAAGGUGGAAGAUAAACAAUGAGGGGAAAAAGAUUAAGAAGGGGCUUCCUUCAAAGGUUUUAUGGUAUUUCCCACCAAUCCCUAGAUUCAAAAGGAUGUUCCAAUCCUCAAAAACCGCUAAACAUCUUAUGUGGCAUGCCAAGGAUAAAGAAUAUGACGGUAAACUAUGCCACCCAUCAGACUCCUUAGCGUGGAAACUAGUUGACCAUAUGUGGCUUGAUUUUGCUUCUGAACCGAGGACCUUAGACUAGCACUCUCAACAGAUGGUACAAAUCUUCAUAAGUCUAUAAGCAAUAGACAUAGUUGUUGGCCUGUUAUACUGAUCAUAUACAACCUUCCUCCUUGGUUGUGCAUGAAAAAGAAGUUUAUGAUGCUAUCAUUAUUGAUCUCAGGACCACGACAACCUGGUAAAAAUAUAGAUGUUUACUUGAGUCCAUUGGUAGAUGACCUUAAAACUUUGUGGGAAAAAAAAGUUAAGACUUAUGAUGCACACUUGCUUGAGGUUUUUACUUUAAAGGUCAUCAUUUUAUGGACAAUCAGUUAUUUCCCUACAUAUGAAAACUUGGCCAAUUGCACCGUGAAAGGAUAUUAUGCAUGUCCAAUAUGUGGAGAAGGAACAUAUUCCCAAAGAUUAAAGUAUGGUAGGAAGAACUUGUAUAUGGGUCACCGACGAUUUCUUCCACGUAACCAUCCCUAUUGGAGACAAAAGAAGGCACUCAAUGGUGAACAAGAUUUUAGAAUUCCUCCUAAAAUUUUGAGUGGAGAAGAAAUACUUGAAAAAGUUGAUCUCAUUCCUAUUUCUUGGGGAAAAAUGAAGAUAAAAUCUCUUGAACUGAUGUGAACACAAAUUGUUGGAAAAAAAAGUCCAUAUUUUUUUAGUUAGAAUAUUGGAAAUAUCUUCAUAUCUUUCACAACUUGGAUGUUAUGCACAUCGAAAAGAAUGUCUGUGAGAGUAUUAUUGGUCCUUUGUUUAACAUCCUAGGAAAAAAAAAAUGGACUUAAUGCUCAACUUGACCUAGUUGAAAUGGGUUUAAAGUCUGAACUUUUCCCAAGAGUUGACUUGAAGCGGACCUAUCUUCCCCCUGCAUGUUAUUCACUAUCCAAACAUAUAUGACAAAAAAUUAGUUUGUCAAACAUUGUCUAAUUUGAAGGUCCCUGAGGGGUAUUGCUCAAAUUUGAGAAAUCUUGUCUCCUUAGAGGAAUUGAAGUUAUUUGGUUUAAGAUCCCAUGACUACCAUGCACUUAUGCAACAACUAUUGCUAGUGGCAUUACGUUUUGUUUUGCUAAAGCAUGUGAGAUAUACUAUAUCAAGAUUGUGUAUCUUCUUCAAUCAAUUAUGUACAAAAAUGGUUGAUGUGCCAAAAUUGGAUGAAGUACACAAUGAGUUAGUGGUCACGCUGUGCUUACUUGAAAAGUAUUUUUCACCUUCAUUUUUUGAUAUUAUGCUUCAUCUAGUAGUGCAUUUGAUAAGGGAGGUGUGACUAUGUGGUUCAGCUUACUUUAGGUCGAUCUACCCAUUUGGGAGGUAUAUGAAAGUUCUUAAAGAAUUGUUCGCAAUCAUAAUUGGCCUGAAGGAUGCAUUACUAAGUGCUAUUUAGUAGAAAAAGCUAUCGAAUUUUGUACUGAAUAUUUAUUAGGGACUUAUGCAAUUGGAAUUCCAAAAGCAACAAUUAUGACAACAAAUUUCGUAGACCUAUUGAUUACUACUCAAAAAGUGCUAUUUGAUAGCUUGUAAUUAAUCCUUUUAAACACUUUUGAGUAGUAGUUAUUGCCUUUUAACCCAAUUAACAUGUUAAGGACCCUUGCAAUCAUUUCUUAUCAAAUUGUGUAAGUUUUGGUGUUUUUGUUAGUAAUUUGAUCACCAAAACAAUCCAAGAUUGAGGAGAGUUAUUUGGAAUCCAUGGCAAAGCAAUGAAGAGCUCAAAUUCAUGAAGAACCAAGCUUUGGAGCUCCAUAGCCCUUUGCCAAAGUCGUUCAAAGUAUGCAAGGAAAGAGCACUGGAGAGAGGAAAAACAGAGUGAAGAAAACAGAGGAAAGCUAGAUGUAGUCUUCUUUCACACUUUUGGAGCAAUUUCCGAAGUCCAUUUUCUACAUUCGAUAUACCAUUUCAAAGCUCAGGAAGUCAAGAAUCCAAUGCUUCAAACGGUGCAUGAUUCGGAGUUGAAACGAAGGAGUUACAGCCAUUGCAAGCAGAUCACUCCAAAGUGUUGCGAAAUCAGCCUUUUGUUGCGAGAAUUUCGCAGCCUUUUUGUACAGUGCUAUGGAAUUCCUCCUAAAGUUGCCCGAUAUAUGCCGCAAGCUGGAAGCUGAGAACAUCAAGGUGGAAGCCAACUUCGCAGCCCUACGAGAAUAACUUGUUGAUGCGAAAAUAUUUCGCAGCCCUCUUGAGUGUCUGCGAAAUCUCGCAGACACCAUUUUCACCUGCGAAAUGUUCCUGGAGCUUCCCGAUAUUUUUGCACCGACUCUUUUGGAUAUUUUUCUUCAGAUAUUUUUGUAUAAAUUUCCAUUCUUCUCCUUGUAAGCCACGAACCAUAAGAUUUCUUAGUUAGGAAGGUUGGAAAAACAUCUCUAUAUAUAUUCCUUUGCAUCCACUGUAAUCAUAUAUCAUAUAUAGAAUAUACAGAGCCUUGCUCUGUUUUUCCUUCUCUUUCAUUUUUCAUUUAUUUUUAUUUCUAGCCAACCAAACUUUGAGGAUUUUUCCACAGAGGAUGAGAGGCUAAGCUUUUUGUCUCUUGGAGUGAGGAAAGCCGGGUAAGUUUCCACAUGCAUAAUUUGGAAGUUUUGUUGUUUUAGUUUUUAAUGAAGAGAAAGUGUGACCCGUUAGUGAUUUCUAUGUUUUUAGUUAACUUAAAACGCCUUUAAAUCACCUGGGCCAACACUUGGUAAGGCAAGUGAUUUCCAACCAUGGAAAUGCACUAGUUUACCCCUUGCGAGCCUUUGGGAGGUGACUUGAAGGUAGGAUUUUCUAGAAUAGCCAACACUUGGUAAGCUUUUGGACUCCAAGGAGACAUCCAUUAGUUAUCUCUUGCGAGCUUUUGACGGGUAAUCCAAGGUUAAAGAUCACCUUGAAUGGCAAGUGCUAGGUGAGAGGUAUGAGUCAUUGUAAGAUGCAUCAGUGAGAGGGAUUUAGUGAUUGAACCCAUUAAUGGGAAGCAUCUGUACAACACCGGUUAGAGAAUUAACUAUAUGUUAAUUCUCUAAUGCGAGGAAAAUAAACAAGUGACCGGAACUCUCCAUUUUGUAUGAGGAACAAGCCUAGUGAUCUGAACUCCAAGAAACACUUUUCUUUGUAGUUAAAACCAGUUACUAUUUUUUGUUAGCUUAAAACCAAACCUUUUUCAUUUAAACAUCUUUAUGUUUCUUUUAAAGCUAACCUUGAAAUGAAAAGGCACCAAUUCAGCUUUGAAUUGAUAUCAUUUGUGAAGUGAAAACCCAUCCCAGUGAACGAUCCUAGAGCCACUAUGCUAUAGUAGCUUUGUCUUUGCUACCCUAGUUCAUGGUGUAAUAGGUUAUAAAUUUUGUUGAUUACUCCCUCAAUCAAGGAGCACCAGCUGGACACGAAUCAGCUGAGACACCAAGUGGGCNNNNNNNGUUCAUGGUGUAUUAGGUUAUAAAUUUAGUUGUUUACUCCCUCAAUCAAGGAGCACCAGCUUGACACGAAUCAGCUGAGACACCAAGUGGGCACGAAUCAAAUGGCGCCAUUUGCUUCGUCCGUAGCAGUGGCAGUGGCAAUGGCACCAUUUGAUUCGAGGUUCAAUCCCAGGCAACGGCGCCAUUUGAUUCGUCCCUAGCAGUGGCAGUGGCAAUGGCACCAUUUGAUUCGAGGUUCAAUCCCCGGCAGCGGCGCCAUUUGAUUCGUGUCCACUUGGUGUCUCAGCUGAUUCGUGUCCAGCUGGUGCUCCUUGAUUGAGGGAGUAAUCAACAAAAUUUAUAACCUAUUACACCAUGAACUAGGGUAGCAAAGACAAAGCUACUAUAGCAUAGUGGCUCUAGGAUCGUUCACUGGGAUGGGUUUUCACUUCACAAAUGAUAUCAAUUCAAAGCUGAAUUGGUGCCUUUUCAUUUCAAGGUUAGCUUUAAAAGAAAACAUAAAGAUGUUUAAAUGAAAAAGGUUUGGUUUUAAGCUAACAAAAAAUAGUAACUAAUUUUAACUACAAAGAAAAGUGUUUCUUGGAGUUCAGAUCACUAGGCUCGUUCCUCAUACAAAAUGGAGAGUUCCGGUCACUUGUUUAUUUUCCUCGCAUUAGAGAAUUAACAUAUAGUUAAUUCUCUAACCGGUGUUGUACAGAUGCUUCCCAUUAAUGGGUUCAAUCACUAAAUCCCUCUCACUGAUGCAUCUUACAAUGACUCAUACCUCUCACCUAGCACUUGCCAUUCAAGGUGAUCUUUAACCUUGGAUUACCCGUCAAAAGCUUGCAAGAGAUAACUAAUGGAUGUCUCCUUGGAGUCCAAAAGCUUACCAAGUGUUGGCUAUUCUAGAAAAUCCUACCUUCAAGUCACCUCCCAAAGGCUCGCAAGGGGUAAACUAGUGCAUUUCCAUGGUUGGAAAUCACUUGCCUUACCAAGUGUUGGCCCAGGUGAUUUAAAGGCGUUUUAAGUUAACUAAAAACAUAGAAAUCACUAACGGGUCACACUUUCUCUUCAUUAAAAACUAAAACAACAAAACUUCCAAAUUAUGCAUGUGGAAACUUACCCGGCUUUCCUCACUCCAAGAGACAAAAAGCUUAGCCUCUCAUCCUCUGUGGAAAAAUCCUCAAAGUUUGGUUGGCUAGAAAUAAAAAUAAAUGAAAAAUGAAAGAGAAGGAAAAACAGAGCAAGGCUCUGUAUAUUCUAUAUAUGAUAUAUGAUUACAGUGGAUGCAAAGGAAUAUAUAUAGAGAUGUUUUUCCAACCUUCCUAACUAAGAAAUCUUAUGGUUCGUGGCUUACAAGGAGAAGAAUGGAAAUUUAUACAAAAAUAUCUGAAGAAAAAUAUCCAAAAGAGUCGGUGCAAAAAUAUCGGGAAGCUCCAGGAACAUUUCGCAGGUGAAAAUGGUGUCUGCGAGAUUUCGCAGACACUCAAGAGGGCUGCGAAAUAUUUUUGCAUCAACAAGUUAUUCUCGUAGGGCUGCGAAGUUGGCUUCCACCUUGAUGUUCUCAGCUUCCAGCUUGUGGCAUAUAUCGGGCAACUUCAGGAGGAAUUCCAUAGCACUGUACAAAAAGGCUGCGAAAUUCUCGCAACAAAAGGCUGAUUUCGCAACACUUUGGAGUGAUCUGCUUGCAAUGGCUGUAACUCCUUCGUUUCAACUCCGAAUCAUGCACCGUUUGAAGCAUUGGAUUCUUGACUUCCUGAGCUUUGAAAUGGUAUAUCGAAUGUAGAAAAUGGACUUCGGGAAGUGCUCCAAAAGUGUGAAAGAAGACUGCAGCUAGCUUUCCUCUGUUUUCUUCACUCUGUUUUUCCUCUCUCCAGUGCUCUUUCCUUGCAUACUUUGAACGACUUUGGCAAAGGGCUAUGGAGCUCCAAAGCUUGGUUCUUCAUGAAUUUGAGCUCUUCAUUGCUUUGCCAUGGAUUCCAAAUAACUCUCCUCAAUCUUGGAUUGUUUUGGUGAUCAAAUUACUAACAAAAACACCAAAACUUACACAAUUUGAUAAGAAAUGAUUGCAAGGGUCCUUAACAUGUUAAUUGGGUUAAAAGGCAAUAACUACUACUCAAAAGUGUUUAAAAGGAUUAAUUACAAGCUAUCAAAUAGCACUUUUUGAGUAGUAAUCACUCCCCCCAACCGACAUAUUGCUAGUCCCUUAGCAAUGAAGGAGAGAAAAAUAAAAAUAAACAAUACUAUAAUUUACAACAUCAUGCUGAUCAAAAAACAAUUUUCAAGUGGCAUGAUGAUCUAACUCUCACAUGGAACAUUAAAGAAAUAAAACUCAAACUUCAACAAGAGUUAUCAAAUAACUUGUCUAAUCACAAUUCUUAAAGAGAAGGCAUUAUGCAAAUUUAAGCUUUAAAAUCAUUUCCACUUCCAAAGGAUCAAACCUUACUCUUCCACAAAAAUCUAAGUGUUAUUUAUUAGCUUCCGAAUAUAGUAUGUUGAACUAAUCUCUCCCCCUCAACCUAGUUCUUUUUCAAAGCUUAGCAAACUAAUCAACCUCCAAUAGGCUAAGAACGCACCUCUUUUUUCAUAAUUUUUUUCAUUGUAGGAGUACAAGGCUUAAAGGUAUUCUUUUCUAAAUUGUCCAUGUAACGGGGGUCCAUCGAUGACUCCCAACCAAUUAAGGUUUAGGGCAUCAAGCUUUAAGGAUCUUUCAACCACUAACUCCUCGGAUUUUACCCCGGACUUUUGAGAAUGAAUUUUUAAUACCCAAGCACCUACAGUAUGUUAAACUCCACCUAUUCACCCUUGUAACGAGCAUUGAGGUCGGUGACUCCCAACCAAUGAAGGCUUAGGGCACCAGGUUUUAAAGAUUUUCACCAUAUACCCCUCAGACCUUGCUCGGGUUUCAAGGCAAGCAAACAUUUUUUUUUUUUUUUUUUCAAAGACUCAUUGGCCUUUUAUAAGGUGUCCCAACACUAUUAAAUGAGGUCAAAGGUACCAAGUCUAAAAUUUUCCUAAGUCAAGAGGGAAAUAGUUUUUCAUCUUAUACUCGGAACCUAUUGUGCACAGUGUGUGGAUAGCUUAAAGUGGAAGAACUAAGGUUGACUUCAAUAGAAGUUUCAACAAUUCAUCAACUUUAAUAAGCAUAAUACAAAAUCUAAGUCAAGUAAAAAGACAAAAAUUCAAUUUCUCCAAUUUUAGUUUGAAAAUUUUUCCUUAAUAACCAUGGAGAGUAGAAUAAAAACUUUAAAAUUUUUUUAAAUUAAGCAAAAAACAACUAAAUUACCAAAAUAACUUAGCAUUAUUAACAAUACUUACUUCCUCAACUCUCCCCCCAACCAAGCUGAACAUUGUCCUCAAUGUGACAAAAGCGAUUGAAAAAUAGGGAGGAAGUGGUACCUCUUGAGUGACAUGGAGUCUGAGUUGUAUAGGAGAAACCACAUGUUUCAAAGAAAACAUAAGAGUUAGUGAGUAGAAGAAAUAGAAAAAUGCCAAGUUUAAACAAAAAUGAUGUCUAUGUAUGAUGUAUCAUCAGUAACACAUCCAAUUCCAAAAUAUAAGACAUCAAAACAUGGAAUUAUCUAUACUAAUAUAAUAUGUAAAGACAAAAAUAAAGAGAUGAUCAAGCAAUGGUAAGGUCCUGUGGAGCUGAUGCAUCUAUGGUGGCCUCUUGAGUGGGUUGGAUAAGGACUUUGACCUCUGUUCUGGUAGUCUCCUUAGGUGGCAUAGUCUCCUCAACUGGAGCUCUCAGUUGGUAGCUAUGGGAUUUGAUGGUUUAAGGAGGUAAGAAAUGGAGUGAGAGGCUUGGUGUGUGUGAUCCCAGGGUAUGCAGGGCUCUCCUUUUCAGAUGCAUGUUUGCAGGGCUCUAUUGGCAUUUUAGUAACUUCCCUUGGCUUUGCAAAGUGUUUUUGCAAAUCACCCUCCAUUUCACAAGUCAAUUUUGCAAUUUAAAGUCCAUUUUGAAGCUUGGAGGUGAUUUCACAGCCCUUUCGAAGCUUGGAGAUCAUUUCGCAGAAAAGUGGCAUGUUCACUGACCAUUUUUGAAGCUUGGAGCAUUUUCGCAGCCAUUCUGAAGCUUGGAGAUCAUUUUGCAGAAAAGUGGCAUUUUCGCAGACCAUUUUUGAAGCUUGGAGCAUUUUCGCAGCCAUUUCGAAGUUUGGAGAUCAUUUCACAGGCAAUGGGCAAUUCCGCAGCCCAUUUCUGAAGCUUGGAGCAUUUUCGCAGCGGGGGGUGGAUUUCACAGAGGAGGGGAAUUCUCGCAGCCCAUUUCGUAGCUUAAAAGUAAUUUCAUAGCUCAAAGGUGAUUUCGCAGCCAUAUCGCAGCUUCAAAAUGAGGGGAACUGUGCUGCAAAUGGCACUCGUGUGCCAAAAAGUGGUUUCGUAGCUGCGAAACACCCUUCCAAAUGGCGUCUCGGCUGCGAAAUUCCCGUUCAGCUUUGCGCGCUUGUCUUCAAAUGACCAUAACUUCUUUAUUUCAAAUCCAAAUCGAGUACCGUUUGAAGCUAUGGACUCCUGACUUCCCAAGAUUUGAAACGAGAUAUCAUAUGCAUAAUUUGAGCUCCAGGAAGUGCUUCAAAAAUGUGUCCAACAGUAGCAAAAUUGAGGUGCGACAUUUCCGCUCAUGGUUUGCACAGUCAUCUUCAAACAGCCAUAACUUUUCUGUUUCAAAUCCAAAUCGAGCACCAUUUGAAGAUAUGGACUCCUGACUUCCCAAGCUUUCCAACGAGAUAUUGCAUGCAUAAUUUGAACUUCGGGAAGUGAUCGAGAUGUGCCCAACAAUUGCCAAAAUGAGGGUGCGGCUGUGAAAUUGGGAUUUUUCAAUUUUGGGUUUCGCAGCCAUUUUCGCAGCUGCGAAAUGGCACUCGUGUGCCAAAACCAGCUUCGCAAUUGCGAAAUACCCUGCGGAAUGGGGCUUUGGCUGCCAAAAAAAAUGAAUUUUUUUUUUUUUUUUUUUUUUGGUUUCGCAGCCAUUUUCGCAGCUGCGAAAUGAGGGUUACUGUGCUGCGAAAUGGCACUCGUGUGCCAAAAGUUGGCUUCGCAGCUGCCAAACACCCUUCCAAAUGGAGCUUUCCCUACGAAAUGGAGGAUUUCAUGCUUUGGUGGUUCGCAGCCGCUUUCGCAGCUGCGAAAUGGGGGCUCCUGUGCUGCGAAGUGGCACUCAUAUGCCAAAAUUGGUUUUGCAGCUGCCAAAAUUUUCGCAAAGAGGGCUAUUGGGUUGCGAACUGGUUUCGCAGCAAAAUUUCGAUUUCGUAGAGGCUGCGAUAUCUCGCAGACCCCUGUUUUUCCCCUAUUUCUCCCCUGUUUUCGCUCCGUUUGACUCCGAUUUUGCUCCGAUUUUUUUCCUUCAAUUUCUUUGCAAUUCCUCUUGAUUUUGAUCAUCCAAAAACCUAUAUUACAUCAAAACAAACUAGAAUUAAAACAUUUAAAUCAAAAUUAAAGCAUUGAAAUCAAAAUUAAAACAAGUAAAAAAAAAACAAAACAAAAAGAUAUGGACUAGCUAGUCUUUAAAAAGACUAAGUCCAUCAAAAAAUUUGCUCCUGAUUUAGCUUGCCCGGAUCCCAUAUGAAGCUUGCAUCUCUCACUUGGGGCUUUCUCUGUAUGAUUUUCUCAUACAAAGCUUGGAGAAAAGUUAGAGGCACGUGUUUCAUCAUCAAUUCUUCCUUGAUGACUAUCCUCUGUGGUUCUUCAUCUAUAUAGUCAUCUUUCUCUGUACUUUUCCCCUUUUUCUUUCCUUUGAUUUCCUCCCUCUUUUCUUUCUCUGUUUCACUAUCUACCUUAUGCUCUAGCUUGCAUGUGGGCAGAUCAACCUCUUUACCACUCCUCAGAGUGAUCACUUCUUCAAUUUCCUUCACCAUUGAAGAUUCUCCCUCUUUAGUCUCCAUUUCAUGGAUACUCAUGGAAUUUUGAUAAGGUUGAGAAGGAGAGUUUUCUUUCUCUUGCAUUGUUUUGAGGUUGGCAAACCUUGAGAUUGAAUCUUGGAGAAUAUCUAACUUCUGAGCCAUAUCAUUUUGCAUUACAUCCAUCCUUUAUUCAAAGUACUCUCCAUUCUGUCAAUUCUUUGAUUGAUUUGAGCAUUGAUGGCUUCUUGCUUUCCAAUAAAAUCUCCCACGACCUUGCAAAGAUUCACCAUAGCUUGUUCAAGGAUUGAGGCUUGCUGUGGUGCUUGAGCAGGUUGCUGAUACUGAGGUGGCUGUGGUUUCCAAGAGAAAUUUGGAUGGUCCCUCCAAUUGGAAUUGUGGGUGUUGCAAUCACCAAACAUUUCCCUCUCGGAUGGAAUGGUAGGACACUCAUCCACCAAGUGCUCAUAUGAUCGACAAAUGGCACAAGGCAUAGCUUGCAAUGGUGUUUAAAAGAUGGUUUGCACUUCUUGCAUCUGGUUCAUUUCUAGCUCAUCCAAUCUCCUUUCCAUAGCUGCAAUCUCUGCCUUCAUGUCCAUGCCGUCAUUCAAAAUAUACAUCUCACCCUUAGCUUUAGGUUGAGACGUCAUUCUUCCCAUAUCUCUAGCAUUUGGUUCAUCCCAUCCUCUUGAAAAUUCAGCCACAUAACUCAUGAAGUUCAUGGCUUCCUCUGCUAUGUGGUUCAAUAUGGCAUGCACAACUAGCAAUUUGUGAUUUAAAAACAGAGAACACAAAAGAAAACAAAAGAAAAACAAUUCAAAGAAAGAAAAUUAAGGUAAACUAAAGACUAAAUAAAAGGUAUACUAAAAUAUGAACAACAAAGAAAUAAAAAGGGUUAGUGAAAGGAAAAGAAAAGUCACCAAACUUGUGAUGAAGAUCACAAGUACUCUAGAAAGGUGCAUUGUAAAGUGGCACCAUCCCCGGCAACAGCGCCAUUUGAUUCGUGCCCACUUGGUGUCUCAGCUGAUUCGUGUCCAGCUGGUGCUCCUUGAUUGAGGGAGUAAUCAACAAAAUUUAUAACCUAUUACACCAUGAACUAGGGUAGCAAAGACAAAGCUACUAUAGCAUAGUGGCUCUAGGAUCGUUCACUGGGAUGGGUUUUCACUUCACAAAUGAUAUCAAUUCAAAGCUGAAUUGGUGCCUUUUCAUUUCAAGGUUAGCUUUAAAAGAAAACAUAAAGAUGUUUAAAUGAAAAAGGUUUGGUUUUAAGCUAACAAAAAAUAGUAACUAAUUUUAACUACAAAGAAAAGUGUUUCUUGGAGUUCAGAUCACUAGGCUCGUUCCUCAUACAAAAUGGAGAGUUCCGGUCACUUGUUUAUUUUCCUCGCAUUAGAGAAUUAACAUAUAGUUAAUUCUCUAACCGGUGUUGUACAGAUGCUUCCCAUUAAUGGGUUCAAUCACUAAAUCCCUCUCACUGAUGCAUCUUACAAUGACUCAUACCUCUCACCUAGCACUUGCCAUUCAAGGUGAUCUUUAACCUUGGAUUACCCGUCAAAAGCUUGCAAGAGAUAACUAAUGGAUGUCUCCUUGGAGUCCAAAAGCUUACCAAGUGUUGGCUAUUCUAGAAAAUCCUACCUUCAAGUCACCUCCCAAAGGCUCGCAAGGGGUAAACUAGUGCAUUUCCAUGGUUGGAAAUCACUUGCCUUACCAAGUGUUGGCCCAGGUGAUUUAAAGGCGUUUUAAGUUAACUAAAAACAUAGAAAUCACUAACGGGUCACACUUUCUCUUCAUUAAAAACUAAAACAACAAAACUUCCAAAUUAUGCAUGUGGAAACUUACCCGGCUUUCCUCACUCCAAGAGACAAAAAGCUUAGCCUCUCAUCCUCUGUGGAAAAAUCCUCAAAGUUUGGUUGGCUAGAAAUAAAAAUAAAUGAAAAAUGAAAGAGAAGGAAAAACAGAGCAAGACUCUGUAUAUUCUAUAUAUGAUAUAUGAUUACAGUGGAUGCAAAGGAAUUUAUAUAGAGAUGUUUUUCCAACCUUCCUAACUAAGAAAUCUUAUGGUUCGUGGCUUACAAGGAGAAGAAUGGAAAUUUAUACAAAAAUAUCUGAAGAAAAAUAUCCAAAAGAGUCGGUGCAAAAAUAUCGGGAAGCUCCAGGAACAUUUCGCAGGUGAAAAUGGUGUCUGCGAGAUUUCGCAGACACUCAAGAGGGCUGCGAAAUAUUUUCGCAUCAACAAGUUAUUCUCGUAGGGCUGUGAAGUUGGCUUCCACCUUGAUGUUCUCAGCUUCCAGCUUGCGGCAUAUAUCGGGCAACUUCAGGAGGAAUUCCAUAGCACUGUACAAAAAGGCUGUGAAAUUCUCGCAACAAAAGGCUGAUUUCGCAACACUUUGGAGUGAUCUGCUUGCAAUGGCUGUAACUCCUUCGUUUCAACUCCGAAUCACGCACCGUUUGAAGCAUUGGAUUCUUGACUUCCUGAUCUUUGAAAUGGUAUAUAGAAUGUAGAAAAUGGACUUCGGUAAGUUCUCCAAAAGUGUGAAAGAAGACUGCAGCUAGCUUUCCUCUGUUUUCUUCACUCUGUUUUUCCUCUCUCCAGUGCUCUUUCCUUGCAUACUUUGAACGACUUUGGCAAAGGGCUAUGGAGCUCCAAAGCUUGGUUCUUCAUGAAUUUGAGCUCUUCAUUGCUUUGCCAUGGAUUCCAAAUAACUCUCCUCAAUCUUGGAUUGUUUUGGUGAUCAAAUUACUAACAAAAACACCAAAACUUACACAAUUUGAUUAGAAAUGAUUGCAAGGGUCCUUAACAAGUUAAUUGGGUUAAAAGGCAAUAACUACUACUCAAAAGUGUUUAAAAGGAUUAAUUACAAGCUAUCAAAUAGCACUUUUUGAGUAGUAAUCACCUAUAAUUAGUGGUCGUUCUACCAUCAUUGUUCAUAAAUCGUGGUUACAAGCACAUCAUUAUCUAUUAGAGAAUACAACUAUCGUCCAACCAUACACUGAGUAAGAAAAACAUACCUUUAUCUUUUUAUAAUUUCAUAACAUAAUGAUGAAAUCCUAAGUUUGCAUUCCUUGUCUUUAACGUCAUAGGGAACACAUGAAUUGGUUGAGGUCUCAAUACCCUCGACAAUCUAAUAGACAAAUUUGGUUGCAAGAAGAACAUAUGAGUUGUUUUACAUAUUGGCUUAAAGAAACGGUAAUCUCUUAGUUUUUAGAAAAAUUUUCAAUAUGUUGAAAACAUCACAAGUUUUCAAUAUGUUUUGAUUAUACAUAGGUUGAAGAGGCUAUCCAUAAUGGGCAAGAUAUUCCCGACACACUUAGGUGGUUAGCACAUGGCCCUACUCUCCAGGUAGUCAAAUAUCCUAGAUAUAUCGUUAAUGAGUGUCGUUACCAUAUUAAGAAACGCGAUAUGACAUGCAUCACCCAAAAUAGUGGUGUUAGCAUUUUAGCAAGGACUAUGCAAAUUGCCAAUUCUAAGGAUAAGAACCUAGUUUGUGGUGAACUUUGCUUUUAUGGGGUCAUUAAUGAGAUAUGAAAUCUUGAUUACAACAUGUUCACAAUUCUAAUUUUCAAGUGUGAUUAGGUUGACAACAAGAAUGGUAUAAAAGUUGAUGAACUUAGGUUCACAUUAGUUGACUUCUCCAAAAUAGGUCACAAAUUGGAUCCAUUUAUUUUAGCAUCACAAGCCAAGCAAAUCUUCUAUGUUGAAGAUCAACUUGAUCCUAAAUGGUCAAUAGUUCUCUCAAUUCCUCCAAAAGAUUUCAAGAACAUAGAAGGACUAGAUGACUUCACCAAUAAUUGCAUGGAACAUCACCCCUUUAUAAGUUCAAUGCCAGAAUUUGAAUCAUUUGAUGCUAUGGAUGAAUCAUAGGCAAUACACAUGAGAGAAAACUGUGAGGGCAUAUGGAUUGAAAAUAAUUAAAUAACAUAUUGUACCCUUGAAUGAGAUAUAAUAAGGCAUUUCACUUAUUAGUUUUCAUGAGUUGCACAUUAACUUAGCUUCUAUAUAUUGCUCAUGAUAUAUCUAUAUAUAUUAAUCAUCCUAAAUUUCUUUCAUGCAUCAUAAACAUAUGUUAUUCAAAGGUACCACUUCAAUCUUCAUUCAACUAUCUUUUUGUUGUCCAUAGAACUAGAUUUAUAUUAUUUUUUAUUAUCAUGUUUUGAUUUUAUGCUCACAUAACUUGAAACUCUCAUUCCUAAAUUUCUUUUUCAUUAAAACUAUAAAUCAUAAUUGAAACUAUGCACUAAUUUAUUUUAUUAUUAUCCUCACAAAUAAAUUCUUCAUUAUUGAUAAGAAAUCAAAAAACAAGACAAACUUUGAAAGAAAAUUUCAAAAAAUAUAUUUGUGAAUGACCAAUUUAAUUAUAGAAAAUAUAUGCAAGGCUAUACUAAUCUUGCUUUUGAGUCAUUUUACAGGUUUGUUGGUGAAGUACUAGUUUGCACAUUUACUUGAUAUCUUCCACACAAAUAUGGAUCUAGAAGAAGGGGAAAUGCCAAAAAUAAAGCAUAGAGGUAGUGCAUUGAAACCAAAGAUUGCAAAAAAUCGAAGUAAAGGGAUAAAGCUCAAGAUUGAAUACAAUAGCCUUGGUAGUCACAUUGAGGAAAAUUCAGUUAAACUAAGUAGUUAUCUUAGUACAAUAACUAGUACCCAUGUGCCAAUAAUUAUUGAGAGUUGGAGGAAAGUCCCUAAAGAGACUAAGGAGAAGUUGUGGGAUUUGAUCACGGUAAGCCUAUCUAUAGCUUUAAUAUAUAAUUAUUGUAUACAUUCAUUAACAUGAGCUAACAUGGGUUGCUAUUUUGUAGACAAGCUUUAAUGUGAAUAAAAAAUCCAAGAGGAAUUGUUUCAUACUAAUGGGCAUCAGGUUUCGAACCUUUAAGUAUAAGUUGACAAAGAAAUAUAUAUUGUCUUUCAAGAAUGACCAAAAAAGCUGAAAAAGUCACCUCCUAUUUGCCCAUUCAUACAAGAGGAUCAUUGGAGACAGUUUGUUAAAGAUAGACUUUUUGAACAUUUUAACGUUAAGCAUUAUUUUUAUUACAUCUUCAAUUUUCACAUUUACAUAGUUUCAUUAUGUACUAAUUUUGUGUCUAUAUUUUGUAGGAAUAUCGCAAAGUUCAAAAAUCAAGAAGAGAUAAACACAUUUACAAUCAUUAUCUUGGAAGAAAAUGAUAUGCACGUUUUGAGCAAGAUAUAGUAAGUUAUCAAUAUCCAUAAAAAAAAUGGAGUAUAUAUUUUGUUUAUAGGAAAAUGAUUCUAGUUUUUAAAUAUCAUUUAUUAACUUGAUCAUGUUGAACUAAUGAGUUUUAUUGUUAAAAAUUUUAUAGCUACAAGCAGAAGGGGCUAUUGGUAGGGUUGAUAGAAGUGUUUAUGAAAGAAAACACGUGAGAAGAAAGGAAAGUUUAAUAAGAUUACAAAGCUAAUGAUUAACUAAGUUAGCAUAUUUAUCUCUUUUAGAGCCUAUAAUGUUAGUAUGUCUAUGUGAUUAUGGUUUAGGAUGAUAUCGUUAGGUGUUAAUAGGGAAGAGGCUUAAUGCUAUCAUUUUUAUGAGUAGUCAUGUUCUAUUAGUGCAAAUAUAGUAGCCUAAUUUGAAAAUUAAUUUUGAAACAAUAUACAUUAAUUUAUCUAUUAUCAUUUUUAUUAAAACAAUUCAUUUUCUAGCUACCUUGAAUUGGUCCUCUUGAAUUGGUUGUCUUUGAUUGAUAUGUUAAUCAUCUUCAUCAAAUUAUUACUAAUAUAUGUUUUGUUGUAGGAUGAAUUACUAGAAAAGGCAAGGAGACUGGACUACCUCCACCUGGUCCAAAUGACAUAUUAUGUCAGGCAUUGGGUAAGCUUGAUCAUCUAGGACGUGUGGUAGGUCAAGACCACUUGGUUAGGCCGAACUCAUACUUUCAUCAACCAUUUGAUGACAUGAAAAAAAAUAAUCAAAGAAGAAAUAUGGGAAAUGGUGUGAAAGGGGAUGCAAAAUGCUGUAACAAGACAAACUAUGUCUCCUCCCACACCCCAUUCUGAUAUAGGUAGUAAUAACAUGAGACAACAACUUGUUUUACAACUAGUUGUAGCAAAAAAACCAAUGUUUAAAAUGAUGGAAGAGCCCUAACCACCAGAACCACCACUGAAACGUAAGGUAUACAUUUACUUACUAAUAAUACAAGAUUAAUAUAAGUGAUAUAUAGCCUAUGUAAAUGAUAUUAUUUGUUGUAUUAAAGGUGAUUAAAUAUAAAUUAGCAGUGGAAUGAAAAUGAAAUGUUGUUGCAACCAGUACAUUAAUAGAAGAAAAUUGAUCAAAUGGGUUGGUCGUAAUAAAUGUUGCACACAAGCUAGAUGCUAGACUCCCAUUUCCAAAUCCAUAUGAGAUUAUCAAUGUUGGGGAUUCUAUUGGCCUUAAGCUUGACUGGCCAACAAGCCUUGUCAUACUUGAAACUAAACAUCCUCGGGUAUGUCAUUUUAUACUUGUAGUAAAUUUGAUUGUAACUUGGUAUUUUAUUGUUUAGGAGUAUAUAUUACUAACAUUCCUUCAUUUUUCAUAAGUGUUGGAUAAAGGAAAGAAGUAGAUAGUGAAUGCACCAAUUAUUCGAAAAUCUAAGCCUCAAAAUUAUUCGGUCAUUAAAAAUUUUCAGAAAUUUAUGGAUGGUUGUCUUAGUAAUGAGAAGACAUACCCAAUACAACUCCCCAUUUCACUAUUUGGUGUCGAAUUCCGAACAUAUAUAUCUAGAGAGGAUUGUGAAUACAUUAUUUCAUCUUCAGAGGUGUCAUCAAAAUGCAUCUCCUUCCACUUAUGGUGUGCACCUUUUAUUUUCAUUUGUUUUUAUUUUUUUAAUAUGAGUUGCCCAUGUUGAACAAGAUUGGAUAUGACUAAUGAUAAUUUUCUUUUGGUGUUUUGAUAAUAUAAUAGGUACAUGCAUGAUCAACUACAUAUUGCCAAAAAGGAAUCACAAUUUAUAUUUGUUAAUCCUUUUACAAUAUCAUGAGCAGGCUUUAGUAAUCCUCAAACAGAGAAAAGAACACAAUUGUUGUCAAAACACUUAAUAGAGUGCCAAGAUGUCGGAUAUGUUUUCAUGCCCUACAACCCCGAGUAAGUGACGAAUAUUAUACUUUAAUUUGAGGUUUUAUGAUUGAUUUAUAUUUAUAAUUAGAUGCUACUUUUGUUUUUAAUGUUUUAGCUUUCAUUGGGUCUUGGUAGUGAUUGAGCCAAGGAAAAUGAUAGUCCACUAUCUUGACCCUAUGCAUCACAAACCAUGUGAGGACUUAAAGGAUAUCGUAAACAUGUAAGUUCUUCCUAUUAUUUUUCAUAGUAUUAUUUUAAAAAAAAUUACAUUCACCUCAAACACAUUUUUUAUUGUUAUUUCUAUAUAUUAAAACAUAUAAUAUUUACCUAUUUUAAAAUUGUACCCAUUGAACUUAUUUACAUAGGGCUCUUUAAAUAUAUGCAAAGAAAAUAUCUAAGAGAGAGCCAUCUUGGCAACUAGUGCAAGUAACAUCCAAAAAUUUUCUUUACACAUUUAGCUUAUGCAUUUGCACCAUUUAUAUAUAUGAGUACUAAUGUUAUUUUAUAACUGAUCGAUUAGUGUCCAAGACAAGAAGGAGGGUUCAAAUGUGACUACUUUGUUAUGAGAUUCAUUAAAGAGAUAAUUUUUUAUCCUACAAUGAUUGCUUCAAAGGUAUUACUUAUUUAAUGACUUGUACAUAUUUUUAGGCUUCCAAAUGUUAUGCAUUUUAAUGUUAUUUUCUUAUUUGAUUUCAGUUUGGUGAUAAAAAAAACAUAUUAUCAAGUAGAAUUCAAUGAAAUUAGAGGAGAAUUGACUACUUUUGUGCUACAACUAAUCAUGAAUCAUGUUGAUGCAUCAUGAUCACCAUGCAUGGUGAGUCCCUUAGCUACUACAUGAAUUUUUCCAUAGAUUAUAGUAUUGCUUUUCUUUGAACAAUGUUUUUAUUUGAAAAAAAGAAAAAAAAAAGUUCUUAGAUUUGUUCAUUUAUGAUAACAUCGAUCCAUAUUUAUUUUCUUCAAUNNNNNNNNNNNNNNNNNNNNNNNNNNNNNNNNNNNNNNNNNNNNNNNNNNNNNNNNNNNNNNNNNNNNNNNNNNNNNNNNNNNNNNNNNNNNNNNNNNNNGGUAUACACUCUUAGGAGGGUGGAAUAGAGAAUAAAAAGAACAAAGAAGGCAACAAGAUUUUGGGUUUUUAAAUGCAGCUCGUAUGUCAUACAUUGUAGGACAUAAACGUUACUUUAAUUGGUAGUGAGAAUUUUAGAUUUUUAGAUGCUACUUUUAUGUCAUUUUAUAGUUAGUCGGUUUUAUGCUUAUGAAAUGAAGGUAUACAUGAAUCUUGGGAUGCUUAACAUUACUAGAUCAUGUUUUGGUAUGUAUUCACUCUUCUUUUUUAGUUUUGGUGGGUUUGAUAUAUUGGAUGUACUAUCUUUUUGUGAACAUUUGAUAUACAAAUAUUAUUAGAUGAUCAAUGUAUUACGAGUUAUUCCAUAAACAUUACUGAAAAAUGAGUUAAAUGUAAUAUGAUUGUUAUAUUUAUGGACAAAAUAUACACAGGUUAAUCCUAUUUGUUAAUUCAUAAGCAUUACAAAAAUCUACAACUAAAAGCAAUCAUAUCUUCCAUGAUAAUUUACAAUGAUGUGACACCAUAACUCAAAGGUGAUGCAUUUAAUGUGACAUCAUAACUCAAAGAUCAUGCAUUUAAUGCGACAUCCUAUCAUCACUAGAAAUAUAUGAUGUCACUUUCGAAUGCGUUACCAUUUAUCUACUUUGGUGUCACUUACAAAUACGUCACCAAUUGGUACCCUCUAUGGUGUCAGUGGAGAAGGUGACACUAUGUUGUAGUGACACCCUAUGUUUAUGGUGACUCGUUAUAAAUGUCACCAUAUAUCUUUUUUCUUGUAGUGCAAAUUACUUAUCUUACUAUGCAUUGGGCUUUGAUAUUAGCCAGAGACAGUAGUGGCUCCUAAUUUUUAUCCUUAACUGAAAUGAAAACGUUAAGCAGGUCCCCAGCCUCUUUUUCGCCAUUCUUCCACUAUUCUACUAUUUGGUCCAUGAUUGGAUCAUGGUACUUGUUAAUGGUGUUCAUAGCCUCCCAUAUAGUCUUUUCAUGGCCAUCUAAAUUCAGCACUCUCUGCCAUGGGAAGUAAUCAGAUAAAGAGAAUACAUAUAGAUGAGCAAGUAUAGUAAAGAAGGAUUCAACAUGUUGCUCCACUUCAACUCUAGGGCCUCCAUCUUUCUUUCGUUCGCCAAAGUAUCUUGUGUUGAGGAUCAUCUUUCAGAUGACAUUCCCGUUGUAUUGACGGACUUUAUUUCUGUCACACCCCAAAUACUAGGCAACCCAGAACUUGACUCGUGGCCCUAGGUCAAAGGUUUGACCCUAAGAGUUACUCUUAUCCAUGUUGGCAAUCAAUCAAAACACCCUAGAUUUUUUUUCUUUUCAAUAAAGCGUUUAAUCCUAAAUAAAUUUAUUAAGCUAAGAUUUACUAUAACAUAUCAUUUUAUUUUUCCAAAACUAACCAUCACAUUAUCUCCUGUUCACAAGUAUUAAAAAAAUAAAAUUCCACCAAUCAUCUUCCUACCCAAAAGCUCAAAUAUUUACAAUAAUCUCUAAGUCAAAAAGAAUAUUUCCAAAAAUGUUUUACAAACUAAUAAAAUAUAAUUUAACUUAAAAAGGUCCAUAUAACUCAAAUUAGUAGAUGUCAAAAAGGUAAUUAAAAAAAAACAACAACCAUUAUUAUGGUUUUUUUGCUUUUUAGAACACUUCAUGAUCUUCUUAUGGUCCCUUAGAAACUAUAUCUGCAUCUAAAAAUUUUAGAAAAUAAAGGGAUGCACAUUUCCACGUUACUCUUUAGACCUAGACGAGUUAGAAAUUCUAGGUCAAUAAAACACAACCAUAUGCCAAAAUAUAAUAUUACAUUUACAUUAUACACACUAAAAGAAACCUCAACCAUACAAAUUUAAAUCAAUCAAAAUUAUCAUUUUCCUUAUUUAAUCAUAUGUUUAGCAUAUCAAUAAUUUUAAAUUUACAAAAUAAAUAAGUCACUUUAGUCUUGAAUAAUAUAUUCAAACAUACACUUGAUAAAUAAUACAAAUCAUUUUUCCAAAUGCAACCAUGAUACAAAUGCUUACACACAAUCGCGCAAUGCAAUAUCGUUCUCGGGCUUUCACCGAAGGAUAUGCAUUUAUACCCAAAUACACUCCCCAUUCGGAGUCUUCCUGGGAUAAACUUUUGAGUAUUUCACCCUAAGGAUCUCACUCCCUUCUUAACUCACCAUCUCUAGGGUCAUUCAAUUUCUUAUUUUUCUUUUCUUUUCAUUUUUGCCAUUUUUGGGGUCUUUUCAUUCUCAUUUCCAUUUCACACAACCAUUUCUUUAAUUUUUCUUUUUCUUCACACAAUCAUGAUGCAUAUGAAAUGCAAUUGAAUCAUAUUUUAACAUACAUAAUUUUCCAAGACAUAAUUUUAUUUACUCCCAUUAUGUUUCAUAAUUUCCAAUAAUCCACACAACGAUUUUUCUUCACUUUAAUCGUCACAAACAUAAAAGAAAAUUCACAAUUAAUUUGUAUAGCAUCAAAACAUAGUUUUAAACAUUGACCACAUAAAUUCUAUUUAUUCCCGACAUGCUUAAUAAUUUCCAAAUCCAAUAUAACCAUUUUUUUUCAAUUAAAUAAUCACACAUAUCCAAGAAAAUUCUCGCUAAUACAAAUAUCAACGAAAAUGUAAUUUAUGUCAUAAUUUAUUUGUCUCCAAUAAUUUCAAAAAUUUUGACACCCAUAUGACAAAUUUCCACAAUUAAGCCACCCCAACAUUUGGGAAAAAUUUUCCAAUAAUUCAAAUAUCAACAAAAACCCAAUUUAUAUCAUCAUUUUAUUUAUUUUUAAAAGCAUUAAUAAUUUUAAUAAUCAAUACAACACUUUUCCACAAUUAAGCCACCACAACAUUCUGGGAAAAUUUUCCAAUAAUUCAAAUAUUAACAAAACACAAUUAUACCUUAGUUUUUCUUAUCUCCAACAACAUCAAUAAUUCUUAGUACUCAAUACAACUAUUUUUAUUUUUUCAUAUUUAAUCUUCUCAAACAUUACCAAAAUUCCAAGAAAAAUCUAUAAAUCACGAAAUAAAAUUAUUCACAAUAAUAAUCACACUUCAAAUACUACAAAUAACAUCUAUUAUAUUUCAACAACACAAUAUAUAAAUUUUUUUGAAAGAAAAUAUUAAAUCAAAGUUUUAGGGUUAAAUCACCCUACCUUAAAUUUGAAAAUUUUAACCAUUAAAACUAAAACGGGACACCGUAGGAGUGUUCCUUGCAUUGAAUAGAAUAUCCUUCCAAAAUUUCAUGCGAAAUGGACGUCAUUUGGUAGGUCCACCAGCAUCCUAAAGCUGGCGACCCAUUUUUCCCACUCUUUGCUGAUGACUCCCCUACAUCUCUCACUCGAUUUCCUUUCUUCAUUUUCUUUUCUUCUUCUUCUUUUAAACUCCCACGCCAAUUUCACUUUAUAUAUAUAUAUAUAUAUAUAUAUAUAUUAUUAAAACAAAUCCUAAAAUACCACGCACAUCCAUUUCUCAAUAAAUUAAAACCAUUAUUCUUAAAUUCAUCUUCCGUAAUUAUGAAUUAUACCAAACUUAUGAUUUUCCAUUUCACGAAAAAUACCACCGUAUUCGUAAUUUAAUUUACUACAAGUCUACUCUUCAAAAAGUAUAAUUUGAUUAUAAUUACAUGAAACAUUGUUUUUUUACUCUAAAAUUCAUUUAAAACAUGAUAUAAUUAACUAUUAAAAAAAUUUAAUUCCAUAAAAUAUUAAAAACAUAAAAUAAUUUUUUGGCAAUCAAGAAGUUGAAAUUUGUAAUAACCUUUAACCUGUUAAUUUUACCUAUAUUUAUUUACCAACAAAAAUUUAAAUAAUAUUCUAAAAUUUAAUUCCAUAAAUUAAUUAGUCAUUCAAUUUAUAAAAAUCAAAUUCUCUACCCUUUGGUAUAACUUUUAUUUAAUUUACUUCAUUUUUCAAAUUAUUCAAUCGCAUCAAAAUUUCAAAAGUUAAAUUCACUAAAUUCACAUUUAAUUAAUUUAUCCUUUUGUAUUUUUUUUUUCUAAAUUCGCAUAUCAUAAUUUAAUCUUAAUUUAAUUUUGAUUCAAUUUUGUUUUAUGUUUUCUAAUUUUAUGAGGUUUAAUUUCAAUUAUAAAAAUUAAAUUCAAUUUCUUUUUAAUUAUCCAUUAUCACAAUUUGAUAUAAUAUAAUUUUUUAUCAAGUUUUUCUUACUACGAUUUUUCUUAUAAUUAUCCAAUGAUAAUUAAAUUAAUUCUCAUAACAUAUUUAAUAUUCAAAUUUUAAAAACUUAAUCUCAAUUAUUUGAUGGUUAAUUUUUUUCUCAAAAUCUAAAUUUAAUUUAUGAAAUUCUCACUUCUUACAUCUGACGUGGCAAAAUUUUCAAACUAUUGACUUUUGACCAACUUUUCCUAAAUUUAUCCUAAUUAAAUACUAACACAUGGAUUUUCACCACUCUUUUUGACCUUUUGACCCACAAAUUUAUGAAAGACUUUAUGCUUGGAGAAUCUACAAAAACCUGGGUAUUACAAUUUCUCAGGUUGAUAACUGUCGUGGUUACGAAGCCACCACUUGAAUCCUCAGUCGCCAUUGUAAUGGGCCUGGAUGCAAAUAGUACAUCAUGUUUCUUCAAAAGUUCUCUGCUAAUCUCUGGGAAAGUCGUAGGGACGAAAUGAAAUAUUUCCCAAUUGAAUACAUGCAAUUUUAGUGUUCAUUUCUUUCAUAAAGCCAAUGUAUCCACCAGAAAGUUGGCUUUUUGUUGAGUAAAUGAGGUAGAUAUUGCACUAGUGGCCAUGGAGCUAAUCCUGGAGGAAGUUGUAUCGGCUUGCUUUUGGUACUUGUUUUGGAAUUUAAUUUAGUGAAGAUGAGAAAGAUUGAUGUGAUGAAAAGCAAUAAGAGGAAGUUGAGAUGAGACAACACAUCGUCUGUGGUAGUAGAAGAAAACAAGGUUGAGUUACUGCUACUACUCUCUGCAACAAAACCAUUUACACGUCUUUUAUAGCAAAACCAUGUUUGUCCUAUCUUGGGUCUGGAUGCACAUUUUUAAUAUUGGGGAUCAUGCAACCAAAUGUCACACACAAAGAGAGAGAAAAAAAUACGUUUUUUAGAACUUGAAAAGGUAAAAUGGGACAAAAAAUAUUAUCCAUUCUUGAACUCUAAAAGUAAAGUUAUAAAAAGCUUAGGUGGUGUUUGUUUUUUUACUUAAUUCUAAAUAGAACCUUAAUGCUUAAUAGUGUUAAAUAUUAGGUUGUUUGUUUUUGUAGUAUUUUAUUUCUAUUAAGUAUUAAAAAGUAAAAAAACCAAUAUGUUAUUUUUUCUAUUAAGAAAAAGUUACAUAUUUUGACUUUUUCUAUUUAGUAAAAAGUUUAUAAUAAGUCAUGAAAAAGUAGAAAAACAAACAACUUAAAUUUUAAAACUAAAUUGCUUUCAGCAAAAAGCCAAAAAAACAAACACCACCUUAGUUUUUUUUUUUUUUUUUUUUUGUUAUGUAUGAUUACAUGAUUUCCCCCUUUUAAGAUUUUAUCUCAUAAAAUUUUUUUUCUAGAAGGUUCAAAUAAGUUUGAUGAAUAUUGUUUAUUUUAGUAAUUUUAAUUUUGUGGGGUACUUAAAACAUUAGAAGUUCACAAAAAGCAACAUUUAUCAGCUACCUAUCUAAAAAGCUUGGCCUAAUCAUUGAAAUCCAAAAUAUAAAGUGACAACACACUUUUUAAAGCAAUUUUCAAAAUAGUUUUCAAAAACACAUUUAUUUAUGAUAUUUUUAAAAUAAAAAUCUCAAAAAUAACUUGUUUAUAUAGCGUUUUAUUAGACAAAUACUUGAUCUUUAUAAGAUCACCCUAAUUAUAGAUUUAUGAACAUGUAACACAACAAUUAUCUAUAUAUAUACUUAGAAUUAUUAUAUUUUAAGUUUUUAACUACAUAGGACAUCGUGAGUUUUUCCACCAUUUAUCUUAUAAAAAGUUUAUUUAAAUAUGAUAAAGGAUAUAUUAUCUCAUUUCUUAUUAUAUCUGAUGCUAUAUAUAUAUAUAUAUAUGUAACAGAUCAAAUACAAUUUAAAGAUUUUAAUUAACCAUCUAUUAGCAACAAAGCAAUCUCUUAAUCUCAUUCAUAAUAUUAGGAUAAUUUAGUAUUUCCUUUUAUAAAACACUAGCAUAUAAAUCAACACAAAUCAUAUUAAGGGUGUAUUUGGUGUUGAUUUUAGGAAGCGUUUUUAGUAUUUCUAAUACUUGAAAGAUAAAAAUUUUCAAGUUUUAGAAAGAUCAAAAGCGCUUUUUAGAAUGACUAUCAAAUACAUGCUAAAUAUUACUUUUGGAUACUUAUAUUUUUAAAUAACUCUUAAAACUUUUAAGGCAAGUCUCUACUAUUUAUAUAAAUCCCCUAUUAUUUUUAAUUUUUAGAAACAAAAAAUAAAGAAUAGAAACUCCAUUUAAACAUCACCUUAUUAUUUCCUAUUAUAAAAUAACACAAAUCAAAUGAAUUAUUUAAAAAUAAAUAAAUAUAAAAUCAAAGUUGAAGAGAAAAAACUCUUGUGCAUUAAAAAAACAUCAAAAUAAAUAAAUAAAUAAAACAUCAUCAAAUAAAUGUAAAAAUAAAUUAAUGUUAUGGAAAAAUGAGAAUAGGCAACAAGAAAAUAAGAACACAGAUUUACAUGAAAAAUGCUAGACGGGAAAAACCAUGGAUAGAGGAGAAGAAAAUCCACUAUAUUAAAAAUUUGGUAUAAAAUGUGAGAGAAUCAAGCGACUAUUGUAUAGGCAUAAUCACUAUGACCCUAAAUCCUAUACAUCAUCGCAUAUGUAUGGUGUAUGCGAUAAUAUUUGUGAUAAUAAAAAUAUUGUCACAUAAAAUAACUAUGGGAUGUAAUAUUUGUAAUAAUAUUCUUUACAAAAAAAUAUUUUUUCUUUGCUUUAUUCACUUUGAUCACAACUUGAAAUAAGACAAUAAAAAUAUUUUCUUAAUUUUUGAAAAUUAAUUGAGGACUUAGAGCUACUUGUUACUGAGUGAAUUUGCUGAAUGGUGAAGAAUGCGUGUAUAGUAGUUUUGCAAUUUUUCAAACUUGUAGACAUAUUUUGUGAAGUCUUUUUCUCUUUGUAAAGCCCCAUUUUCUAUGUGAAGUUAUUUUUUCAAUAUUCUCUUUGGAAGGAAUUUACCAUUAGUUAUAUAGGUAAGAUUAAGGAAUUAAAUUUGGAAUUCUUAAGAUUUGAUUACUUAAUUCAAAGAAUUUGGUUCAAGGGAAAUUUGCCAACAAAAUAAUAUUUAAUUUUAAUUCUAUGAUGACUUUAAUUAUUUGAUAUAAUUUUAUUUUGAAAGACUUGAUGUGGGGGACUCAUCACUUAUUGAGUCCAAAUUUUGUUGCACCCAAAUUUUUAUGAGCUAAGAAACCAUAAUUUUAAAGACCAAUUCAGUGGUAAGUAAAUCUGCUAAAAUCUUCUAUGUACAAAUGACCUCACUUCAAGGUGCAACACAUACAUGUAUUAUUAUGUGUAUGGGAUGAGUCUUGAAGUUAGUCUUCAUUCUUCUUUGAUUUUUUUUUCUUCAAAUAAAUAAAUAAAACAUCAUCAAAUAAAUGUAAAAAUAAAAUAUGUAUCAGUUAAUUGGAGAGGAGAGCUUUAAGGGCAUUUCUUCUAUGAAAUUCUAUGCUCCACGUACCAUAAAUUUGUACUCAACCAACAAAAUUACAGAAUGGGUCCAUGCACAAACAAAAAUAACCCAAAUGUGAAUAUCUAAAAAUGUAUGAAGUUCACAAUAGAUAUUCAAGCCCAAAUUUAAAUUUCAAAUUAGUCCAACAGAUUUCAUUAAUCAAAAUGGGUCCAAAUUAGCAAAUAUAACCCAACAAAAAUAUCUCAUAUGUCAUAGGCCCUAAUUUAAAAUUUUCAAAUUAAUAGCCAAAAUAUAAGUUCAAUUAAUCAAACCCAAAACAUGAUAAAUUAAAAUAAAUCUCAUUAGGCCUAAACUUAAUAUCCCAUAAUUCAAGCCUAAUUUAAUAUAUAAACCUAAAUCCACAAUCAAAAUCAACCCAAUUUAUGCUAAUCCCGAUUUACAAUCAAAAUCAAACAUAAUUUAAUAAGUAAAUAACUAAAUAAAUUAAGCAAACUCAAAACACCCAAACCACUACAACAUAAAUCAAACAAUAAUAAAUAUAAUGACAACAAUAAUAAUAAUAAAUAAAAUAAAAUAAAAUAAAAUAAAAAUAAAAAAUUUAACUCACGUCGGAGCCAGUUUGAAUGUCUUAGGAAAGAAAGAAAAUGAGAGAAAAGUGAGAGAUGAUUGACAACUGACAGUGGCUCACUAGCGGCAACUGGUUAGUGGUCCUACCGAUGGUAGUGAGGAUUGAUUGGUUUUUGGGAAAAAAAAUAAAAUGAAGAAAAGAAAAUGAGAAGUAAUAAAAAAAAUGGAGAAAUGAGAGGAAGGUGGGAGAAGAAUGGAGAGAGAGAACGUAGAAAAUGAGUGAAAAGAAAUGAGGCUAGUUGGAGGAGAAAGUGGUAGUGUGUGAGCUAAAGUGAAGAAUAAUAGAAGAAGAAAAUGGAGAAGAAUGGGGAAAAAAAAAUCCGUCUCCCUAAAUGAAGAAAGGUGGGUAGCCUAAAGAAGAAGAAAAAAUAAAAUAAAAUAAAAUGGGGAGAAAAUGAGAGGGGGUCGGUGGUCUUGCGAAUGAGGUGGUAUGCGUUAGAGAGAGAGAGAGUGGGUGGGGUUGUUGGGGUUGUUGGGGAAGGUAUGAGAGAGAGAGGAGAGAGAAAAGAAAAAAAAGAAAGAAAAGAAAAAAGAUAAUAUAAAAUAAUAAUAAUAAUAAUAAAAUAAAAUAAUAUACAAAAUAAUAAAAACUAAUAAUUAAAUAGUGAGUGGGCAAAAAAUAUCAUAUGUAAUCAAGAUUUAAUUUUAAGAGUAAAAUUGGGUUAAAAAUUAAUGUAAAAUAAAAUUGGGAUAAAUUUUGGGGUAUACAAAUAUGCACCUCUUCAAUAGAGUCCACGAGUAAAGCAAGUGUAUAUGUGAGCAAAACAAAGUGGGCUCUACUGAAAAAUAAGAAAGACCACCAAAUUUGUCUUAAUAUGACAUGAACUCUCCCAAAUAAAAAAAAUAAAAAAUCUAAAACCCUACAAAAAUGGCCAAAAUGGAAACUCCUAAGGUGCCUCUAAAGUUAUACUAUGGAUCUAGACUCCCUUAGAAAAGCCUCCAAAAAUGGCCCAAAAAUCGGUGCCAAAAUCGAGUAGCAAUCAGACCACUAAGGAGCACAUGAACGAAUGCAUACAAAGGGAAAAAAACCAUACGUGUACCAUACGAUGACAAAAGGCAUAAGGUAUCCAACAAUAUGACUGAUUCACGUGUUACGAGCUUAAAGAACUUUGUCAUGCACCAUGGAGGAAGGGAAACUCUAGAAUAAUGUGAUGAGGAAGUUAUUAGCACAAUGUAACAGAGUGAGGAAAAAAGUGAUGAGUGCAAAGCUGUGAGGACAAAGUGCACAAUGCUAAUGAAUAUGAAAUGAAUAGCACUAGGCUAUAAUGCAAUGAAUAGCUCAGGGUUGUACCAUAAUGAACAAGUCAAGGAUGUGUAAAGAUGAGGAACAACUCAAGGUUGUAAUGCAAUGAACAACUUAGGGCUAUGAAUGCAAUGAACAGCUCAGCUCAAUGAAUGAAAUGAAUAGCUCAGGGCUGUGAAUGCAAUGAACAACUCGACGUUGUGGAUGUAAUGAACAACUCAUGGUCAUGGAUGCAAUGAACAGCUCAGGGCUAUAGAUGAACAACUCGGGGUUGUGGAUGUCAUGAACAACUCAAGAAUAGGGGCACUAUACACCCAAAAUGGGAGAUCACGGUCUACGAUUCCAAGUCAAACCACUAAAGGGUGACCAAAAUGAGGGUGAUCAACUCACUAAAAAAGAUGAUCAAAAUGUCUUAAGGGAGAGGAGAUGCCCCAGAUGAAACUUAAAGGAAAUGAGUAGUGCUAAUGAAACUAAAAAAAGAAAAAAUGUCACAACUGAAAUUGAAAAAAUAGCAAACUUAGAUUAAAGUGCAAUGAACAACUUUGGGCUGUUGCGAUGAGUAGUACCGUGUUGUAAUGAAAUGAAUAACUUUAAGAUAUGGGCAUUGUACGCCUAAAGAGGGAGAUAGUGGUUUACGACUCCAAGUCAAACCACUAAAGGACGACUAAAAUAAGAUGAUCAACUUACUAUAAAUGAUAAUGCAACUAUCUCGAGAAAAAGGGUAUGCCCCAAAUGACACUCAACAGUAAAAGAAUGACACAAAUGAAACUAAAACAAGAGGAUGCCACAAAUGAAACUGAAAUGAUAACAGACUCAGUACUAAUGUGUAAUGAACAACUUUGGACUAUGGAUGCAAUGACUAGCACUGGGUUGUAAUGAAAUGAACAACUCUAAGAUGUGGGCACUAUACCCCUAAGAAAUGAGAUCAUAGUUUACGACUCUAAGUCAAACCGCUAAAGGGCGACUAGAAUAGGAUAAUCAACUCACUAAAAAUGAGGAUGCAACUAUCUCGAGAAAGGGGGUAUGCCCUAAAUGACACUCAAUAGUAUAAGAAUGACAUAAAUGAAACUAAAAUAAGAGGAUGCCACAAAUAAAACUAAAAUGAUAACAAACUCAAAACUAAUGUGCAAUGAAUAACUCUAGGUUGUGGAUGCAAUGAACAACAUUGGGCUGUAAUGAAAUGAACAACUCUAAGAUGUGGGCACUAUACGCCUAAAGAGGGAAAUCACGGUCUACGACUCCAAGUCAAACCACUAAAGGGCGACUAGAAUAGGAUGAUCAACUCACUAAGAAUGAGAAUGCAACUAUCUUGAGAAAAGCGGGAUGCCCUAAAUGACACUCAAUAGUUAAAGGAUGACACAAAUGAAACUAAAACGAAAUGAUACUACAAAUGAAACUGAAAUGAUAAUAAAUUGAUAACUAAAGUGCAAUGAACAACUCUAGGCCGUGGAUGCAAUGGACAGCUCAAGAAUAGGGGAACUGUUCGCCCAAAAUGGGAGAUCGUGGUAUGCGACUCUAAGUCAAACCACUAAAGGGUGGCUAAAAUCAAAAUGAUCAACUCACUAAAAAUGAGGAUCUGAACAUCUCAAGAAAGGGGUUAUGCCCCAAAUGAAACUGACAAUAGAGGGAUGCCUUAAACAGACUGAAGAAAGAAGGAUGCCCUAAACAAAUUAACGAAAAAUGGAUGCCCUAAACAAACUGACGGAAGUGAAAUGCCCUAAAUAAACUGACCAAAGAAGAAUGCACUAAACAAACUCUGAGAAAAAAAAAAAAAGAAGUAUGCAAUAUAGAAUCAAAAACACCUAAAGCAAAAACAAGAAACAAAGAAUGUGGUUUACAACUAGAAACACCCAAAAGAACCUUAAAGAAGUAACUGGGAUAAUGAACUUAAUGAAAAUGGGGUAUGCCACAGUAAAAGACUCGGAAGUAUCAGCAAAUGGGUCAAACGACCAUGAAAUCAAUAGGAGAUAUGAUGAACCCAAAAAGGGCAUAUGCCCCAACAAAAGAACACUAAAAGGGGGGUAUGCCCCGAUAUGACGACUCACAAUAAUUAAGAAAUGGAUCGAGUAAUGAGAAAAUCUGCAAAAUAUCCUAUGAACUCAAAGAUGGGGGUAUGCCCCAGUGUAAAAUAGUGACCAACAUAAGACACAGAAUGUCACCAUACAAUACACUCUGGGAUAUGCUCAAUGUCAAUGUAAUGAAAACAAUAGCCUCAAUCAACAAAUGUUCAAGCAAGACCAUGCAUCACAUAAACUAAAAUAAUAGGCUAAACAAAUGCUAACCAAGUCUCUCAAUCUGAAAUGUAAGCAAGUCAAGACAUGACAUGCCAACCAUCGACAUGAAAACAUCAUCACAAAUACAUCAACAAACUAAUAGUCCCUACUAUCAUGGAAGAUGUAGAACCUAACGUCCAAAGGCAUGUGAAAACUCAACCAGAAAGCUCAAGACUAGUUUGCAUCCUCCUCUAAUAAAAAGAAUGAGAUAAGGUCAUGUAGGAUGAUGAAAUAGGCAAGCUCAAUAUUCGUUAGGCUCUACCAAGAUGGAUGUAGGUAUAAUAGUGUCAAAGGUAGGAUGUCUAGAUUUCCAACGAAGGAAACUGGGUAUCCAAGUCAAACCAAGUAUGUUGAGGAAACUGAACCCAUAGGACAAUAACUUUAUGAUCCAUUGAAAAUAGCAAUCAUGAAUAGAAGGUCGAGUCUCGAUGUCAAAAUCAACAAGGUGGCAUUGCCCCAGUAUGAAUACAUCUUCUCAAAAUGGGUAAACCUUUAGUGCAAGAUAAUCUCUAGAAAGUGUGUGUCUAGUAUAAACUGUCAUCUCACAAAAUUUAUCACUGAUGAGUGGGCUAUACCCCAGUGUAAGCAUUUCCAAAUCAAACAUCGAUGAGAGGAGUACAACCAAUCAUACAUAAUAUGAUCAAAACAAAUCUCCACUCCUCAAAGUCAUCAUGGUAACGUGAAAAGAGUAUCUAACCUCAUUUAAAGAAAGAUCAUGUCCCAAUGUGAAAAAUAUCAAGCAAAGUGGUAUGUCUCAACAAAAAUGCACUCUAACAUGAUCAUGCCUAGAUGUAAGCUGGUAUCUUUAAGAUCAAUCACCAAUGAAAGGGUUAUGCCCCAGUAUAGGGCAAUCUCUUAAAUGACUAAAAUCCGCUACAAGCUCUCACAAGUGUCUAUGUCAUGAACCAAUCAUCUCAAAAAAUAAAUAAAUAAAUAAAUCUAUCAACAAUGAUGAGAAGGUUAUGCUCCUAUAAUCACACCAAGAAAAUCACCCGGUCAUAUCUUGUACUCCAAUGUGAAAGGAAAAUAUGAUCACCUCCAAAGAAUGGCUAUGCCCCAAAAUACAUCAUCGAUUGAGAAAUAUGCCCCUACGUAAAGUACAUCAACUGAAAUAUGCCAAUCAUGCCUCAUGCUCCAAUGUGAAAAAUGACGUAUAAUCUUCUUUGAGGGAUGGUCAUGACUCAAAUCCAUCAUCAGUUGAGAGAAGUAUGCCCCGACAUAAUGGUCAUCUAAAAAAUCAAUCCCCGACUAAGAAAUAUGUGCCUUGAUGUGAUGUAUCAAGCAAAAUGGCUGCAUACCCCAUAAAAAACUCUCUAAGGUGGCUAUGCUCCAAUGUUGGAUCAUACCACAACUCCUGGUCUAUCACAAUCAAAAUGCUGUCCAACCAAUCCCAAGUAUCGCCCACAUGAGAGCUAUCAAACACAAUGUGUGAUGUCAUGGCCUCAAGGUGGUCUUAAGAUUCGGAACGUAACGUAGGCUAGGGUAAUAAGGUAAAGAAAUGAAGGAAAACUAGGCUUAAUAAUCCUAAUGAUAAAACCCCAUACCUUAUGUAUAAAAUGCAAUAUGUGCAAAGAGUCUCAUAAACCAUGGAUCUAAGGACACCCAAUAUGAAUAUAUCAGUGAGGAAGAAAGAAUCUAAGAUGAAUAUAUCAAUGAUAACAGAGAAGAAAUGAAGAAUAUUAAACUGUUGAUGGGAUGUAUAAGAAUGAUGUAUGGAAAAUAUUGAACAUGGAAUGUAAAUUGAUAUGAACAAAGAACAAUGUAGGCAAGGCAAAUGUGAUAUCAUGAUAAGAACAAAUAAAUCGAAGAAAAAUGAAUGAACACUAAUCCACUCAAAUCAAGUCAUGGAGAAUAGUCAAAUCACCAACGUAUGUAAUGAUGGAGAAGACAAUGAUUCAAAGUCCCUAGGAAAAUGUCACUUGUUUGUCACACAUAAAAUACAUAACGAGAUAGACACAAAAAUAUGAGAGUCUUUUGAAAGUUCACAUACGAACUUUCAUAAGCAACUAACUCAAUAAAGCAACCUCAAUGACCAAUAUAUACACUCAAUAAAGGAUGACACUGUAUACAUGUGUUUAUUACUUUUUCUUUUCAUUUUGUUUUUCAUUUUUUUCAUUUUUGUUUUCAUUUUUUUUCUUUUACUCGCGCAUACUCUGAAUAUCAAUAAAUGAACUUCUCUGAGAAUACAUAAUGAAAUGGAUAUACUCUCAAACAAUGAUGUCAGCGAACUCUCUCUGACAAGAUGACCCUCUAAAUUAAGGAUUUUCGAACUAACGUCCAUGAGAUAGGAGUGGAAGGGGAUAUGACCAUCCUUCCUGCACCGAAAUGUGAAAAAUCAUCACUCAGGGCACAAAAAAAUGUGAUGAAAAAAAAUAAAAAAAUGAAACAAAAGAUAUAAACAAUGAAGUAUGAUGAAGACUGAUGUUGGGAAGACAAAAAAAAUUGUGAAGAAGGUGAGCCAAUAAGUCCUCAACUCAUGAAACUCUCGAAUAAAAUAUAUAUACACCAAAAAACCCUUAUCCCGGUGUAAAAUGUGAGCAAGGAUAUAAGAAAGAAAAAACUAUGGUGCUCAUGUGAGGUUCAAAGGGCUAGCAACGGUCCAAAUGUCAAUAAAGGUAAUAGGGUGUGAGCUAACCAAAAUGAAGGCCACCUAUGAUGGUCUGAAACAUCAUGCUCUUAAGCUUUCAAUGAUCAAUACUGAAAAUCGAUGUCAACCCUUUGGAAUUGUGCGCCAAACCAUACUCCAAAUGCUCCAUAAUAAUCUCAAAGAUAAUCCUCUCAAAGCAAAGUAAAUAGCGAUCUCAUAAGGCACAACUACUCAUCACAAGCCAACUCUCAUCAUGCAAGAUCAAUCUCUAUUUUCAUGGAAAAAUAAGUGACAAUCUCAUCAGGCAAUCGACGAAUCCUCACAUCGUAAACCAACCAAAGAUCAUAAGUCAUUCAUUGCCAUGCAAGAUCAAUCCCAGGCUCAAACUCCUCAUACUCUACCUGGUUGGAUUAGAGAAGAAAUGGGCAAAGCUAGAAAAACUGAAGAUGGAAAGGUCAUAUAAUGGUGUCAAGGGUGAUGUUGUGCAAAACUCACAAUGAAUGGAUGUAGGUCAAAGAAAAGUCAAUGUGUGAGAGUGAGUAAGGCACUACUCUGAUCAUAAGAAGAUGGGUCACAAUCUCAAACUCCUAAGGUCAAAUCUUCGAUCCUAGGCUAAUAAGCUCAACAUCCUCCAUGAUAGGUCAACCCCCAAGAUCACAAUGUGCAAAUGAAUAGAUGCCUCAAGUCAAAAGUACAACACAUCAUAUGAUAUAUGGUCCUACGAUGACAAUCUAAAACUGGAAAUAUGUUAGAAACUCUAAGGUCAUAAAGGUGUCCACUGUGAGAUGACUACAAAUGUGACUAAGGAAUCUUUAUCAAUAAUCCAAAAAAUGAAUGAGGUGUGAAAAACAACACUAUCAUGAGAUCGAUACCCCAUCAAUAACAAAAUAUCUCUAAUUCACUUUCAAUCUAAGCUCUAUAAAGAAAAACGAUAAGGUUAUAAAGGCAAACCUCUCAAAAAUGGUGUGAAUGUGAAAACAUGUCUUCACCUUUCUAUAAUGAAAAUAUCAUGUUGAAAAUAGAAAUAGGCAAAUCAACCAAAGAAUGAAGCACGGAGCCCAUGACAAGUGAAGAAUGUAAAAAGGUGAACAUGAUCAAUGAACAUAUCCCAAAACAUUAAGCAUAAAGUGACAACAAACCGAAAGAAUGUGUCAAUUUAAGAAAAGAAGACUAUCUGAAGCCCUAGGGAGAAAGUGUGCUAGACUCAACGAGCGACAAGAAGAAACUAAAACCAUAUAGCAAGGGGUGGUCCAACUGAUACUCAAACUCGUACCAAUAUCUAAGCACUCUCGACUGGAGACCAAAAGAUGGAGUAUUGGAUCCAUAUUGUGACUAAAGUGGCCUCGAAGGCUCUCAGAUGCACCCACGUGUAGGAAAGGAAAUCCUAAUGAAAAUAUCUAAGGCUUAACCUACAAGGUCAAGGCGGCUCUCAAAAGAAAAUUUGAGUAGACUUUAAAGGAUCCCUAGCAAAAGCGAUCAUACCCUCCGAUGGUACACAACCUCCUACACGUCUUGAAAUAUACGGGAGUGAUUCCAUGCAAGGUGGUCAUCACCUCCACACAUGCACUAUCUCGUAUCCUAGAGGGUUUCCUAAUGAUGAAGACUCUUACAUCUCUCAACACUUAGUGGUAAUCUAAGGUGCACAGUGAACGGUGUGGGUUCAUCCAAAAAUCCUAUCAAGCUAAGCAAAGAGAAAAAACAUUGGUCACACAAAUAUCCUGAAAUCUAGCUCUAACCUAUACAAGUCUUCAAAGAUUAGACUCCAAUUAGCAUUAAUGUUUCGACCUUCUCUAGAAUGCUCCCAAACAUAGAUAUAGUCCAUCACUAAACCCUACUCCGAAUCACUAGCUCGGUCAAAGAGCAAACAAAGUAAUAAGUCUCAUAUCAAAUACGAGAUCAAGGGGAACAUGGUCACCCGAGACUAGGGAAUUGAAGGUAAGGGGAUAGAUGUGUGUCCCGCAUAGAAAAGCAACAUGCAUCACACAGAAGAAGAAUAGUCAUGCAAUAGACAACCAAGCAAAGAACAGGUAUAUCAUUCAUAUCUACACACAAGCUAAACAAGAAAUAGGUAUUUAACAAGAAUAAACAAUAUGUUGAGAUAAACAAGAUAAUAUACGAUAAAGAGAAUCAAUCACACCAAUAUGAAUGAGAUAUACAAAAAUGAGAAUAUACAUGUCAAGGAGAGCAAGAUAAUCAUACAACAAGAAGAGUCUUAUGUUAAAGCAAGCAAGAGAAUCAAUCGAUGUAGUCAACAUGUCAAUAUCUCAAAUGAACAUAACAACCAAAUAUGCAUCAUAAAGAAAAAAUGGUAAUCAUGCAGCACACAGUCAUACAAAACAAAUACAGACAAACAUAAGCAAAUAAAUGUAAACACACAUGAUAACAAAAAUCAAUGUAUAGUAAGGCACAUGCAAUAUAUACAUAAAAUAAUCAUCAAGUCAACACUCAUAUACCUUAAAACAUGAAAAUAUACAAUAAAGACACAACGAGAGGGUAUUCACUGAUCGAUUAAUCAAACGCUACAUUUCCCUUAACUCGAGUUCAAGUUUGAUCCUUUAAAUAUCCCUAGUGAAGUCGCUAUUUUGUGGACCCACAUUUUUCAAAUACGUCCUUACACAACAGCGAGACUCAUUUUUUUUAUUUGGUGAAAAUUUGAUUUUUAGAAAAAAGACUUUGAGUCGUCACUUAUUUUUGUUUUUUUUUAAGGGAAAACAAAACAAGAAAGAAAACCUUGUGUGACUCCUUAUUUGGGAAAGACAUGUAUGCAAAAACCAAAUCUGGAUUCGGGGGUUAAGUUCCCUAUUGAGAAUGUACGAUGGUGAGCUGUAGCACCUCUCUAAGCUCAUAUACGUAUGGUCUCUACUAAACGAAUUAAGAGAAUUGUAGUAAUUAAUUAAUUAGUCAAGGAUACCAAGAAAAAGAAUCGCACAAAUGAGUACGUACAAAUCAUGAUAAAAAAAAUCAAAUUAUAAGAAUAGACAAAAUAAAUAACAAGAGAAUUGUGCAAAGUGAUUUAUUAAACUAAAUAAAAAAGAAGAUAUUAAAAAAAUUAGUUUUCAAGAAAUUUCAACGGAUUUUAUUAAAAUGAUUUUGAAUUAAUGAUUUUUAUUUAUUUAUUUACAAAAAAAGUGUCAAUUUAUUUUCUUCAAGUGAUUUGAUUCAAUUUCAUUUGUAUUCAAUUUUUUUUUUUUAAAAGUUAUUUACACUCAUGGUUGUUAAAAGAAUUAUUCACAAAAUUUCAAGUUGACAAUAAAAAUGAUUUUUACUUGCUUUUACUCAAAAACAAUGAAUUUUUACAAUUUUAUUAACAAAAGCAUUUCAAUUUAAGAAAAGUGACUUAAACAAAUUAUUAAAAAAAAUAUAACUUUAUCUGCAAAAGAAUUUUUAAUUAAAAAGAAAAAAUUUAAGUCAUCUAUUUCUAAAAAUGACUUUUAAUCCCAUUUUAAUUAAGGAAAAUUGAGUUAUCUAAAAAAACAUUUUUUGGACAAUUUGAAUAAAAAUUAAUUUUUGGGACAACUUUAUUUACAAAACAAUUUUUGGACAAUUAUUAUUAAAAACAAAAUUUCAAAUUCGAUUAAAAACAAUUUUUUGGAUUUUUCCAAACACAUUUUUAUGAAUUUUUAUUAAUAAAAAACUUUUUUUUAUUAAGAAGAAUAUUUUUUGAGCUAUUAUUUUAUUAAAACAUGUUUAUUGAAUUAUUCUUCUUCUUCAAACAAAAUUUUUAAUUUGUUCGAUAUCCAAUUCUGUACACAACAAGUAAAUAUAUACAAACAAAUAUUUAUAGAAACCAAUAAAAAUAAAACCAAAUAGAAGUGAGAAAUAAAACAUGUACUUAAACAAGCUUACAACAAGCUCAAUGUCUUCUUACGACUUUUCGAGUUUCACUUUCUUUCAUUAAAUUUUAUGCUCCACGUACCAUAAAUCCGUACUCAACCAAAAAAAUUGCAGAAUUGGCCCAUGCAAAAACAAAAAUAACACAAAUGUAUAAAGUUCACAAUAGAUAUUCAAACCCAAAUUCAAAUUUCAAAUUAGUCCAACAAAUUUCGUCAAUCAAAAUAGGUCUAAAUUAGCAAAUAUAGCCCAACAAAAAUAUCUCACAUGUCAUAGGCCUUAAUAUAAAAUUUCCAAAUUGAUAACCAAAAUAUAAGUUCAAUUAAUCAAACCCAAAACAUGAUACAUUAAAAUAAAUCUCAUUAGGCCUAAACUUAAUAUCUCAUAAUUCAAGCCUAAUUUAAAUAUAAACCUAAAUCCACAAUCAAAAUCAACUCACUUUAUGCUAAUCCCAAUUUACAAUCAAAAUCAAACAUAAUUUAAUAAGUAAAUAACUAAAUAAAUUAAGCAAACUCAAAACUCUCAAACCACUAUUGCAUAAUAUCAAACAAUAAUAAAUAUAAUGACAACAAUAUUAAUAAUAAAAUAAAAUAAAAAAAUUUAACUCACGUUGGAGCCAGUUUGAGUGUCGUGGGAAAGAAAGAAAAUGAGAGAAAAGUGGGAGAUGAUCGUUAGCUGGUAGUGGCUCGCCGACAGCGACUGGUCGAUAGUCCUACUGGCGGUAGUGAGGAUUGAUGAGUUUUUGGGAAAGGAAAAAAAAAAAAAAGAGGAGUAAUAAAAAAAAAAUGGAAAAAUGAGAGGAAGGUGGGAUAAGAGGGGAGAGAGAGAAUGAAGAAAAUAGGGGAAAAGAAAUGAGGCCGGCUGGAGGAGGAAGUGGUAGUGUGUGUGAGCUAAAGUGAAGAAGAAUGAAAGAAGAAGAAGGAGAAAAAUGGGAAAGAAGGGGAAAAAAAUUCGAGCCCUCUAAAUGAAGAAAGGUGAGUAGCUUAAAGAAGAAAAAAAAAUAAAAUAAAAAAAGAAAAAAUGAGGAGAAAAUGAGAGGGCCAGUAGUCUUGGGAAUGGGGUGGUAUAAGUGAGAGAGAGUGGGCGAGGUUGUUGGGGAAGGUAUGGGAGAGAGAGGAGAGAUAAAAGAAAGAGAAAAAAAAACAUAAUAAUAAUAAUAAUAAUCAUAAAUAAUAUAUAAAUUAAUAAAAAUUAAUAUUUAAAUGAUGAGUGUGUCAAAAAUAUUAUAUGUAAUUGGGAUUUAAUUUUAAGAGUAAAAUUGGACUAAAACUUAAUGUAAAAAUAAAAUUUGAACAAAUUUUAGAAUCUACAAAUACAUUCUUUAAUCUUUCCACAACAUCAAUCUGAUCUAAAUGAAAUGCAAUAAAUUCUAAAAAUGAUACAAUCUUUAAUCAAUCCACAACAUCAACCCGAUCAAAACUCAAUGCAAUAUUGCUUAAUGGAGAGAAUCGUAAAAUCCUUUUAUGAGAGGAAAACAAAACCCUUAACAGACCUUUAUGAGAGGAAAAUAGGAAAACAUAGAACUAAAAACCCUUAACGUAUUCAUGAGAAUAAAAAAAUCCUUAACACCUUAAUAAGAGGAAAACAAAGAAUUUGAACAAUCCUUAAUCCAUCAAAAGCUCUUAAUAUGAACGAGGGGAAAACAUAACCUUUAUUUUUCAUAUCGUUGAAUACAGAAUCUAAAGAGAUAGAAUUUUUAGUUAUUAAGGAUUUUUUAUAGAUGUCUAUUGAAAGUUCAAGAACUUUUAUGGAUAAGUGUUAAUUAAGAGACUGAAAGGGUACUUAGGAUUUUCAACUAAAAAAGUUAUAACAAUAUGAAUCGUAAGAACUUAAAAACAUCACCCAUCCAUAAGAGGAAUAUGGAAUGAGAGGUUAUAUUUUUACUUAUACAACAAUAAACUUUUUUGGAAGAGGUUUUUCUAAGUACAAAAAGUUAUGAAUAAAAAACCAUUGUUACGAUGAGUUAACUAAAAUAGAAUUAAUUUAGAAAAUAUCAAUAAAGUUGCAUGAAUUAUUAUCAUGAGUUAACUUAAUAAGAAUAAAUAGUAAUAAAGUUAAUGAGGUGAAUUUGGAUUGGCAGAUAUAUUUGAUGAUAAGAUUUUUUUAAUAAUAAAAAAUUAUUAUGGCAGGAAAAAUAGGACAAAAUUGACCUUAUGAUAAGAUUUUUUUAAUAAUAAAAACAUUAUUAUGGUAUGAAAAAAAGGGACAAAAUUGGCCUUNNNNNNNNNNNNNNNNNNNNNNNNNNNNNNNNNNNNNNNNNNNNNNNNNNNNNNNNNNNNNNNNNNNNNNNNNNNNNNNNNNNNNNNNNNNNNNNNNNNNUUUUCUAAGUACAAAAAGAGUUAUGAAAUAAAAACCCCAUUUGUUACGAUGAGUAACUAAAAAUAGAAUUAAUUUAGAAAAAUAUCAUAAAGUUGCAUGAAUUAUUAUCAUGAGUAACUUAAUAAGAAUAAAUAGUAAUAAAGUUAAUGAGGUGAAUUUGGAUUGGCAGAUAUAUUUGAUGAUAAGAUUUUUUUAAUAAUAAAAAAUUAUUAUGGCAGGAAAAAUAGGACAAAAUUGACCUUAUGAUAAGAUUUUUUUAAUAAUAAAAACAUUAUUAUGGUAUGAAAAAAAGGGACAAAAUUGGCCUUUCCUUAAUUGUACCGGUUAAUGGAAUAAUGGGACAUGCGGUGGUUACAAGCCACCCCAAAAGGUAGGAAGAAUCUCCAACCCCCAUUCUCGGCUCCCUUAUCUUUUCCCUUACAACCAAAAAUCAACAACUAUCUUAGAAUGUCCUUCAGUCCAUCAAAAUUCAACAACAACAAUUAUACAUUACAAUAAUGAAAACAAAAUUGAUUGAUCACCAGCUAACAUUAGGAGAUUAUAAGAUAAGGAUGUAAUUGCAAUUAUUGAAAUCACUUAAAGAGUAAAAGUUAGGAACAUGCUCACAAUAAAUAAAAUCACCUUAGAAUUAAAAAUUAGGGACAUGAUUAUGAUGAUUAAAAUCACUCGAGAACUAAAAUGUUUUAGAGAUACAAUAAUUGAAAUCAACUGAAAAAUAAAUUCGGGAUGUGAUCGCAAUUAAUGUAUAUAUAAACAACCAAAUGUUGAAAGGAAAAACUAAUGAAAUUAAUAUGAUUUUCUUUUAGAUUUCUCUUGACACCAAACAAAUGUAAGGAAGUUUAUAAAGGAAAAUUAGGUUUUGAUUCACUAAAUUAAAAUAAUAUAGAAAAAAGAUCUUCAAAUUUUAUAUACCAGUUUUAUUUUUAUUUAUUUAAAAAUAUUUUAAAAUACAUAUAUUUUUUCAUAACUCAAAUAGUCAUUCCUCAAAUGCUAGUUUUACUUGUUAUGUUAAUAACACUAGUUAAUAAUUUUUUAUUGUGAGAACGAUUUAAGAUUAAUAAAAUAAGAAAUUUUUAAAACUAAAAAGACAUUUAAAACUUUAAAAUUAAAAAUAUAAAAAUAAAACAAUAAUUUUUCAUUUAGUAAAACACGCCAGUAGAAAAUAUAGAUAUAGAGAAAGAGUUGGAAAUAAAAUAAGAGUUAAUAUUUUAUUUUUAAAAUUUUAUGUUUUUUAUUUUAAUUGUAUUUAAUUUUAUGUAUUUUAGUUGUAAUUAUAUUUUUAAUUUUUAAUUUUUUUUUAUUUUAUUGUUGAUGUAAACUAAUAAAUUUUUUGUUCAAUUAUAUAUAUAUAUAUAUAUAUAUAUAUAUAUAUAUAUAUAUAUAUAUAUUUUAAAAUUAGUGAGUAAAAACCCACUUUUUCUAAUUUAUAAUAUAUUUAUGGGAUUUUAUAAUAUAAGCAAUUUUUUUUUUUUUGAGAAAGAGGAAAAAUCAACUUUUCAAUUUCCCUUAAUAAUUAUUAUUAUUAUUAUCCAAUUUGGCUGAUUAUGAGAUUAGUUCGUAUCAUUACUAUAUCCAUUUGUUCUUAACCCUUCAUUAGAAUAGUAUUAGGAGUUGAACGUCAGUUGGAAUACAGGCUUAUGGAAACAAAUCUAUCCGAUUAGUAGGUUCUUAUUAUUUUCAAUAUAGCCCCAUAAAAUAAAUAGGAGAUGGGCAGCCCGUCCCUUUUGUCUGGAGGCCAUCCUCCCAACUUAUUAAAGGUGAUAUGAGAUAAGACAGUGACAAAAUUGUCGGUUACUUCCCGACACCUGGCUCUCCACAAGCAAACCCAGUGAUCCAGAAAUUAAUUGGUACCUGGACACGUGACUAACAAACCUUCGCUCAUCUACCAAACCCAUGGCCUCAUGCCUUAUAUAUUUCCACAAACCUAGCUCAAUUUUCAUAGCCACCUUCACUAUCCUAUACUCACUAAGCCAUGGCCAUAGAUACAAGCCUCUUGCUUGAGUUUGCUGCAGCAACUCUACUCUUCUUCAUCACCCGCUUCUUCAUUCGUUCUCUCCUUCCCAAACCUUCCCGGAAGCUCCCCCCUGGCCCCAGAGGGUGGCCGCUCCUCGGCGCUCUUCCUCUUCUAGGUAACAUGCCUCAUGUUGCAUUAGCAAAGAUGGCCAAAAGAUACGGGCCUGUCAUGUUCUUGAAAAUGGGCACUAACAGCAUGGUGGUGGCCUCAACUCCCGAGGCGGCUCGGGCUUUCCUUAAAACGCUAGACAUUAAUUUCUCUAACCGCCCGCCUAAUGCCGGUGCCACACUCUUGGCCUAUCAUGCCCAAGACAUGGUUUUUGCGGAUUAUGGGGCAAGGUGGAAGCUACUGAGAAAGCUAAGCAACUUACACAUGCUUGGUGGGAAAGCUCUUGAGGACUGGUCUCAGGUCCGAGCUGUUGAGCUAGGCCACAUGCUUCGAGCCAUGCUUGAGUUAAGCCAGCGAGCGGAGCCGGUGGUGGUGCCGGAGAUGUUAACUUUUUCCAUGGCCAACAUGAUAGGUCAAGUGAUUCUAAGCCGCCGGGUGUUUGAAACAAAAGGGUCGGAGUCAAAUGAGUUCAAGGACAUGGUGGUGGAGCUCAUGACCACUGCUGGGUACUUCAAUAUUGGCGACUUUAUUCCGUCCAUCGCAUGGCUGGACAUCCAAGGGAUCCAGCGCGGGAUGAAGCAUUUACAUAGGAAGUUCGACCGGUUAUUAACAAAGAUGAUGGAGGAGCACACGGCGUCAGCCCAUGAGCGAAAGGGAAACCCAGAUUUUCUGGACGUAAUCAUGGCAAACCAAGAAAAUUCUACAGGGGAGAAGCUCACUAUUACCAACAUUAAAGCACUCCUCCUGGUAUGCAUAGUUAAAGCUCGUCUUCAAUUUUGUUUUCCGAUAUUUUCUUUCCGGAAACAGCACUUUUAUUGCUUUUAGAUAUGUACGUUUUUAUCAGGUAGCCAUUUUAGGGGCACAUCACUAUUCUUUAUUUUUGGACUAUUUUUUUCUUUUUCCACUUGCAUGGUUGUUUUCAUAUGCUCAGCUGCAUGGCACAAGAAAAUUGUGAAAAAUGAUUGGUUCUCUGAUCAGACCUUCAGCACCAAAACACGCUUUUCUCUAUGUUAUAAAAUCGGUUUACAUGAUUUUUCAACCAGCUUCCUUGAACUUGAACUUUUGCUAGGGCUAAUGCAAAAAAUGAUUGAUCUCAAUUUUCAAUAGCGUUUGAUUACAUAAAUUUCAAGUAUGUGAACAUAUUUUUGUUUCCUUGGCUAGAAUUUAUUUACUGCAGGAACAGACACUUCAUCGAGCGUAAUCGAGUGGUCUCUGGCUGAGAUGUUGAAAAACCCGAGCAUCCUCAAGCGUGCUCACGAAGAAAUGGAUCAAGUGAUUGGAAGGAGCCGGCGGCUCGUGGAGUCUGACUUGCCAAAACUUCCAUACCUACAAGCCAUAUGCAAGGAAAGCUUCCGGAAGCACCCAUCCACACCACUGAACCUUCCUCGUGUCUCAACCCAGGCAUGUGAAGUGAACGGCUACUACAUCCCAAAGAACACUAGACUUAGUGUGAACAUAUGGGCAAUCGGGCGAGACCCUGAUGUCUGGGAAAGCCCGGAAGAAUUCAGGCCAGAAAGGUUUUUAAGUGGAAGAAAUGAAAAAAUUGAUCCUCGUGGAAAUGAUUUUGAGUUGAUCCCGUUUGGGGCUGGACGAAGGAUUUGCGCUGGCACUAGAAUGGGAAUAGUGCUGGUUGAGUACAUUUUAGGGACGUUGGUACAUUCAUUUGACUGGAAAAUGCCGGAUGGAGUUGAGAUCAACAUGGACGAAGCUUUCGGGCUUGCGCUGCAGAAGGCAGUUUCUCUUUCGGCCAUGGUGACACCAAGGCUUCACCAGAGUGCGUAUGCAGUCUGAGCUCAAACCGCUCAGACCAAAACCCAGGCCUCGCUGCUAUAUGGCAUGGAUGCAGUUAAGUAGAAAAUAUUUUGGGAUUUUUGCCUGUGGCUUAGUAUAAGAUGUAUUAGCUCAAAGAUGGUCGUUUCAUUCUACCACCAAGCCAUAUGCAUCUAUGCAUAAUCUAUUGAUUUAGGCUCGAUUUGGUUAUAGUUUUUGUUUUUUUGUCUUCCAAAUCAGUAAAUAGUAGGGGUAUUUUUGUCCUAUGUAGUGAUUCUUUUUGUUUGAUUGAUUAUAUUUGGAUCCUUCAAAAAUAUACGGUCAGAGCCAUCUCCAUCUUUUCACUUCUUGUGCUGCAGAAUGGGAUUGGCUUAGAUCGUUAGUCUAAUGUUAACCCCCUUCAAAUCUAAUUAUUCAUACUCAAUUUUGACACGAAAGAGCCAUUGUCAUGAAAGGGGGACCAGGGACCUCAGCACCCUUGGUUCAUCAUUUUGGUACGAUGCCAACUCUACCACAUAACCACCAUUUAGAUAUCUAUCCUUUUAUUUUUGGCAUGUGAACUUAUAGUGGGUGGCUGACCUUGAAUCCAAUAGUUAUCAUGAUAUAUAUGGCUGAAAUUAACCAUCAUUUAGAUAUCUAUCCUUUUAUUUUUGGCAUGCGAACUUAUAGUAAGUCCGAUUUAUGUCCAAGGGUCAAAUUUAAAUCUCUCUUCAAUCUAAUGGCUAAGAACUUCCCAACUUUAUUUAAUACUUAAUGUAUCCAAUAAUUGUAAUCGAGUAAUCCAAUGACAAGUACCUUCAAUGAUUAUUUUGGCAAAAGAAAUAAUAUAAGUUUGUUAUUUUAUGAUAUAAUAAAUUUAUUAAUACUUUCCUUUUUCAAAAUAUGUAAUUAGUUGUAAUUUCAUUAUAUAAUAUAUAAAUUAAGUUAUUUGCAAUUUUAAAAUAUGCUCAUUUUGUAUUUUUUUAAGUGUUAAUUAAAAAUUAUACAAUUUUGUUUUAUAAAAAGUAUUUAGUACUUUUAAUUUUAUAAAUUACAAGCAUUAAUUUAUACUAUUUUCUUAAAAUAUUUAGUUUAGUAUGCAUAUUAUUAGUUGUUUUCUUACAUCACUACUACAAAAAUAAUAUAUGAUGUCACUAUUUAUAGUGUCGCAUUUAAAAUAAUGACACCAUUGAACUUAAAAUUUAUAAAGGUGACACAUCAUUUAAAAAAUCUUCAAUUAGGAUAGUUAGAUUAUGCUAAUUUCAGAUUUACGGUGUCAUUUUUUGGAAGUGACACCAUAUGAAAUAAAAAGUUUUAAAUUUUAUAACUCAAUGGGCCUUUUUUAAAAAUAGUGAGUAGGAACAAUUUAUGAAAAGUCUAUUGUUUCCAUAUAUACAUUAACUAAUAUAAAAGAUCUUGUUGCUUGACCCUAACCAUCGUUUUCUUCUCCUUCUUCUCACACCCAUGGUCAGCACACCCAUAAUUGAUAUUCUUUGCUUCGUAAAAUCUCGGGUAAGUCAAAAUCUCUUAUCUAUCAUCUUUAUUUUUUUUAUUAAUGCAAAAAACUUUGUUAGUAUAAUUGUUUUAUAUCUCUUGAUUUAGUAUAUCUAUGAUGUGGGUUUUGUAAAUGGUGUUUUUUAUCGAGUUCUAAGGAAGUAAAAACUAAGUUUAACAUUCUAACAUAUUUUUUGUUUCAUUGCUAAUAAGCCCCAAAACAAAUGAAAACAAGAAAAAUGAAUUAUUUUUAAAAAAUUUGUCUAAUUGAGAAUGAGAGAUACACUAGUUUGUAGUAAUUUUUCGCAUGAAAUAGUAUUUUAUUGAAGACUUGACUAUAUUUGAUACUUUUUUCCACCGUGCUAGGAGCUUUUUGGUGAAGUCUAACAAUAGAGAUUGAUAUCUGCUACAAGAUGAUACUCAAUUAAACCAAAAGCACUUAAGUUAUUUAGGGUUUUCUUCGGUUAACCUAAGAAAACAUUCCCACUUUCUUUGUAUUGAGUCAUCUAAAUAGAAUAGAAUAUUGGGUAUCAGAGUCGUAAAUGGUAUUAUAAAUAUGACUUUUUUUUUAGAGUCACCUACAUGGAAUGAAUUAUUGGUAGGUGAACAAAAUAUUGGGGUGAUUGUAAUAGUUGAAUUAGUAAAUGGAAGAUAAGUGUAUGUUGCUUUGUUUAUUCUAUAAAAACAAUAAUUUUAGUAGUUGAAAUUUACAUGCUUUGUUGUUUUAUAAAAACAAUAAUUUUAGUAUUUGAAAUUUUAAAAUGUGAAUGAAAUGCCUGAAAAUAUAUUUUGAAAAAUAGGAUAGUAAUAAAUGGAAAAUAACUCAUUUCCUAAAAAUAUUUUGAUAAAUUAAAAUAAUAUGUGGUUAAAAUAUAUUUUUGUGAAAGUAUUUAAAAAUGAAUCAAAAUAUAAAUAAUUGUUAUUUUUUUUUAAAAUAAUUUAGGAAUAUAAAAUAAUAUUGGGGAUAAUUUUUGAGUUUAAAUUGUGUUAUAAAUGGUUAAUUUUUUUAGGACUGUCCUUUUUGAAAAUAAUCCAAUGAUAAUUUUUUUAAAUAAGAAUGUUGAAACUAAUUUUAAAAAUAAAAUUUUGUUGGCAAUGAUUUUUCUAAAAGUAUUUUAGGCAUAAAUGGAAAUUUCUUGUAUGAAAAUAAGAGAAUUUAUAUAUAUAUAAUAGACAUAAAAAUAGAUUUCUUUGAUAUUUAAUAAACAAGUGAAUUUUUCUCUAAAAAAAGAAUAAAAUAAGAAUUUCUCUAUAUAAUAAAAUAAUUUAUAUAUGAGAUAGUUUUCAAUAAGAAAGUUUUGAAAAUAAAUUUGGGAUAAAAUAUUUUUUAGUAAGUUUUGUUUAGAUAAUUCAAGAAUAAAGUGGUUUAUUAACUUUUCUUAAAAAAUAACAUUCUUCUUUCUUUUUUGAAUUGAUCAAUAGUUUGGAAAUAAAAUUGUUAGAUUCUAUUUUUUGUAAAUGUUUAAGAUAUUCUAAAAAAUUCUUUAAAAAUGAAAUGACCUUUCUACCACAUUCCUUUAAUAAAUAAUUGUAUUUUUAUACAUAUUGUAAAGUAAAAAAAAAAGUCUUUAUUUAGUUAACCUAAGAAGACAUUCCUACUUUUCUUUGUGUUGAGAGUCACCUAAAUGGAAUAAAAUAUUCAAUAUCAUAGGAGAGUAAAAAGUAUUGUAGAAAUGAUUUUGUUGAGAGAGUUAUCUAAAUGGAAUGAGAUAUUGGUAGGUGAAUAAAAUAUUAUGGUGAUUGUAAUAGUUGACUUAGUGAGUGGAGGAGAAGUGUAUGCUUCUUUGUUUAUUCUAUAAAAACAAUAAUUUUAGUAGUUGAAAACGUGUAUGAAAUGACUGAAAAUAUUUUUUGAAAAAUAAGAAAAUAAUAAAUGGAUAAUAGCUCAUUUCCUAAAAAUCUUUUGAUAAAUUAAAAUAACUUGUAGUUAAAAUAUAUUCUUAUGAAAGUAUUUAAAAAUAAACCAAUAUAUUAAUAAUUGUUAUUUUGUUUAAAAAUAAUUUAAUAGUAAAAAAAUAAUACUGAGUUCAAAUAUGACUACUUUGUUAUGAGAUUCAUUAAAGAAAUAAUUGUUGAUUUUACAGUUAUUGCAUCAAAGGUUUUACUCGUUUAAUGAAUUGUACAUAAUUUCAUACUUUCAAUUAUUAUGAUAUUAAUGUUAUUCUCAUUUGAUUUCAGUUUGAUUACAAAUAAAACAUAUUCUCAAGUAGAAUUUGAUGAAAUUAGAGAAAAAUAGAUUACUUUUGUGUUAUAACUAAUCAUGAAUCAUAUUGAUGUAUCGUGAUCAUUCAUGGUAAGUCCCUUAGUUGUUAUAUGAUUGAAUUUUCCAUUGAUAUUGUAUAACAUUACUUAUUCUUUACGAACUAUUUUUAUACCAAAAUGAGAAAAAGGAAAAAGAAAAAGAAAACAUUAGUACUUAGAUUUGUUUAUUGUUUAUAACAUCACAUUUUUAUUUUCAAUAAGAACUCUAAAACUCAUUAAUCUAUGAAAUGCAGGUAUACACUCUUGGGAGGACAAUAUGAAGAAUAAAAAGAAAGGAGAAAGAGACAACAAGAUUUAGGUUGUUAGAUAUGACUCUUAUGUCAUACAUUAUAGGACAUAAAUGUUACUUUAUUUGGAAUUGAGAAUUUUGGGUUUUUGGAUGCAACUCUUGUGUCAUUUUAUGGUUAGCCGGUUUUAUACAUAUGAAAUGCAAGUAUACAUGAAUGUUGGGAAACUUAACAUUUCUAAAUCAUGUUUUAAUGUGUAUUCACUUUUCUUUUUUAGUUUUGGUGGGUUUGAUGUGUUUGAUGUACUAUCAUUUUGUGAACAUUUGAUAUACAAAUAUUAUUGGAUGAUGUAAUAUGUUACAAAUUAAUUCAUAAGCAUUAUGAAAAUAUAAGUUAAAUGUAAUAUGAUUAUUAUAUUUAUGGACAAUUUACACAGGUUAGUCUUAUUUAUUAAUAAGCAUUACAAAAAUCUACAAACUAAUCAACAAAAAACAACCAUAUCUUCCAUAAUCAUUUACAAUGAUGUGACACCAUAAAUUAAAGGUGAUACAUUUAACGUGACACCAUAACUCAAAGAUGAUGCAUUUAAUAUGACACCUUAUAUAUCUCAUACAACUCUAUAUCAAAUUAAGCAUCACUAAAAAUAUAUGGUGUCUCUUCUGAAUGUGUCACCAUUUAUCUGCUUUGGUGUCGCUUCCAAAUACGUCACCAAUUGAUACCCUCUAUGGUGUCAGUGGAUAAGGUGACGCUAUGUUGUAGUGACACCCUAUGUUUAUAGUGACUUAUUAUAAAUGUCACCAUAUAUCUUUUUCCUUGUAGUGCAUCUCAAGUUUCAAUCAAAAAAAUAUUUAUGAUUUGUUUUUAUUAAUUUGUGUCUUGUUUUCAAUUUAAUUAAUGAAAAUUUAUUUGAUCAAAAAGUUCAUUACAAACCAAUUUUAAAAAUCUAAUCCUUUAUUAUAUUUUGAUAUCGUUUUGAUAAAAAUGUCUUUAUUAUUAUUAUUAUUUUUUUUUUUAUAAAAAUAAAUUUUUUUAUAAAUAUAUUGUAAAUAUUUAAAAUAAUUAAAAAUAUUUAGAUCAAAAAUCGAUUAUUUUUCAAACAAAUAUAUGAAAGUGAUAAAUUUGCAAAUAUGGGGAAUAUUUAAUCCUUUUAAUCGAUUAUUUCAUUAAUGAAGUGGGUAUAAUGAUGAACGCAUACUUGGUUUUACUAGGGCAUGCAGAGGUUUUGCAAGAGAGAGAGAUCAUUUCUCGACUCUGAGAAAUCAAUCUCCUUUUGGCCCGGUGGCGGACUCCAAGUAAAGCCUUGAAGGAGCCUUGCUAACAUCCCUGCACACCCACGCCUUCCAGUACUGAAGGAAAUGAAGCGAAGGUUUGGCUCGUUCAACUCCACUGCUUGAACUGUACUAGCAUUCAGAUGCCGCUCUGGAUUGAAAUUUAGCGGUUCUUCCCAGAUUCUAGGGUUCCGGCCCAGCCCCAGACGGCUCAGAAGGACAUGACUGCCUUUGGGGAUAGAGUACCCAGCAACACUAGUCGGAUUCCUGAACUCGUCUAUCCUUUCCAACCACUCCAUCAAUUUCUUCACUGCUUUGCUCAAAAUCCCUGGUUGCUUGAUCAUUGCCUACUCAAUUGCAUUUGAUGGACUAUCGACGCCUGCAAGCAUCAACUCCUGCAAAUUAUGGAAGGAUCAUAAUCUGAUGAUUGAUCAAGUUAUUUGCUGGCUAGGAAAUGAUCAUCAUGCAAUGUAGAUCAAAAGGUAAGCACAACACUACUACAAAAAUAAUUUAUGGUGUCAUUUUUAAAAUAAUGACACCAUAGGGUUUAUAAUUAAUAAAGGUGAUACAUCAUAUGAAAAUUCUUCAAUUAAGGUAGUUAGAUUAUGUUAGUUUUAUAUUUAUAGUGUUAUUUUUUGGGAAGUAACAUCAUAUAAAAUAAAUUUUUUUUUAAGUAUUAUAACUUAAUGAGCCCACUUUUAUAAUUAAUAAUGAGGGAUAAUGUAUAAAAAGCCCAUUGUUUCCACAUGCCACCCAUAAUCCAAAAAAUCUCAGUAUACAAACCUUAUAUAUAAAACCAUAAUCUUCUUCUACCUUUUCUCUUACCUAUAGUCAAUACACUUACAACCGACAUUUUCUACUUUGUGGACUCCUGGGUAAUCCAAAUUCUCUUAGAUCUAUCAUAUUUUUUUUUCUUUUAUUAAUAUAAUUAUAUUGAUUGUUUCACCAUCUUUGUAUUAUGGUUUUUGUAAACUGCGUUUUCUUGAGUUGUAGGGAAGAAAAACUUAGGUUUAAACUUCUAGCAUAGACGAAGAAACUUGUAGAUUAAUUGAUUUUUUAAUAUGAACCAAACACAUGACUGACUUCUUAAAAACAAGAAAAAAUGAAUGAUUUUUAAUAUGUAUUUAUGUGAGAAUGACAGGUACAAAAUUUUGUUGAGAUAUACUGUCACAUAAUCUUCAUCCCUUCCCUAAAACAAGAGAGAGAGAGAGAAAAAAAAAAAGGAAUGAUUUUUUUUGUGUGUAUCUAAGUGGGAAUGAGAUAUAUAGAAUUUUGUUGAGAUGCCACAUGAUCUUUAUCCUCCAUUAAACCCAACAUAUUAAAUCCACUAACUCUCCCCAAAAACGAGUAAAAAAAAAGGGAAAAAAGUAUGAGUUAAAAAACAAAAACGGAAAAUAUGAUUUAUUUUUUUUUAAUGUGUUUCUAAGGAAAAUGAGAGACACAAAUUUUUGUUAAGAUGCAUUGCCACGUGUUCUUCAUCCUCUCCAUUAAGCCUAAUAUAUUAAACCUAAUAGCUCUCUCUUUUAACUUUCCAGUGAAGUGCCUACAGUAUCCAACUCAAAAUAAGACAACUUAAGCCCCAUUAGCCAACAACCCAUAUUUUGUGUACAUCUUGAUGAGAUUAUUUUGUGAGAAAAUGUCAUGAAACAAUCCCAAUUUGAUAAUCUAGGCAUGUAUUUGAGUUAAAAAUAAAUUUCUAUUCUAUAGAUCAAAUAAUAAAAUCAUGUUUGAAAAUUAUUUUUAAAAACUUAUUUAGAGCAAAAAUAGUUUUCUAACAUAAAAAUAAUUUUUUAACUGAGAAAAUAUAUUUGAAAUUAUUUGAUAGAAAAUUGGGCAUGUAUUUGACUUAAAAACAAAUUUCUAUUCUAUAGCUCAAAUAAUAAAAUCAUGUUUGAAAAUUAUUCUUAAAAGCUUAUUUAGAGCAAAAAUGGUUUUCUAACAUUAAAAUAAUUUUUUAAUUUAGAAAAUAUAUUUGGAAACAUUUGAUAGAAAACUAGGCAUGUAUUUGACUUAAAAAUAAAUUAUUAUUCUAUAGAUCAAAGGAUAAAAUCAUGUUUGAAAAAUAUUCUUAAAAACUUAUUUAGAGUAAAAACAGUUUUCUAACAUAAAAAUAAAUUUUUAACUUAGAAAAUAUAUUUGAAAACAUUUGAUAGAAAACUUUUUUUUUAAUGUCAAUAAGUUGUCUUUUUGUUAAUUUAAUUGUAAUCAAUUUGCUUAUACGCAUUUAAAAGUAUAUAUUAUCAUAUUUAGUAAUAUUUUGAUUGUUAGGCAAAUUAUCAUUUUUGAGAGGAAUUUUUGUAGCUCUCAUAAUUAUAAUUGUAUUUUAAUAACCAUUUCCAAUAAAAAAGAAAAAGAAAAAAGAAGUUAGACAAUUAUCAAAAUCUGAUUUUUAGGAUUUUAAAAAAAUCUACAAGCCAAAACUAUCUAUAAUUUUGAUCAUGUGAGAACACUUCUUUUUUAAUACUUUGAAUUAUUUUGUUUUUUUUUUUCUUAGUAUCUGAAAGUAUAAAAGAAUUUCUCUUAUUAUAUUAUUAUAUUAUAUAUGUGCAUGUGUGUUCUCAUGGUUUCUUUAUGUCAUGUCUUAUUAAAGAAUAAAGUGAUGAAAUUUCCUUUGAGUAGAAGGUUUUAGUCCACGCUAGUGAGUGGACACGGUAUGAAUAGUUUGGGUGGGUUGUAUCUAUGGUAAAAAAUAAUAAAAGAUACCUUUUGCAAGUCUCCAAGUUGGUUGAGAUACAUGGCAUCAUGUUGACUAAACCUUGACUUUUGCAAGUCUCCUAGUUUCCAACUUUUUUUUUUCUUUUUUUUUUAAUAUUAAGGUGUGGGGCCAUGAACUCCUUUCUUUCCUUUUUAAAUAACAAAAAGGAAGAUAAUUUUAUUGUGAGAAGGCUAUUUCUAUCAAUUGUGUUCACGUCGAGAAUUUUUUAAUUUAUGGAGGCCAAAUAUAUAUUUAUGUCUAAUUUAGGAGGGUAAUUUGGGUUUGUUUAAUCUAUUCCAUUUAAUCAUACUAUACAAUCAUUUUUUUAUUUGGAUUAUUUUUGUAUUAAAUUUCUUCAACCCAAAUUUUGUUGAAAAAUUACAAUGUAUUAUUAAAAAUAUGACUUGAUAGUUGAUUAUGGACAUGUGUCAUUUUUAGUAAAAAAAAAAAUCUAUAACAUUUUAUAUUGAUAAUAUAUUAUUCUUGUAACAGGUUCGAAUAGUAAGCAAGUCAUUAUCAAAGAAGUUAUUGAAAGUAUAAGUGUACGUUUAUUUAUUGCAUGCUCUUAUAUUGUAUCAAUUGUAAGGAAGAUAAAAUUACCUUGUAAAGGUAAUUAAAUCUUUCUAUAUUUUAAAAACUUUUUUCCUAUAUACUAUGCUUUUGAAGCUUGUUUAAUUAAACAUAUUAGUUAUUUGACAAACUUUUCACAAAUGUUUUGUAUACUUAUGUGUUCUAUUUUGUUCCAUAGUUUUAUCGCAUAAUACUAAUGUAUAUUUUUUCACAAACUUUUUACAACUAUUUUGUGUACUAAUGCAUAUUAAGUUUUGUUCUUGCCUAUAUAAGCUACAUUUAGUUAUUUAAAUAUAUCCAAUAUUAUGUUGAAGAAAGAUGUACUUAACUUUUUUUAUUCUAAAUAUUAACAAGUUUUAUAGUUCUCUUGUCUUGAGAUUGAAUGUCAAAAGAUAGAAGGUCAGUUGAGUAUGAUGAAAGAGUUGAAAACUUUAUCAAUUUUGCAUUAGCACAUUCAAUCAACCAUUCCCCUAUAAAAUGCCCAUGCUUACGUUGUGCAAAUCUAUUAUGUCAAACUCUUCAAGUCAUUACAGAGCAUUUGUUCUUUAAUGGAAUAGAUCUCAGUUAUCGAGUAUGGUAUUGGCAUGGAGAAAAUGGACCCAGUGGAGGAUUUUCAAAUGUCUCACAACAACAUUAUGACAAAUGCAAGUAUAAUGAUGUUGUUGACACAAUAGAUAUGGUUAAUGCUGCACAAGUUAAUUGUGUGAAUGAUCCCUAAGUGUUUGGAAGGUUACUUGAAGACGCAAAAAAACCUUUAUAUCUUGGAUGCAUGAAAUACACAAAGUUGUCAGCAUUGGUAAAACUUUACGACUUAAAAGCACGUUAUGGUUGGUCUGACAAAGGAUUCUCAAAAUUGCGUCAGUUGCUUGGAGAUAUGUUGCCAUUGAAUAAUGAGAUGUCAUUGUCCAUGUAUGAAGCUAAAAAGACUUUCAGUGCACUUGGGAUGAAUAUCAAAAAAUUCAUGCAUGUUCUAAUGAUUGUAUUUGGUAUAGAAACCAGUAUAAGGAUGCUAUUGCAUGCCUAACUUGUGGAAAGUCAAGGUGGAAGAUAAACAAUGAGGGGAAAAAGAUUAAGAAGGGGCUUCCUUCAAAGGUUUUGUGGUAUUUCCCACCAAUCCCUAGAUUCAAAAGGAUGUUCCAAUCCUCAAAAAUCGUUAAACAUCUUAUGUGGCAUGCCAAGGAUAAAGAAUAUGACGGUAAACUAUGCCACCCAUCAGACUCCUCAGCGUGGAAACUAGUUGACCAUAUGUGGCUUGAUUUUGCUUCUGAACCGAGAACCUUAGACUAGCACUCUCAACAGAUGGUACAAAUCUUCAUAAGUCUAUAAGCAAUAGACAUAGUUGUUGGCCUGUUAUACUGAUCAUAUACAACCUUCCUCCUUGGUUGUGCAUGAAAAAGAAGUUUAUGAUGCUAUCAUUAUUGAUCUCAGGACCACGACAACCUGGUAAAAAUAUAGAUGUUUACUUGAGUCCAUUGGUAGAUGACCUUAAAACUUUGUGGGAAAAAAAAGUUGAGACUUAUGAUGCACACUUGCUUGAGGUUUUUACUUUAAAGGUCAUCAUUUUAUGGACAAUCAAUUAUUUCCCUACAUAUGGAAACUUGGCCAAUUGCACCGUGAAAGGAUAUUAUGCAUGUCCAAUAUGUGGAGAAGGAACAUAUUCCCAAAGAUUAAAGUAUGGUAGGAAGAACUUGUAUAUGGGUCACCGACGAUUUCUUCCACGUAACCAUCCCUAUUGGAGACAAAAGAAGGCAUUCAAUGGUGAACAAGAUUUUAGAAUUCCUCCUAAAAUUUUGAGUGGAGAAGAAAUACUUGAAAAAGUUGAUCUCAUUCCUAUUUCUUGGGGAAAAAUGAAGAUAAAAUCUCUUGAACUGAUGUGAACACAAAUUAUUGGAAAAAAAAGUCCAUAUUUUUUGAGUUAGAAUAUUGGAAAUAUCUUCAUAUCCUUCACAACUUAGAUGUCAUGCACAUCGAAAAGAAUGUCUGUGAGAGUAUUAUUGGUACUUUGUUUAACAUCCCAGGAAAACAAAAAGAUGGACUUAAUGCUCAACUUGACCUAGUUGAAAUGGGUUUAAGGUCUGAACUUUUCCCAAGAGUUGACUUGAAGCGGACCUAUCUUCCCCCUGCAUGUUAUUCACUAUCCAAACAUAUAUGACAAAAAAUUAGUUUGUCAAACAUUGUCUAAUUUGAAGGUCCCUGAGGGGUAUUGCUCAAAUUUUAGAAAUCUUGUCUCCUUAAAGGAAUUGAAGUUAUUUGGUUUAAGAUCCCAUGACUACCAUGCACUUAUGCAACAACUAUUGCUAGUGGCAUUACGUUUUGUUUUGCUAAAGCAUGUGAGAUAUACUAUAUCAAGAUUGUGUAUCUUCUUCAAUCAAUUAUGUACAAAAAUGGUUGAUGUGCCAAAAUUGGAUGAAGUACACAAUGAGUUAGUGGUCACGCUGUGCUUACUUGAAAAGUAUUUUUCACCUUCAUUUUUUGAUAUUAUGCUUCAUCUAGUAGUGCAUUUGAUAAGGGAGGUGUGACUAUGUGGUUCAGUUUACUUUAGGUGGAUCUACCCAUUUGGGAGGUAUAUGAAAGUUCUUAAAGAAUUGUUCGCAAUCAUAAUUGGCUUGAAGGAUGCAUUACUAAGUGCUAUUUAACAGAAAAAGCUAUUGAAUUUUGUACUGAAUAUUUAUUAGGGACUCAUGCAAUUGGAAUUCCAAAAGCAACAAUUAUGACAACAAAUUUGGUAGACCUAUAAUUGGUGGUCGUUCUACCAUCAUUGAUCAUAAAUUGUGGUUACAAGCACAUCAUUAUCUAUUAGAGAAUACAACUAUCGUCCAACCAUACACUGAGUAAGAAAAACAUACCUUUAUCUUUUUAUAAUUUCAUAACAUAAUGAUGAAAUCCUAAGUUUGCAUUCCUUGUCUUUAACGUCAUAAGGAACACAUGAAUUGGUUGAGGUCUCAAUACCCUCGACAAUCUAAUAGACAAAUUUGGUUGCAAGAAGAACAUAUGAGUUGUUUUACAUAUUGGCUUAAAGAAAAGGUAAUCUCUUAGUUUUUAGAAAAUUUUUCAAUAUGUUGAAAACAUCACAAGUUUCCAAUAUGUUUUGAUUAUACAUAGGUUGAAGAGGCUAUCCAUAAUGGGCAAGAUAUUCCCGACACACUUAGGUGGUUAGCACAUGGCCCUACUCUCCAGGUAGUCAAAUAUCCUGGAUAUAUCAUUAAUGAGUGUUGUUACCAUAUUAAGAAACGCGAUAUGACAUGCAUCACCCAAAAUAGUGGUGUUUUUAGCAAGACUAUGCAAAUUGCUAGUUCUAAGGAUAAGAACCUAGUUUGUGGUGAACUUUGCUUUUAUGGGGUCAUUAAUGAGAUAUGAAAUCUUGAUUACAACAUGUUCACAAUUCUAAUUUGCAAGUGUGAUUAGGUUGACAACAAGAAUGGUAUAAAAGUUGAUGAACUCAGGUUCACAUUAGUUGACUUCUCCAAAAUAGGUCACAAAUUGGAUCCAUUUAUUUUAGCAUCACAAGCCAAGCAAAUCUUCUAUGUUGAAGAUCAACUUGAUCCUAAAUGGUCAAUAGUUCUCUCAAUUCCUCCAAAAGAUUUCAAGAACAUAGAAGGACUAGAUGACUUCACCGAUAAUUGCAUGGAACAUCACCCCUUUAUAAGUUCAAUGCCAGAAUUUGAAUCAUUUGAUGCUAUGGAUGAAUCAUAGGCAAUACACAUGAGAGAAAACUGUGAGGGCAUAUGGAUUGAAAAGAAUUAAAUAACAUAUUGUACCCUUGAAUGAGAUAUAAUAAGGCAUUUCACUUAUUAGUUUUCAUGAGUUGCACAUUAACUUAGCUUCUAUAUAUUGCUCAUGAUAUAUCUAUAUAUAUUAAUCAUCCUAAAUUUCUUUCAUGCAUCAUAAACAUAUGUUAUUCAAAGGUACCACUUCAAUCUUCAUUCAACUAUCUUUUUGUUGUCCAUAGAACUAGAUUUAUAUUAUUUUUUAUUAUCAUGUUUUGAUUUUAUGCUCACAUAACUUGAAACUCUCAUUCCUAAAUUUCUUUUUCAUUAAAACUAUAAAUCAUAAUUGAAACUAUGCACUAAUUUAUUUUAUUAUUAUCCUCACAAAUAAAUUCUUCAUUAUUGAUAAGAAAUCAAAAAACAAGACAAACUUUGAAAGAAAAUUUCAAAAAAUAUAUUUGUGAAUGACCAAUUUAAUUAUAGAAAAUAUAUGCAAGGCUAUACUAAUCUUGCUUUUGAGUCAUUUUACAGGUUUGUUGGUGAAGUACUAGUUUGCACAUUUACUUGAUAUCUUCCACACAAAUAUGGAUCUAGAAGAAGGGGAAAUGCCAAAAAUAAAGCAUAGAUGUAGUGCAUUGAAACCAAAGAUUGCAAAAAAUCAAAGUAAAGGGAUAAAACUCAAGAUUGAAUACAAUAGCCUUGGUAGUCCCAUUAAGGAAAAUUCAGUUAAACUAAGUAGUUAUCUUAGUACAAUAACUAGAACCCAUGUGCUAAUAAUUAUUGAGAGUUGGAGGAAAGUCCCUAAAGAGACUAAGGAGAAGUUGUGGGAUUUGAUCACAGUAAGCCUAUCUAUAGCUUUAAUAUAUAAUUAUUGUAUACAUUCAUUAACAUGAGCUAAUAUGGGUUGUUAUUUUGUAGACAAGCUUUAAUGUGAAUAAAAAAUCCAAGAGGAAUUGUUUCAUACUAAUGGGCAUCAGGUUUCGAACCUUUAAGUACAAGUUGACAAAGAAAUAUAUAUUGUCUUUCAAGAAUGACCAAAAAAGCUGAAAAAGUCACCUCCUAUUUACCCAUUCAUACAAGAGGAUCAUUGGAGACAGUUUGUUAAAGAUAGACUUUUUGAACAUUUUAAUGUUAAGCAUUAUUUUUAUUACAUCUUCAAUUUUCACAUUUACGUAGUUUCAUUAUGUACUAAUUUUGUGUCUAUAUUUUGUAGGAAUAUCGCAAAGUUUAGAAAUCAAGAAGAGAUAAACACAUUUACAAUCAUUAUCUUGGAAGAAAAUGAUAUGCACGUUUUGAGCAAGAUAUAGUAAGUUAUCAAUAUCCAUAAAAAAAAUGGAGUAUAUAUUUUGUUUAUAGGAAAAUGAUUCUAGUUUUUAAAUAUCAUUUAUUAACUUGAUCAUGUUGAACUAAUGAGUUUUAUUGUUAAAAUUUUUAUAGCUACAAGCAGAAGGGGCUAUUGGUAGGGUUGAUAGAAGUGUUUAUGAAAGAAAACACGUGAGAAGAAAGGAAAGUUUAAUAAGAUUACAAAGCUAAUGAUUAACUAAGUUAGCAUAUUUAUGCCUUUUAGAGCCUAUAGUGUUAGUAUGUCUAUGUGAUUAUGGUUUGGGAUGAUAUCGUUAGGUGUUAAUAGGGAAGAGGCUUAAUGCUAUCAUUUUUAUGAGUAGUCAUGUUAUAUUAGUGCAAAUAUAGUAGCCUAAUUUGAAAAUUAAUUUUGAAACAAUAUACAUUAAUUUAUCUAUUAUCAUUUUUAUUAAAACAAUUCAUUUUCUAGCUACCUUGAAUUGGUCCUCUUGAAUUGGUUGUCUUUGAUUGAUAUGUUAAUCAUCUUCAUCAAAUUAUUACUAAUAUAUGUUUUGUUGUAGGAUGAAUUACUAGAAAAGGCAAGGAGACUGGACUACCUCCACUUGGUCCAAAUGACAUAUUAUGUCAGGCAUUGGGUAAGCUUGAUCAUCUAGGACGUGUGGUAGGUCAAGACCGCUUGGUUAGGUCGAACUCAUACUUUCAUCAACCAUUUGAUGACAUGAAAAAAAAAAUCAAAGAAGAAAUAUGGGAAAUGGUGUGAAAGGGGAUGCAAGAUGCUGUAACAAGACAAACUAUGUCUCCUCCCACACCCCAUUCUGAUAUAGGUAGUAAUAACAUGAGACAACAACUUGUUUUACAACUAGUUGUAGCAAAAAAACCAAUGUUUAAAAUGAUGGAAGAGCCCCAACCACCAGAACCACCACUGAAACGUAAGGUAUACAUUUACUUACUAAUAAUACAAGAUUAAUAUAAGUGAUAUAUAGCCUAUGUAAAUGAUAUUAUUUGUUGUAUUAAAGGUGAUUAAAUAUAAAUUAGCAGUGGAAUGAAAAUGAAAUGUUGUUGCAACUGGUACAUUAAUAGAAGAAAAUUGAUCAAAUGGGUUGGUCGUAAUAAAUGUUGCACACAAGCUAGAUGCUAGACUUCCAUUUCCAAAUCCAUAUGAGAUUAUCAAUGUUGGGGAUGCUAUUGGCUUUAAGCUUGACUGGCCAACAAGCCUUGUCAUACUUGAAACUAAACAUCCUCGGGUAUGUCAUUUUAUACUUGUAGUAAAUUUGAUUGUAACUUGGUAUUUUAUUGUUUAGGAGUAUAUAUUACUAACAUUCCUUCAUUUUUCAUAGGUGUUGGAUAAAGGAAAGAAGUAGAUAGUGAAUGCACCAAUUAUUCGAAAAUCUAAGCCUCAAAAUUAUUCGGUCAUUAAAAAUUUUCAGAAAUUUAUGGAUGGUUGUCUUAGUAAUGAGAAGACAUACCCAAUACAGCUCCCCAUUUCACUAUUUGGUGUCGAAUUCCGAACAUAUAUAUCUAGAGAGGAUUGUGAAUACAUUAUUUCAUCUUCAGAGGUGUUAUCAAAAUGCAUCUCCUUCCAUUUAUGGUGUGCACCUUUUAUUUUCAUUUGUUUUUAUUUUUUUAAUAUGAGUUGCCCCUGUUGAACAAGAUUGGAUAUGACUAAUGAUAAUUUUCUUUUGGUGUUUUGAUAAUAUAAUAGGUACAUGCAUGAUCAACUACAUAUUGCCAAAAAGGAAUCACAAUUUAUAUUUGUUAAUCCUUUUACAAUAUCAUGAGCAGGCUUUAGUAAUCCUCAAAUAGAGAAAAGAACACAAUUGUUGUCAAAACACUUAAUAGAGUGCCAAGAUGUCAGAUAUGUUUUCAUGCCCUACAACCCCGAGUAAGUGACGAAUAUUAUACUUUAAUUUGAGGUUUUAUGAUUGAUUUAUAUUUCUAAUUAGAUGCUACUUUUGUUUUUAAUGUUUUAGCUUUCAUUGGGUCUUGGUAGUGAUUGAGCCAAGGAAAAUGAUAGUCCACUAUCUUGACCCUGUGCAUCACAAACCAUGUGAGGACUUAAAGGAUAUCGUAAACAUGUAAGUUCUUCCUAUUAUUUUUCAUAGUAUUAUUUAAAAAAAAAAAUUACAUUCACCUCAAACACAUUUUUUAUUGUUAUUUCUAUAUAUUAAAACAUAUAACAUUUACCUAUUUUAAAAUUGUACCCAUUGAACUUAUUUACAUAGGGCUCUUUAAAUAUUUGCAAAGAAAACAUCUAAGAGAGAGCCAUCUUGGCAACUAGUGCAAGUGACAUCCAAAAAUUUUCUUUAAACAUUUAGCUUAUGCAUUUGCACCAUUUAUAUAUAUGAGUACUAAUGUUAUUUAUAACUGAUCCAUUAGUGUCCAAGACAAGAAGGAGGGUUCGAAUGUGGCUACUUUGUUAUAAAAUUCAUUAAAGAGAUAAUUUUUUAUCCUACAAUGAUUGCUUCAAAGGUAUUACUUAUUUAAUGAAUUGUACAUAUUUUUAGGCUUCCAAAUGUUAUGCAUUUUAAUGUUAUUUUCUUAUUUGAUUUUAGUUUGGUGAUAAAAAAACAUAUUCUCAAGUAGAAUUCAAUGAAAUUAAAGGAGAAUUGACUACUUUUGUGCUACAACUAAUCAUGAAUCAUGUUGAUGCAUCAUGAUCACCAUGCAUGGUGAGUCCCUUAGCUACUACAUGAAUUUUUCCAUAGAUAUUGUAUAGUAUUGCUUUUCUUUGAACAAUGUUUUUAUUUGAAAAAAAGAAAAAAAAAGUUCUUAGAUUUGUUCAUUUAUGAUAACAUCGAUCCAUAUUUAUUUUCUUCAAUGAAAUCUAUAAAACUCAUUAAACUAUGAAAUGCAGGUAUACACUCUUAGGAGGGUGGAAUAGAGAAUAAAAAGAACAAAGAAGGCAACAAGAUUUUGGGUUUUUAAAUACAGCUUGUAUGUCAUACGUUGAAGGACAUAAACGUUACUUUAAUUGGUAGUGAGAAUUUUAGAUUUUUAGAUGCUACUUUUAUGUCAUUUUCUUGUAGUGCAAAUUACUUAUCUUACUAUGCAUUGGGCUUUGAUAUUAGCCAAAGAUAGUAGUGGCUCCUAAUUUUUAUCCUUAACUGAAAUGAAAACAUCAAGCAGGUCCCCAGCCUCUUUUUCGCCAUUCUUCCACUAUUCUACUAUUUGGUCCAUGAUUGGAUCAUGGUACUUGUUAAUGGUGUUCAUAGCCUCCCUUAUAGUUUUUUCAUGGCCAUCUAAAUUCAGCACUCUCUGCCAUGGGAAGUAAUCAGAUAAAGAGAAUACAUAUAGAUGAGCAAGUAUAGUAAAGAAGGAUUCAACAUGUUGCUCCACUUCAACUCCAGGGCCUCCAUCUUUCUUUCGUUGGCCAAAGUAUCUUGUGUUGAGGAUCAUCUUUCAGAUGACAUUCCCGUUGUAUUGACGGACUUUAUUUCUGUCACACCCCAAAUACUAGGCAACCCAGAACUUGACUCGUGACCCUAGGUCAAAUGUUUGACCCUAAGAGUUACUCUUAUCCAUGUUGGCAAUCAAUCAAAACACCCUGGAUUUUUUUUCUUUUCAAUAAAGCGUUUAAUCCUAAAUAAAUUUAUUAAGCUAAGAUUUACUAUAACAUAUCAUUUUAUUUUUCCAAAACUAACCAUCACAUUAUCUCCUGUUCACAAGUAUUAAAAAAAAAAAAAAUUCCACCAAUCAUCUUCUUACCCAAAAUCUCAAAUAUUUACUAUAAUCUCUAAGUCAAAAAGAAUAUUUCCAAAAAUGUUUUACAAACUAAUAAAAUAUAAUUUAACUUAAAAAAGUCCAUAUAACUCAAAUUAGUAGAUGUCAAAAAGGUAAUUAAAAAAAAACAACCAUUAUUAUGGUUUUUUUGCUUUUUAGAACACUUCAUGAUCUUCUUAUGGUCCCUUAGAAACUAUAUCUGCAUCUAAAAAUUUUAGAAAAUAAAGGGAUGCACAUUUCCACGUUACUCUUUAGACCUAAAUGGGUUAGAAAUUCUAAGUCAAUAAAACACAACCAUAUGCCAAAAUAUAAUAUUACAUUUACAUUAUACACACUAAAAGAAACCUCAACCAUACAAAUUUAAAUCAAUCAAAAUUAUCAUUUUCCUUAUUUAAUCAUAUGUUUAGCAUAUCAAUAAUUUUAAAUUUACAAAAUAAAUAAGUCACUUUAGUCUUGAAUAAUAUAUUCAAACAUAUACUUGAUAAAUAAUACAAAUCAUUUUUCCAAAUGCAACCAUGAUACAAAUGCUUACACACAAUCACGCAAUGCAAUAUCGUUCUCGAGCUUUCACCGAAGGAUAUGCAUUUAUACCCAAAUACACUCCCCAUUCGGAGUCUUCCUGGGAUAAAAUUUUGAGUCUUUCACCCUAAGGAUCUCACUCCCUUCUUAACUCACCAUCUCUAGGGUCAUUCAAUUUCUUAUUUUUCUUUUCUUUUCAUUUUUGCCAUUUUUGGGGUCUUUUCAUUCUCAUUUCCAUUUCACACAACCAUUUCUUCAAUUUUUAUUUUUCUUCACACAAUCAUGAUGCAUAUGAAAUGCAACUGAAUCAUAUUUUAACAUCCAUAAUUUUCCAAGACAUAAUUUUAUUUACUCCCAUUAUGUUUCAUAAUUUCCAAUAAUCCACACAACGAUUUUUCUUCACUUUAAUCGUCACAAACAUAAAAGAAAAUUCACAAUUAAUUUGUAUAGCAUCAAAACAUAGUUUUAAACAUUGACCACAUAAAUUCUAUUUAUUCCCGACAUGCUUAAUAAUUUCCAAAUCCAAUAUAACCAUUUUUUUUUCAAUUAAAUAAUCACACAUAUCCAAGAAAAUUCUCGCUAAUACAAAUAUCAACAAAAAUGUAAUUUAUGUCAUAAUUUAUUUGUCUCCAAUAAUUUCAAAAAUUUUGACACCCAUAUGACAAAUUUCCACAAUUAAGCCACCCCAAUAUUUGGGAAAAAUUUUCCAAUAAUUCAAAUAUCAACAAAAACCCAAUUUAUAUCAUCAUUUUAUUUAUUUUUAAAAGCAUUAAUAAUUUUAAUAAUCAAUACAACACUUUUCCACAAUUAAGCCACCACAAAAUUUUGGGAAAAUUUUCCAAUAAUUCAAAUAUUAACAAAACACAAUUAUACCUUAAUUUUUCUUAUCUCUGACAACAUCAAUAAUUCUUAGUACUCAAUACAACUAUUUUUAUUUUUUCAUAUUUAAUCUUCUCAAACAUUACCAAAAUUCCAAGAAAAAUUUAUAAAUCACGAAAUAAAAUUAUUCACAAUAAUAAUCACACUUCAAAUACUACAAAUAACAUCUAUUAUAUUUCAACAACACAAUAUAUAAUUUUUUUUGAAAGAAAAUAUUAAAUCAAAGUUUUAGGGUUAAAUCACCCUACCUUAAAUUUGAAAAAUUUAACCAUUAAAACUAAAACGGGACACCGUAGGAGUGUUCCUCGCAUUGAAUAGAAUAUCCUUCCAAAAUUUUAUGUGAAAUGGACGUCAUUUGGUAGGUCCACCAGCAUCCUAAAGCUGGCGACCCAUUUUUCCCACUCUUUGCCGACGACUUCCCUACAUCUCUUACUCGAUUUCCUUUCUUCAUUUUCUUUUCUUCUUCUUCUUUUCUUCUUCUUCUUUUAAACUCCCACGCCAAUUUCACUUUAUAUAUAUAUAUAUAUAUAUAUAUAUAUAUAUAUAUGUAUGUAUGUAUGUAUUAUUAAAACAAAUCCUAAAAUACCACGCACAUCCAUUUCUCAAUAAAUUAAAACCAUUAUUCUUAAAUUCACCUUCCGUAAUUAUGAAUUAUACCAAACUUAUGAUUUUCCAUUUCACGAAAAAUACCACCGUAUUCGUAAUUUAAUUUACUACAAGUCUACUCUUCAAAAAGUAUAAUUUGAUUAUAAUUACAUGAAACAUUGUUUUUUUACUCUAAAAUUCAUUUAAAACAUGAUAUAAUUAACUAUUAACAAAAUUCAAUUCCAUAAAAUAUUAAAAACAUAAAAUAAUUUUUUGGCAAUCAAGAAGUUGAAAUUUGUAAUAACCCUAAACCCGUUAAUUUUACCUAUAUUUAUUUACCAAAAAAAAUUUAAAUAAUAUUCUAAAAUUUAAUUCCAUAAAUUAAUUAGUCAUUCAAUUUAUAAAAAUCAAAUUCUCUACCCUUUGGUAUAACUUUUAUUUAAUUUACUUCAUUUUUCAAAUUAUUCAAUCGCAUCAAAAUUUCAAAAGUUAAAUUCACUAAAUUCACAUUUAAUUAAUUUAUCAUUUUGUAUUUUUUUUUUUUCUAAAUUCGCAUAUCAUAAUUUAAUCUUAAUUUAAUUUUGAUUCAAUUUUGUUUUAGGUUUUCUAAUUUUAUGAGGUUUAAUUUCAAUUAUAAAAAUUAAAUUCAAUUUCUUUUUAAUUAUCCAUUAUCACAAUUUGAUAUAAUAUAAUUUUUUAUCAAGUUUUUCUUACUACGAUUUUUCUUAUAAUUAUCCAAUAAUAAUUAAAUUAAUUCUCGUAACAUAUUUAAUAUUCAAAUUUUAAAAACUUAAUCUCAAUUAUUUGAUGGUUAUUUUUUUUUUCUCAAAAUCUAAAUUUAAUUUAUGAAAUUCUCACUUCUUACAUCUGACGUGGCAAAAUUUUCAAACUAUUGACUUUUGACCAACUUUUCCUAAAUUUAUCCUAAUUAAAUACUAACACAUGGAUUUUCACCACUCUUUUUGAUCUUUUGACCCACAAAUUUAUGAAAGACUUUAUACUUGGAGAAUCUACAAAAACCUGGGUAUUACAAUUUCUCAGGUUGAUAACUGUCGUGGUUACGAAGCCACCACUUGAAUACUCAAUCGCCAUUGUAAUGGGCCUAGAUGCAAAUAGUACAUCAUGUUUCUUCAAAAGUUCUCUGCUAAUCUCUGGGAAAGUCGUAGGGACAAGAUGAAAUAUUUCCCAAUUGAAUACAUGCAAUUUCAGUGUUCAUUUCUUUCAUAAAGCCAAUGUAUCCACCAGAAAGUUGGCUUUUUGUUGAGUAAAUGAGGUAGAUAUUGCACUAGUGGCCAUGGAGCUAAUCCUGGAGGAAGUUGUAUCGGCUUGCUUUUGGUACUUGUUUUGGAUUUUAAUUUAGUGAAGAUGAGAAAGAUUGAUGUGAUGAAAAGCAGUAAGAGGAAGUUGAAAUGAGACAACACAUCGUCUGUGGUAGUAGAAGAAAACAAGGUUGAGUUACUGCUACUACUCUCUGCAACAAAGCCAUUUACACGUCUUUUAUGGCAAAACCAUGUUUGUCCUAUCUUGGGUCUGGAUGCACAUUUUUAAUAUUGGGGAAAUCAUGCAACCAAAUGUCACACACAAAGAGAGAGAAAAAAAUACGUUUUUUAGAACUUGAAAAGGUAAAGUGGGACAAAAAAUAUUAUCCAUUCUUGAACUCUAAAAGUAAAGUUAUAAAAAGCUUAGUUUUUUUUUUUUUGUUAUGUAUGAUUGCAUGAUUUCCCCCUUUUAAGAUUUUAUCUCAUAAAAUUUUUUUCUAGAAGGUUCAAAUAAGUUUGAUGAAUAUUGUUUAUUUUAGUAAUUUUAAUUUUAUGGGGUACUUAAAACAUUAGAAGUUCACAAAAAGCAACAUUUAUCAGCUACCUAUCUAAAAAGCUUGGCCUAAUCAUUGAAAUCCAAAAUAUAAAGUGACAACACACUUUUUAAAGCAAUUUUCAAAAUAGUUUUUAAAAACACAUUUAUUUAUGAUAUUUUUAAAAUAAAAAUCUCAAAAAUAACUUGUUUAUAUUACUUUUUAUUAGACAAAUACUUGAUCUUUAUAAGAUCACCCUAAUUAUAGAUUUAUGAACAUGUAACACAGCAAUUAUCUAUAUAUAUACUUAGAAUUAUUAUAUUUUAAGUUUUUAACUACAUAGGACAUCAUGAGUUUUUCCACCAUUUAUCUUAUAAUAAGUUUAUUUAAAUAUGAUAAAGGAUAUAUUAUCUCAUUUCUUAUUAUAUCUGAUGCUAUAUAUAUAUAUAUAUAUAUAUAUAUAUGUAACAAAUCAAAUACAAUUUAAAGAUUUUAAUUAACCAUCUAUUAGCAACAAAGCAAUCUCUUAAUCUCAUUCAUAAUAUUAGGAUAAUUUAGUAUUUCCUUUUAUAAAACACUAGCAUAUAAAUCAGCACAAAUCAUAUUAAGGGUGUAUUUGGUGUUGAUUUUAGAAAGCGUUUUUAGUAUUUCUAAUACUUGAAAGAUAAAAAUUUUCAAGUUUUAGAAAGAUCAAAAGCGCUUUUUAGAAUGACUAUCAAAUACAUGCUAAAUAUUACUUUUGGAUACUUAUAUUUUUAAAUAACUCUUAAAACUUUUAAGGCAAGUCUCUACUAUUCAUAUAAACCCCCUAUUAUUUUUAAUUCUUAGAAACAAAAAAUAAAGAAUAAAAACUCCAUUUAAACAUCACCUUAUUAUUUCCUAUUAUAAAAUAACACAAAUCAAAUGAAUUAUUUAAAAAUAAAUAAAUAUAAAAUCAAAGUUGAAGAGAAAAAACUCUUGUGCAUUAAAAAAACAUCAAAAUAAAUAAAUAAAUAAAUAAAUAAAACAUCAUCAAAUAAAUGUAAAAAUAAAUUAAUGUUAUGGAAAAAUGAGAAUAGGCAACAAGAAAAUAAGAACACAGAUUUACAUGAAAAAUGCUAGAUGGGAAAAACCAUGGAUAGAGGAGAAGAAAAUCCACUAUAUUAAAAAUUUGGUAUAAAAUGUGACAGAAUCAAGUGAGUAUUGUAUAGGCAUAAUCACUAUGACCCUAAAUCCUAUACAUCAUCGCAUAUGUAUGGUGUAUGCGAUAAUAUUUGUGAUAAUAAAAAUAUUGUCGCAUAAAAUAACUAUGGGAUGUAAUAUUUGUAAUAAUAUUCUUUACAAAAAAAAUAUUUUUUCUUUGCUUUAUUCACUUUGAUCACAACUUGAAAUAAGACAAUAAAAAUAUUUUCUUAAUUUUUGAAAAUUAAUUGAGGACUUAGAGCUACUUGUUACUGAGUGAAUUUGCUGAAUGGUGAAGAAUGUGUGUAUAGUAGUUUUGCAAUUUUUCAAACUUGUAGACAUAUUUUGUGAAGUCUUUUUCUCUUUGUAAAGCCCCAUUUUCUUUGUGUAGUUAUUUUUUCAAUAUUCUCUUUGGAAGGAAUUUACCAUUAGUUAUAUAGGUAAGAUUAAGGAAUUAAAUUUGGAAUUCUUAAGAUUUGAUUGCUUAAUUCAAAGAAUUUGGUUCAAGGGAAAUUUGCCAACAAAAUAAUAUUUAUUUUUAAUUCUAUGAUGACUUUAAUUAUUUGAUAUAAUUUUAUUUUGAAAGACUUGAUGUGGGGGACUCAUCACUUAUUGAGUCCAAAUUUUGUUGCACCCAAAUUUUUAUGAGCUAAGAAACCAUAAUUUUAAAGACCAAUUCAGUGGUAAGUGAAUCUGCUAAAAUCUUCUAUGUACAAAUGACCUCACUUCAAGGUGCAACACAUACAUGUAUUAUUAUGUGUAUGGGAUGAGUCUUGAAGUUAGUCUUCAUUCUUCUUUGAUUUUUUUUUCUUCAAAUAAAUAAAUAAAACAUCAUCAAAUAAAUGUAAAAAUAAAAUAUGUAUCGGUUAAUUGGAGAGGAGAGCUUUAAGGGCAUUUCUUCUAUGAAAUUCUAUGCUCCACGUACCAUAAAUUUGUACUCAACCAACAAAAUUACAGAAUGGGUCCAUGCACAAACAAAAAUAACUCAAAUGUAAAUAUCUAAAAAUGUAUAAAGUUCACAAUAGAUAUUCAAGCCCAAAUUUAAAUUUCAAAUUAGUCCAAUAGAUUUCAUCAAUCAAAAUGGGUCCAAAUUAGCAAAUAUAACCCAACAAAAAUAUCUCAUAUGUCAUAGGCCCUAAUUUAAAAUUUUCAAAUUAAUAGCCAAAAUAUAAGUUCAAUUAAUCAAACCCAAAACAUGAUAAAUUAAAAUAAAUCUCAUUAGGCCUAUACUUAAUAUCCCAUAAUUCAAGCCUAAUUUAAUAUAUAAACCUAAAUCCACAAUCAAAAUCAACCCAAUUUAUGCUAAUCCCGAUUUACAAUCAAAAUCAAACAUAAUUUAAUAAGUAAAUAACUAAAUAAAUUAAGCAAACUCAAAACACCCAAACCACUACAACAUAAAUCAAACAAUAAUAAAUAUAAUGACAAUAAUAAUAAUAAUAAUAAUAAUAAUAAUAAUAAUAAAAUAAAAUAAAAUAAAAUAAAAAAAUUUAACUCAUGUCGGAGCCAGUUUGAAUGUCUUGGGAAAGAAAGAAAAUGAGAGAAAAGUGAGAGAUGAUUGACAACUGACAGUGGCUCACUGGCGACGACUGGCUAGUGGUCCUACCGAUGGUAGUGAGGAUUGAUUGGUUUUUGGGAAAAAAAAUAAAAUGAAGAAAAGAAAAUGAGGUGUAAUAAAAAAAUGGAGAAUUGAGAGGAAGGUGGGAGAAGAAUGGAGAGAGAGAACAUAGAAAAUGAGUGAAAAGAAAUGAGGCUAGUUGGAGGAGGAAGUGGUAGUGUGUGAGCUAAAGUGAAGAAGAAUAGAAGAAGAAAAUGGAGAAGAAUGGGGAAAAAAAAUCCGCCUCCUUAAAUGAAGAGAGGUGGGUAGCCUAAAGAAGAAGAAAAAAUAAAAUAAAAUAAAAUGGGGAGAAAAUGAGAGGGGGUCGGUGGUCUUGUGAAUGAGGUGGUAUGCGUUAGAGAGAGAGAGUGGGUGGGGUUGUUGGGGAAGGUAUGAGAGAGAGAGGAGAGAGAAAAGAAAAAAAAGAAAGAAAAGAAAAAAGAUAAUAUAAAAUAAUAAUAAUAAUAAAAUAAAAUAAUAUACAAAAUAAUAAAAACUAAUAAUUAAAUAGUGAGUGGGCAAAAAAUAUCAUAUGUAAUCGGGAUUUAAUUUUAAGAGUAAAAUUGGGUUAAAAAUUAAUGUAAAAUAAAAUUAGGACAAAUUUUGGGGUAUACAAAUAUGCGCCUCUUCGGUAGAGUCCACGAGUAAAGCAAGUGUAUAUGUGAGCAAAACAAAGUGGGCUCUACUGAAAAACAAGACAAACCACCAAAUUUGUCUUAAUAUGACAUGAACUCUCCCAAAAAAAAAAAAAAAAAAAAAAUCUAAAACCCUACAAAAAUGGCCAAAACGGAAACUCCUAAGGUGCCUUUAAAGUUAUACUAUGGAUCUAGACUCCCUUAGAAAAGCCUCCAAAAAUGGCCCAAAAAUCGGUGUCAAAAUCGAGUAGCAAUCAGACCACUAAGGAGCACAUGAACGAAUGCAUACAAAGGGAAAAAAACCAUACGUGUACCAUACGAUGACAAAAGGCAUAAGGUAUCCAACAAUAUGACUGAUUCACGUGUUACGAGCUCAAAGAACUUUGUCAUGCACCAUGGAGGAAGGGAAACUCUAGAAUAAUGUGAUGAGGAAGUUAUUAGCACAAUGUAAUAGAGUGAGGAAAAAAGUGAUGAGUGCAAAGCUGUGAGGACAAGGUGCACAAUGCUAAUGAAUAUGAAAUGAAUAGCACUAGGCUAUAAUGCAAUGAAUAGCUCAGGGUUGUACCAUAAUGAACAAGUCAAGGAUGUGUAAAGAUGAGGAACAACUCAAGGUUGUAAUGCAAUGAACAACUUAGGGUUGUGAAUGCAAUGAACAGCUCAGCGCAAUGAAUGAAAUGAAUAGCUCAGGGCUGUGAAUGCAAUGAACAACUCGAGGUUGUGGAUGUAAUGAACAACUCAUGGUCAUGGAUGCAAUGAACAGCUCAGGGCUGUAGAUGAACAACUCAGGGUUGUGGAUGUCAUGAACAACUCAAGAAUAGGGGCACUGUACACCCAAAAUGGGAGAUCACGGUCUACGAUUCCAAGUCAAACCACUAAAGGGUGACCAAAAUGAGGGUGAUCAACUCACUAAAAAAGAUGAUCAAAAUGUCUUAAGGGAGAGGAGAUGCCCCAGAUGAAACUUAAAGGAAGUGAGUAGUGCUAAUGAAACUAAAAAAAGAAAAAAUGUCACAACUGAAAUUGAAAAAAUAGCAAACUUAGAUUAAAGUGCAAUGAACAACUUUGGGUUGUGGAUGCGAUGAACAGUACCUUGUUGUAAUGAAAUGAAUAACUCUAAGAUAUGGGCAUUGUACGCCUAAAGAGGGAGAUCGUGGUUUACGACUCCAAGUCAAACCACUAAAGGACGACUAAAAUAAGAUGAUCAACUUACGAUAAAUGAGAAUGCAACUAUCUCGAGAAAAAGGGUAUGCCCCAAAUGACACUCAAUAGUAAAAGAAUGACACAAAUGAAACUAAAACAAGAGGAUGCCACAAAUGAAACUGAAAUGAUAACAGACUCAGUACUAAUGUGUAAUGAACAACUUUGGACUAUGGAUGCAAUGAAUAGCACUGGGUUGUAAUGAAAUGAACAACUCUAAGAUGUGGGCACUAUACGCCUAAGAAAUGAGAUCAUAGUUUACGACUCUAAGUCAAACCGCUAAAGGGCGACUAGAAUAGGAUAAUCAACUCACUAAAAAUGAGGAUGCAACUAUCUCGAGAAAGGGGGUAUGCCCUAAAUGACACUCAACAGUAUAAGAAUGACAUAAAUGAAACUAAAAUAAGAGGAUGCCACAAAUAAAACUAAAAUGAUAACAAACUCAAAACUAAUGUGCAAUGAAUAACUCUAGGUUGUGGAUGCAAUGAACAACACUGGGCUGUAAUGAAAUGAACAACUCUAAGAUGUGGGCACUAUACGCCUAAAGAGGGAAAUCACGGUCUACGACUCCAAGUCAAACCACUAAAGGGCGACUAGAAUAGGAUGAUCAACUCACUAAAAAUGAGAAUGCAACUAUCUCGAGAAAAGAGGGAUGCCCUAAAUGACACUCAAUAGUUAAAGGAUGACACAAAUGAAACUAAAACGAAAUGAUACUACAAAUGAAACUGAAAUGAUAACAAACUGAUAACUAAAGUGCAAUGAACAACUCUAGGCCGUGGAUGCAAUGGACAGCUCAAGAAUAGGGGAACUAUUCGCCCAAAAUGGGAGAUCGUGGUCUGCGACUCUAAGUCAAACCACUAAAGGGUGGCUAAAAUCAAAAUGAUCAAUUCACUAAAAAUGAGGAUCUGAACAUCUCAAGAAAGGGGUUAUGCCCCAAAUGAAACUGACAAUAGAGGGAUGCCCUAAACAGACUGAAAAAAGGAGGAUGCCUUAAACAAACUAACGAAAAAUGGAUGCCCUAAACAAAUUGACGGAAGUGAAAUGCCCUAAAUAAACUGACCAAAGAAGAAUGCACUAAACAAACUCCAAGAAAAAAAAAGAAGAAGUAUGCGAUAUAGAAUCAAAAACACCUAAAACAAAAACAAGAAACAAAGAAUGUGGUUUACAACUAGAAACACCCAAAAGAACCUUAAAGAAGUGACUGGGAUAAUGAACUUAAUGAAAAUGGGGUAUGCCACAGUAAAAGACUCGGAAGUAUCAGCAAAUGGAUCAAACGACCAUGAAAUCAAUAGGAGAUAUGAUGAACCCAAAAAGGGCGUAUGCCCCAACAAAAGAACACUAAAAGGGGGGUAUGCCUUGAUAUGACGACUCACAAUAAUUAAGAAAUGGAUCGAGUAAUGAGAAAAUCUGCAAAAUAUCUUAUGAACUCAAAGAUGGGGGUAUGCCCCAGUGUAAAAUAGUGACCAACAUAAGACACAGAAUGUCACCAUACAAUACACUCUGGGAUAUGCUCAAUGACAAUGUAAUGAAAACAAUAGCCUCAAUCAACAAAUGUUCAAGCAAGACCAUGCAUCACAUAAACUAAAAUAAUAGGCUAAACAAAUGCUAACCAAGUCUCUCAAUCUGAAAUGUAAGCAAGUCAAGACAUGACAUGUCAACCAUCGACAUGAAAACAUCAUCACAAAUACAUCAACAAACUAAUAGUCCCUACUAUCAUGGAAGAUGUAGAACCUAACGUCCAAAGGCAUGUGAAAACUCAACCAAAAAGCUCAAGACUAGUUUGCAUCCUCCUCUAAUAAAAAGAAUGAGAUAAGGUCAUGUAGGAUGAUGAAAUAGGCAAGCUCAAUAUUCGUUAGGCUCUACCAAGAUGGAUGUAGGUAUAAUAGUGUCAAAGGUAGGAUGUCUAGAUGUCCAACGAAGGAAACUGGGUAUCCAAGUCAAACCAAGUAUGUUGAGGAAACUGAAGCCAUAGGACAAUAACUUUAUGAUCCAUUGAAAAUAGCAAUCAUGAAUAGAAGGUCGAGUCUCGAUGUCAAAAUCAACAAGGUGGCAUUGCCCCAGUAUGAAUACAUCUUCUCAAAAUGGGUAAACCCUCAGUGCAAGAUAAUCUCUAGAUAGUAUGUGUCUAGUAUAAACUGUCAUCUCACAAAAUCUAUCACUGAUGAGUGGGCUAUACCCCAGUGUAAGCAUUUCCAAAUCAAACAUCGAUGAGAGGAGUACAACCAAUCAUACAUAAUAUGAUCAAAACAAAUCUCCACUCCUCAAAGUCAUCAUGGUAACGUGAAGAGAGUAUCUAACCUCAUUUAAAGAAAGAUCAUGUCCCAAUGUGAAAAAUAUCAAGCAAAGUGGUAUGUCUCAACAAAAAUGCACUCUAACAUGAUCAUGCCUAGAUGUAAGCUGGUAUCUUUAAGAUCAAUCACCAAUGAAAGGGUUAUGCCCCAGUAUAGGGCAAUCUCUGAAAUGACUAAAAUCCGCUACAAGCUCUCACAAGUGUCUAUGUCAUGAACCAAUCAUCUCAAAAAAUAAAUAAAUAAAUAAAUAAAUCUAUCAACAAUGAUGAGAAGGUUAUGCUAUAAUCACAUCAAGAAAAUCACUCGGUCAUAUCUUGUACUCCAAUGUGAAAGGAAAAUAUGAUCACCUCUAAAGAAUGGCUAUGCCCCAAAAUACAUCAUCGAUUGAGAAAUAUGCCCCUACGUAAAGUACAUCAACUGAAAUAUGCCAAUCAUGCCUCAUGUUCCAAUGUGAAAAAUGACAUAUAAUAUUCUUUGAGGGAUGGUCAUGACUCAAAAUCCAUCAUCAGUUGAGAGAAGUAUGCCCCGACAUAAUGGUCAUCUAAAAAAUCAAUCUCCGACUAAGAAAUGUGUGCCUUGAUGUGAUGUAUCAAGCAAACUGGCUGCAUACCCCAUAAAAAACUCUCUAAGGUGGCUAUGCUCCAAUGUUGGAUCAUACCACAACUCCUGGUCUAUCACAAUCAAAAUGCUCUCCAACCAAUCCCAAGUAUCGCCCACAUGAGAGCUAUCAAACACAAUGUGUGAUGUCAUGGCCUCAAGGUGGUCUUAAGAUUCAGGACGUAACGUAGGCUAGGGUAAUAAGGUGAAGAAAUGAAGGAAAACUAGGCUUAAUAAUCCUAAUGAUAAAACCCCAUACCCUUAUGUAUAAAAUGCAAUAUGUGCAAAGAGUCUUAUAAACCAUGGAUCUAAGGACACCCAAUAUGAAUAUAUCAGUGAGGAAGAAAGAAUCUAAGAUGAAUAUAUCAAUGAUAAAAGAGAAGAAAUGAAGAAUAUCAAACUGCUGAUGGGAUGUAUAAGAAUGAUGUGUGGAAAAUAUUGAACAUGGAAUGUAAAUUGAUAUGAACAAAGAACAAUGUAGGCAAGGCAAAUGCGAUAUCAUGAUAAGAACAAAUAAAUCGAAGAAAAAUGAAUGAACACUAAUCCACUCAAAUCAAGUCAUGGAGAAUAGUCAAAUCACCAACGUAUGUAAUGAUGGAGAAGACAAUGAUUCGAAGUCCCUAGGAAAAUGUCACUUGUUUGUCACACAUAAAAUACAUAACGAGAUAGACACAAAAAUAUGAGAGUUUUUUGAAAGUUCACAUACGAACUUUCAUAAGCAACUAACUCAAUAAAGCAACCUCAAUGACCAAUAUAUACACUCAAUAAAGGAUGACACUGUAUACAUGUGUUUAUUACUUUUUCUUUUUCAUUUUUUUCAUUUUUGUUUUUAUUUUUUUUCUUUUGCUCGCGCAUACUCUGAAUAUCAAUAAAUGAACUUCUCUGAGAAUACAUAAUGAAAUGGAUAUACUCUCAAACAAUGAUGUAAGCGAACUCUCUCUGACAAGAUGACCCUCUAAAUUAAGGAUUUUCAAACUAACGUCCAUGAGAUAGGAGUGGAAGGGGAUAUGACCAUCCUCCCUGCACCGAAAUGUGAAAAAUCAUCACUCAGGGCACAAAAAAAUGUGAUGAAAAAAAAUAAAAAAUGAAACAAAAGAUAUAAACAAUGAAGUAUGAUGAAGACUGAUGUUGGGAAGACAAAAAAAUAGUGAAGAAUGUGAGCCAAUAAGUCCACAACUCAUGAAACUCUCGAAUAAAAUAUAUAUAUACACCAAAAGACCCUUAUCCCGGUGUAAAAUGUGAGCAAGGAUAUAAGAAAGAAAAGACUAUGGUGCUCAUGUGAGGUUCAAAGGGCUAGCAACGGUCCAAAUGUCAAUAAAGGUAAUAGGGUGUGAGCUAACCAAAAUGAAGGCCACCUAUGAUGGUCUGAAACAUCAUGCUCUUAAGCUUUCAAUGAUCAAUACUGAAAAUCGAUGUCCAUUUGAUAUAAACACGUCAACCCUUUGGAAUUGUGCGCCAAACCAUACUCCAAAUGCUCCAUAAUAAUCUCAAAGAUAAUCCUCUCAAAGCAAAGUAAAUAGCGAUCUCAUAAGGCACAACUACUCAUCACAAGCCAACUCUCAUCAUGCAAGAUCAAUCUCUAUUUUCAUGGAAAAAUAAGUGACAAUCUCAUCAGGUAAUCGACGAAUCCUCACAUCAUAAACCAACCAAAGAUCAUAAGUCAUUCAUUGCCAUGCAAGAUCAAUCCCAGACUCAAACUCCUCAUACUCUACCUGGUUGGAUUAGAGAAGAAAUGGGCAAAACUAGAAAAACUGAAGAUGGAAAGGUCAUAUAAUGGUGUCAAGGGUGAUGUUGUGCAAAACUCACAAUGGAUGGAUGUAGGUCAAAGCAAAGUCAAUGUGUGAGAGUGAGUAAGGCACUACUCUGAUCAUAAGAAGAUGGGUCACAAUCUCAAACUCCUAAGGUCAAAUCUCCGAUCCUAGGCUAAUAAGCUCAACAUCCUCCAUGAUAGGUCAACCCCCAAGAUCACAAUGUGCAAAUGAAUAGAUGCCUCAAGUCAAAAGUACAACACAUCAUAUGAUAUAUGGUCCUACGAUGACAAUCUAAAACUGGAAAUAUGUUAGAAACUCUAAGGUCAUAAACGUGUCCACUGUGAGAUGACUAUAAAUGUGACUAAGGAAUCUUUAUCAAUAAUCCAAAAAAUGAAUGAAGUGUGAAAAACAACACUAUCAUGAGAUCGAUACCCCAUCAAUAACAAAAUAUCUCUAAUUCACUUUCAAUCUAAACUCUAUAAAGAAAAACGAUAAGGUUAUAAAGGCAAACCUCUCAAAAAUGGUGUGAAUGUGAAAACAUGUCUUCACCUUUCUAUAAUGAAAAUAUCAUGUUGAAAAUAGAAAUAGGCAAAUCGACCAAAGAAUGAAGUACGGAGCCCAUGACAAGUGAAGAAUGUAAAAAGGUGAACAUGAUCAAUGAACAUAUCCCAAAACAUCAAGCAUAAAGUGACAACAAACCAAAAGAAUGUGUCAACUUAAGAAAAGAAGACUAUCUGAAGCCCCAGGGAAAAAGUGUGCUAGACUCAACGAGCGACAAGAAGAAACUAAAACCAUAUAGCAAGAGGUGGUCCAACUGAUACUCAAACUCGUACCAAUAUCUAAGCACUCUCGACUGGAGACCAAAAGAUGGAGUAUUGGAUCCAUAUUGUGACUAAAGUGGCCUCGAAGGCUCUCAGAUGCACCCACGUGUAGGAAAGGAAAUCCUAGUAAAAAUAUCUAAGGCUUAACCUACAAGGUCAAGGCGGCUCUAAAAAGAAAAAUUGAGUGGACUUUAAAGGAUUCCUAGCAAAAGCGAUCAUACCCUCCGAUGGUACGCAACCUCCUACACGUCUUGAAAUAUAUGGGAGUGAUUCCAUGCAAGGUGGUCAUCACCUCCACACAUGCACUAUCUCAUAUCCUAGAGGGUUUCCUAAUGAUGAAGACUCUUACAUCUCUCAACACUUAGUGGUAAUCUAAGGUGCACAGUGAAUGGUGUGGGUUCAUCCAAAAAUCCUAUCAAGCUAAGCAAAGAGAAAACACAUUGGUCACACAAAUAUCUUGAAAUAUAGCUCUAACCUAUACAAGUCUUCAAAGAUUGGACUCCAAUUAGCAUUAAUGUUUCGACCUUCUCCAGAAUGCUCCCAAACAUAGAUAUAGUCCAUCACUAAAUCCUACUCCGAAUCACUAGCUCGGUCGAAGAGCAAACAAAGUAAUAAGUCUCAUAUCAAAUAUGAGAUCAAGGGGAACAUGGUCACCCAAGACUAGGGAAUUGAAGUAAGGGGAUAGAUGUGUGUCCCACAUAGAAAAGCAACAUGCAUCACACAGAAGAAGAAUAGUCAUGCAAUAGACAACCAAGCAAAGAACAGGUAUAUCAUUCAUAUCUACACACAAGCUAAACAAGAAAUAGGUAUUUAACAAGAAUAAACAAUAUGUUGAGAUAAACAAGAUAAUAUACAAUAAAGAGAAUCAAUCACACCAAUAUGAAUGAGAUAUACAAAAAUGAGAAUAUACAUGUCAAGGAGAACAAGAUAAUCAUACAACAAGAAGAGUCUUAUGUUAAAGCAAGCAAGAGAAUCAAUCGAUGUAGUCAACAUGUCAAUAUCGCAAAUGAACAUAACAACCAAAUAUGCAUCAUAAAGAAAAAAUGGUAAUCAUGCAGCACACAGUCAUACAAAACAAAUACAAACAAACAUAAGCAAAUAAAUGUAAACACACAUGAUAACAAAAAUCAAUGUAUAGUAAGGCACAUGCAAUAUAUACAUAAAAUAAUCAUCAAGUCAACACUCAUAUACCUUAAAACAUGAAAAUAUACAAUAAAGACACAACGAGAGGGUAUUCACUGAUCGAUUAAUCAAACACUACAUUUCCCUUAACUCAAGUUCAAGUUUGAUCCUUUAAAUAUCCCUAGUGGAGUCGCUAUUUUGUGGACCCACAUUUUUCAAAUGCGUCCUUACACAACAGCGAGACUCAUUUUUUUUAUUUGGUGAAAAUUUGAUUUUGAGAAAAAAGACUUUGAGUUGUCACUUAUUUUUGUUUUUUUUUAAGGGAAAACAAAACAAGAAAGAAAACCUUGUGUGACUCCUUAUUUGGGAAAGACAUGUAUGCAAAAACCAAAUCUGGAUUCGGGGGUCAAGUUACCUAUUGGGAAUGUACGAUGGUGAGCUGUAGCACCUCUCUAAGCUCAUAUACGUACGGUCUCUACUAAACGAAUUAAGAGAAUUGUAGUAAUUAAUUAAUUAGUCAAGGAUACCAAGAAAAAGAAUCGCACAAAUGAGUACAUACAAAUCAUGAUAAAAAAAAUCAAAUUAUAAGAAUAGACAAAAUAAAUAACAAGAGAAUUGUGCAAAGUGAUUUAUUAAACUAAAUAAAAAAGAAGAUAUUAAAAAAAUUAGUUUUCAAGAAAUUUCAAAGGAUUUUAUUAAAAUGAUUUUGAAUUAAUGAUUUUAAUUUAUUUAUUUACAAAAAAAAGUCAAUUUAUUUUCUUCAAUUGAUUUGAUUCAAUUUCAUUUGUAUUCAAUUUUUUUUUUAAAAAAAAAAAGUUAUUUACACUCAUGGUUGUUAAAAGAAUUAUUAACAAAAUUUCAAGUUGACAAUAAAAAUGAUUUUUACUUGCUUUUACUCGAAAACAAUGAAUUUUUACAAUUUUAUUAACAAAAGCAUUUCAAUUUAAGAAAAGUGACUUAAACAAAUUAUUAAAAAAAUAUAACUUUAUCUGCAAAAGAAUUUUUAAUUAAAAAGAAAAAAUUUAAAUCAUCUAUUUCUAAAAAUGACUUUUAAUCCCAUUUUAAUUAAGAAAAUUUGAGUUAUUUAAAAAAACAUUUUUUGGACAAUUUGAAUAAAAAUUAAUUUUUGGGACAACUUUAUUUACAAAAAAAAUUUUGGACAAUUAUUAUUAAAAACAAAAUUUCAAAUUCUAUUAAAAACAAUUUUUUGGAUUUUUCCAAACACAUUUUUAUGAAUUUUUAUUAAUAAAAAACUUUUUUUUAUUAAGAAGAAUAUUUUUUGAGCUAUUAUUUUAUUAAAACAUGUUUAUUGAAUUAUUCUUCUUAUUCAAACAAAAUUUUUAAUUUGUUCAAUAUCUAAUUCUGUACACAACAAGUAAAUAUAUACAAACAAAUAUUUAUAAAAACCAAUAAAAAUAAAACCAAAUAGAAGUGAGAAAUAAAACAUGUUCUUAAACAAGCUUACAACAAGCUCAAUGUCUUCUUACGACUUUUCGAGUCUCACUUUCUUUCAUUAAAUUUUAUGCUCCACGUACCAUAAAUCCGUACUCAACCAAAAAAAUUGCAGAAUUGGCCCAUGCAAAAACAAAAAUAACACAAAUGUAAAUAUCUAAAAAUGAAUAAAGUUCACAAUAGAUAUUCAAGUCCAAAUUCAAAUUUCAAAUUAGUCCAACAAAUUUCGUCAAUCAAAAUAAGUCUAAAUUAGCAAAUAUAGCCCAACAAAAAUAUCUCACAUGUCAUAGGCCUUAAUAUAAAAUUUCCAAAUUAAUAACCAAAAUAUAAGUUCAAUUAAUCAAACCCAAAACAUGAUACAUUAAAAUAAAUCUCAUUAGGCCUAAACUUAAUAUCUCAUAAUUCAAGCCUAAUUUAAUAUAUAAACCUAAAUCCACAAUCAAAAUCAACUCACUUUAUGCUAAUCCCAAUUUAUAAUCAAAAUCAAACAUAAUUUAAUAAGUAAAUAACUAAAUAAAUUAAGCAAACUCAAAACUCUCAAACCACUAUUGCAUAAUAUCAAACAAUAAUAAAUAUAAUGACAACAAUAAUAAUAAUAAAAUAAAAUAAAAAAAUUUAACUCACGUUGGAGCCAGUUUGAGUGUCGUGGGAAAGAAAAAAAAUGAGAGAAAAGUGGGAGAUGAUCGUUAGCUGGUAGUGGCUUGCCGGCGGCGACUGGUCGAUAGUCCUACUGGCGGUAGUGAGGAUUGAUGAGUUUUUGGGAAAGGAAAAAAAAAGAGGAGUAAUAAAAAAAAAAAAAGAGAAAUGAGAGGAAGGUGGGAUAAGAGGGGAGAGAGAGAAUGAAGAAAAUAGGGGAAAAUAAAUGAGGCCGGCCGGAGGAGGAAGUGGUAGUGUGUGUGAGCUAAAGUGAAGAAGAAUGAAAGAAGAAGAAGGAGAAAAAUGGGAAAAAAAUUCGAGCCCUCUAAAUGAAGAAAGGUGAGUAGCUUAAAGAAGAAAAAUAAAAAUAAAAAAAGAAAAAAUGAGGAGAAAAUGAGAGGGCCAGUAGUCUUGGGAAUGGGGUGGUAUAGGUGAGAGAGAGUGGGCGAGGUUGUUGGGGAAGGUAUGGGAGAGAGAGGAGAGAUAAAAGAAAGAGAAAAAAAAACAUAAUAAUAAUAAUAAUCAUAAAUAAUAUAUAAAAUAAUAAAAAUUAAUAUUUAAAUGAUGAGUGUGUCAAAAAUAUUAUAUGUAAUUGGGAUUUAAUUUUAAGAGUAAAAUUGAACUAAAAAUUAAUGUAAAAAUAAAAUUUGAACAAAUUUUAGAAUCUACAAAUACAUUCUUUAAUCUUUCCACAACAUCAAUCUGAUCUAAAUGAAAUGCAAUAAAUUCUAAAAAUGAUACAAUCUUUAAUCAAUCCACAACAUCAACCCGAUCAAAACUCAAUGCAAUAUUGCUUAAUGGAGAGAAUCGUAAAAUCCUUUUAUGAGAGGAAAAAAAAACCCUUAACAGACCUUUAUGAGAGGAAAAUAGGAAAACAUAGAACUAAAAACCCUUAACGUAUUCAUGAGAAUAAAAAAAUCCUUAACACCUUAAUAAGAGGAAAACAAAGAAUUUGAACAAUCCUUAAUCCAUCAAAAGCUCUUAAUAUGAACGAGGGGAAAACAUAACCUUUAUUUUUCAUAUCAUUGAAUACAGAAUCUAAAGAGAUAGAAUUUUUAGUUAUUAAGGAUUUUUUUAUAAAUGUCUAUUGAAAGUUUAAGAACUUUUAUGGAUAAGUGUUAAUUAAGAGACUGAAAGGGUACUUAGGAUUUUCAACUAAAAAAGUUAUAACAAUAUGAAUCGUAAGAACUUAAAAACAUCACCCAUCCAUAAGAGGAAUAUGGAAUGAGAGGUUAUUUUUUUACUUAUACAACAAUAAACUUUUUUGGAAGAGGUUUUUCUAAGUACAAAAAGUUAUGAAUAAAAAACCAUUGUUACGAUGAGUUAACUAAAAUAGAAUUAAUUUAGAAAAUAUCAAUAAAGUUGCAUGAAUUAUUAUCAUGAGUUAACUUAAUAAGAAUAAAUAGUAAUAAAGUUAAUGAAGUGAAUUUGGAUUGGCAGAUAUAUUUGAUGAUAAGAUUUUUUUAAUAAUAAAAAAUUAUUAUGGCAGGAAAAAUAGGACAAAAUUGACCUUAUGAUAAGAUUUUUUUAAUAAUAAAAACAUUAUUAUGGUAUGAAAAAAAGGGACAAAAUUGGCCUUUCCUUAAUUGUACCGGUUAAUGGAAUAAUGGGACAUGCGGUGGUUACAAGCCACCCCAAAAGGUAGGAAGAAUCUCCAACCCCCAUUCUCGGCUCCCUUAUCUUUUCCCUUACAACCAAAAAUCAACAACUAUCUUAGAAUGUCCUUCAGUCCACCAAAAUUCAACAACAACAUUACAAUAAUGAAAACAAAAUUGAUUGAUCACCAGCUAACAUUAGGAGAUUAUAAGAUAAGGAUGUAAUUGCAAUUAUUGAAAUCACUUAAAGAGUAAAAGUUAGGAACAUGCUCACAAUAAAUAAAAUCACCUUAGAAUUAAAAAUUAGGGACAUGAUUAUGAUGAUUAAAAUCACUCGAGAACUAAAAUGUUUUAGAGAUACAAUAAUUGAAAUCAACUGAAAAAUAAAUUCGGGAUGUGAUCGCAAUUAAUGUAUAUAUAAACAACCAAAUGUUGAAAGGAAAAACUAAUGAAAUUAAUAUGAUUUUCUUUUAGAUUUCUCUUGACACCAAACAAAUGUAAGGAAGUUUAUAAAGGAAAAUUAGGUUUUGAUUCACUAAAUUAAAAUAAUAUAGAAAAAAGAUCUUCAAAUUUUAUAUAUCAGUUUUAUUUUUAUUUAUUUAAAAAUAUUUUAAAAUACAUAUAUUUUUUCAUAACUCAAAUAGUCAUUCCUCAAAUGCUAGUUUUACUUGUUAUGUUAAUAACACUAGUUAAUAAUUUUUUAUUGUGAGAACGAUUUAAGAUUAAUAAAAUAAGAAAAUUUUAAAACUAAAAAGACAUUUAAAACUUUAAAAUUAAAAAUAUAAAAAUAAAACAAUAAUUUUUCAUUUAGUAAAACACGCCAGUAGAAAAUAUAGAUAUAGAGAAAGAGUUGGAAAUAAAAUAAGAGUUAAUAUUUUAUUUUUAAAAUUUUAUGUUUUUUAUUUUAAUUGUAUUUAAUUUUAUGUAUUUUAGUUGUAAUUAUAUUUUUAAUUUUUAAAUUUUUUUUUAUUUUAUUGUUGAUGUAAACUAAUAAAUUUUUUGUUCAAUUAUAUAUAUAUAUAUAUAUAUAUAUAUAUAUAUAUAUUUAAAUUAGUGAGUAAAAACCCACUUUUUCUAAUUUAUAAUAUAUUUAUGGGAUUUUAUAAUAUAAGAAAUUUUUUUUUAGAAAGAGGAAAAAUCAACAUUUCAAUUUCCCUUCAUUAUUAUUAUUAUUAUCCAAUUUGGUUGAUUAUGAGAUUAGUUGGUAUCAUUACUAUAUCCAUUUGUCCUUAACCCUUCAUUAGAAUAGUAUUAGGAGUUGAACGUCAGUUGGAAUACAGGCUAUGGAAACAAAUCUAUCCGAUUAGUAGGUUCUUGUUAUUUUCAAUAUAGACCCCAUAAAAUAAAUAGGAGAUAUGAGAUAAGACUGUGACAAAAUUGGCGGUUACUUCCCGACACCUGGCUCUCCACAAACAAACCCAGUGAUCCAGAAAUUAAUUGGUACCUGGACACGUGACUACCAAACGUUCGCUCACCCACCAUACCCAUGGCCUCAUGCCCCAUAUAUUUCCACAAACCUAGCUCAAUUUUCAUAGCCACCUUCACUGUCCUACACUCACUAAGCCAUGGCCAUAGAUACAAGCCUCUUGCUUGAGUUUGCUGCAGCAACUCUACUCUUCUUCAUCACCCGCUUCUUCAUUCGUUCUAUCCUUCCCAAACCUUCCCGGAAGCUCCCCCCUGGCCCCAAAGGGUGGCCGCUCCUCGGCGCUCUUCCUCUCGUAGGUAACAUGCCUCAUGUUGCAUUAGCAAAGAUGGCCAAAAGAUACGGGCCUGUCAUGUUCUUGAAAAUGGGCACUAACAGCAUGGUGGUGGCCUCAACUCCCGAGGCGGCUCGGGCUUUCCUUAAAACGCUAGACAUUAAUUUCUCUAGCCGCCCGCCUAAUGCCGGUGCCACACUCUUGGCCUAUCAUGCCCAAGACAUGGUUUUUGCGGAUUAUGGGGCAAGGUGGAAGCUACUGAGAAAGCUAAGCAACUUACACAUGCUUGGUGGAAGGCUCUUGAGGACUGGUCUCAGGUCCGAGCUGUUGAGCUAGGCCACAUGCUUCGAGCCAUGCUUGAGUUGAGCCAGCGAGCGGAGCCGGUGGUGGUGCCGGAGAUGUUAACUUUUUCCAUGGCCAACAUGAUAGGGCAAGUGAUACUAAGCCGCCGGGUGUUUGAAACAAAAGGGUCGGAGUCAAAUGAGUUCAAGGACAUGGUGGUGGAGCUCAUGACCACUGCUGGGUACUUCAAUAUUGGCGAUUUUAUUCCGUCCAUCGCAUGGCUGGACAUCCAAGGGAUCGAGCGCGGGAUGAAGCAUUUACAUAAGAAGUUCGACAAGUUAUUGACAAGGAUGAUAGAGGAGCACACGGCAUCAGCCCAUGAGCGCAAGGGAAACCCAGAUUUUCUGGACGUAGUCAUGGGCCAUCAAGGAAAUUCUACAGGGGAGAAGCUCACCCUUACCAACAUUAAGGCGCUCCUCCUGGUAUGCAUAGUUAAAGCUUGUCUUUAAUUUUGUUUUCCGAUAUUUUCUUUCCGGAAACAGCACUUUUAUUGCUUUUAUAUCAGGUAGCCAUUUUAGGGGCACAUCACUGUUCUUUAUUUGCAUUUUUUUUUGUCUUUUUUCACUUGCAUGGUUGUUUUCAUAUGCUCAGCUGCAUGGCACAGGAAAAUUGGGAAAAAUGAUUGGUUCUCUGAUCAGACCUUCUGCACCAAAACACACUUCUCUCUAUUUUAUAAAAUCAAGAACAUUUAUGGUUUACAUGAAUUUUCGAACUUGAACUUUUGCUAGGGCUAAUGCAUGGAUCUCAAUUUUCAAUUGCGUUUGAUUACAUAAAUUUCAAGUAUGUCACCACAUUUUUGUUUCCUUGGCUAGAAUUUAUUUACUGCAGGAACAGACACUUCAUCAAGCGUAAUCGAGUGGUCUCUGGCUGAGAUGUUGAAAAACCCGAGCAUCCUCAAGCGUGCUCACGAAGAAAUGGAUCAAGUGAUUGGAAGGAGCCGGCGGCUCGUGGAGUCUGACUUACCAAAACUUCCAUACCUACAAGCCAUAUGCAAGGAAAGCUUCCGGAAGCACCCAUCCACCCCAUUGAACCUUCCUCGUGUCUCAACCCAGGCAUGUGAAGUGAACGGCUACUACAUCCCAAAGAACACUAGACUUAGCGUGAACAUAUGGGCAAUCGGGCGAGACCCUGAUGUCUGGGAAAGCCCGGAAGAAUUCAGGCCAGAAAGGUUUUUAAGUGGAAGAAAUGCAAAAAUUGAUCCUCGUGGAAAUGAUUUUGAGUUGAUCCCGUUUGGGGCUGGACGAAGGAUUUGUGCUGGCACUAGAAUGGGAAUAGUGCUAGUUGAGUACAUUUUGGGGACGUUGGUACACUCAUUUGACUGGAAAAUGCCGGAUGGAGUUGAGAUCAACAUGGACGAAGCUUUCGGGCUUGCUCUGCAGAAGGCAGUUUCUCUUUCGGCUAUGGUGACACCAAGGCUUCACCAGAGUGCGUAUGCAGUCUGAGCUCAAGCUGUUCAGACCAAAACCCAGGCCUAGCUACUAUAUGGCAUGGAUUUGUUUCAGUUUCCUUUGGGUUAGUAUAACGGUAUAAGAUGUAUUAGCUCAAAGAUUGGGAGUUUCAUUCUACCACCAUGCCAUAUGCCUAUCCGUGAUCUAUAAAUUUAGCUUCAGUUUGGUUAUAGUUUCUAUUUUUCUUUUGUCUUCGUAAUCAGUAAAUAAUAGUAACCUUUAUAUAAAAUAUAGUAACUCUUGCAGCUAUUAUACCAUGUACAAUAAAAGUACAGUGGUUUUGGAAAAUACAAUGAAACAGUGAGUUUGAUUUUUUAUUUUUUAUUUUUUAAUAAAAUAAAAUGUUGGAAAAGAGAAGUAAAUAAAGGAAGAUAUAUUAAGAGUCUAUUUGACAUUACUUAUAAUGAAAGUGUUUUUAUUAUAAGUGUUUUCUUUAUUAUAAGUGUUUAAAAAUCACUUUGAUGAGAAUUUAAAAAAAUGAUUCUAAUAGUGUUUUUAAUAAUAUAUUAUAUAAGUAAAAACCACUUUUAAUAAUAAUAAAUUACUAUAAAAAAAAAGACAUUUAUUAUAAAAAGAAAAUAUUAUAAUAAACCAAAAACUUUUAUUAAAAAAAAUAUAUACAAAUAUUUAAUUGUUAAAAAAACUCAAAAAUUAUUUUUAUGAAAAUGAAGUGAAAGAGGAAGAGGAGAGUAAGAAGAAAAAAGAGAGUUAAAAGGAAAUGGAGGAUAGCGAGAAAUUUUAUUUUAGGAAUAUAUAAAAAAAAUUUGAAAUAUUUUUUUAAAGAAACACCUCUCAAGUGCUUUUCUAAAAAAACACUUCAAGUGCUUUUCUAAAAAAACACUUCAAGUGUUUUUUAAAAUUUUCAUAAGUGUUGUUCAAAAUAUUGUCAAACACAUAUUUUUUUUAUCUUAAAAAAGCAUUUAAGUGUUUUUAGGGCUAAAAGCACUUCUAAAAAGCAUUGCCAAACGAGCUCUAAAUAAUUCAUAUUUCCUUGAAUUUAUAUUUUUAUUUUCUCUCUAUGAAUUUUCCUUUAUUUCAAAUACAAAAUAUAUUUUAAAAGGUUAAUUUUAUUUACUUGUCUUAAGGUUUUUGUUAGAUACACUUAAUUAUCAUUUAUUUGAAAUUUCAUUAAUUAUCUUUCUUAUCCUUUCCGUUUCUUAAUUUGUCAUGUACUUGAGAAAGUCAAUUUCAUUAUCAUCUUUACUUCUUGAACCUUGACUUAAAACUCCAACUUCACACAGGAUAUGAUAUAAAUUAAGAAAAGACUUAUUAAAAGUAGUAACGUUCUACUUUAGUUUAAAAAUGUUAACAAAAAUUAGAGGAGAAUUAACUAAAAUAUACUGAAUUUUAAAUCAAGCUAACAUAUUAUAAACCAUUGGAAAACCCACGUGAUUAAAUAGCUUUCUUGUAGUCUGACAAAGGAAAGAAAUUACCUGAAAAGAAUGGCAAAAAUGGAACUGCAUCUUAUGACCUAUAAUCACAUGAUUUCCACACUUAGAGCAUCCAUUGCCAAGAAAGACGUCGAUCAUAUCACCUUAAUUUUGUAAUAAUUCAAUGCCUCUUUUUGUAAAGCCAUAUCAUAAAUAUAAUGAAAUUAAAAGACAAAUUAAUCAAUCAAAUAAUAAAAUUUUGAAAUUUACAUGGUAGUAGGUGAGGGAAUUGUUCAGUUAAGAAUGAAGAGAGACCACACUCGAGGAAAUAUUAUUGAGGGCAUAGAUGUUGACUUUCCAUAUUCACACCUAAUUAAAAAGGUGAUUAAGAAAAUAAACAAAAACAACCCAAAAAGAGUGAAAGAUAUAUUGUUAGGAAAGAUUGUUCAAAAUGAUCCCGAGUUAUAAAAAUGAACUCUUUCAUUAAGAUGACCUUUUUGAAUACUUUUAUCCUUCUUUUUUUUUUUUCUUGCCUUCAAAAUUAUAAAUCUUUCCUUUAUUUAUGUUAUUUUAUUUACUUUAUUAUUUUUCUAAUUUUUCAUUUAUUUCUUCUACUUACUUUUUCUCUUCUAUGAAGUCUUUCAUCUUUAGUUUAGUCAUGUCUUAUGAAGCUAAUUGUAUUUCCCUCCUUAGCUUACUCUCUAAGUUGUUAGUAAUCCUUGAUCUCAUCUCAUAAUGCACUAUCCCACGAUUCUUUCUUGCAGUCCAUUUUUAUUUUCAUUCAAGGUGUUCAUUAAAAGUACACAAGGGCUAAAUUUAAAUUAUAAGAGUUAAUUUCAAUUACAUUCCCUCAAGUUUUGGCUUAGAUACGCCUUACUUCAACUUAUUUGAAAUUUCAUCAAUUAUCUCUUUUAUUUUAAGUGAAAGGGGAGGUGAGUAUAAUUAAUAAAUGAAAAGGUAGGGGAUAUAUUUGAAGAAAUUUCAAAUUAAUGGGCGAAGGUGUAUUUAGCUUAAAUAUCAGGGAAAGCGAAUUAAAUUAAUCUUAUAAAAAACUUAAUUGAGAUUAAAUUCUCGUUAAGUAUCGUUACUUAAUCUAUCAUGAGAUUAAGUUCAAAAUCAUAAUAUAUAGUGAUGAGAUCUCAAACUUCAUAUCUUAACACAGUCAAUUGAACUUAUCUUGAUGAGUUUGAAGUCUCAAAAUUGUUUUGAGAUCCCUAACUAAAAAUAAUUGCUAAGGCCCUUAAUUUUUUUAUUAAAAUGUCUGUGAGCUUGAUUGAGAUCAAUUUGGAUUACUUUUAGAGAUUCUAGAGGAAUUUAGAAGAAUAUAUAAAGGAAAAAACUUAGGGAAGAUGAAAAGUGCUAGUUAGAGCAGCCUUCUAUUGCACCAGAAGAAGUGGGCGCACCCUUCUACUAUGUCAAAAGGACUUGACGCAUCUGUAUAAGUACGCUAGGAAGGAAAAUAAAGCAACAAGCCGGCCUUUGACUUGAGAAUUGGAGAACCCUCUCCCAGACUUAAGUGGCACACCUUUUAAGUGCGCCAAGGAAAAGAAAGAGUUGUGGCUCAACCCCAUCAAGGAUUGAUAGGCAUACUCCGUCCACUAAAGAUUAAAUGUGUUAGCACAUCUCUUAUCUCUCUCCAUGAACAAAUGGUGCAUUUAAUUAUACAUACACUGUAAGCAUUGGGCUGCCUAUCCGAUGGUGCAAUUCAAAAGCUGUGGCAUGUUUGGUCAACGUAUGAGAAGCAUCCUCUUGCAUCCAACAAUCUUGCAUGGGUGGGGCACACCCAACCUAAGUGUUCUCGAAGUUUGGAUGGUGUUGGAGCUGUUCUUUCCAAACUUCCAGCUUCUUCUUGUCUCACGUUCACCUGCAAUGCAAGGUUUACCCGGUGAAGCCCCGGGCAGACCCCUCCGAUGGUUAAGUCUGUUGGAGUGUGAGAAGCCAACUUCUUUUUAAUUUUUCUUCUUAGCUGUGUUCUUAUACAUCUCUUCACUUACCGCCGGGACCGGAGAUAAUGGGGGCAUUUUCACCACAUCACUGCCCACUUCGCCACCUUCUCAUGGCAGCAAGCUUUUUGGGCUAACCGCUCCCACCAUUUUUGGCGGCUAGCCCCUUCAACACCUUUCACAUUACUUACCAUAUUUCUUUCUGGGCCAGAGACUCUGUCUAGUCCUCCAAAUUCACCUCUUAAUUUUAAAUGCUUGGGCCCAGGCCCAUUGGUCCAAAUUCGGCUCUUAAUUUUUAUCCCUUGGAGGAGUGUUUUUAGUUUUUCUUCUUGAAAUACUUUGCAGGUACAAAACUGUAUGAGCUUUUUGUUCAUGGAGUUCUAUGGGAUUCUUCGAAAAUGAAUGAAAUUCAAUUUUAAAAGAAGUCUUUUGUUUCUUUGCUUGAGUAAUUUUUUACCUUAAGUUUAAUUUCCCUCGCAUGUUCUAUCCAUGAAGCACUAAUUCACUUUACUGUUGUGGGUUGAAAGGGGUUGUAUCCCUUGCAACUCAAUUUAGUCCUCAAUGGUUUCAAAGGGUAGCGGAUAGGGAGGUGAAGUUCAUGAUUGCAGCAAAUGCAUGCAUGUUGUAGCAUUCUGAGAGCCCUAAGCUAAGCAACUCCAUGAGCAUGUUUGUACCUUAUAUAUUUAGCUUUCACUUCCCUUUGAGGUUGAAAAUACUAGGUGUUACACGGAAAAACGAAAAUAGGCAAUAAGAAAAUAUGAAUAAUUUAUGUGAAAAAUCCUAAACAAAAAAACUAAGGAUAAAGAAAAUCCACUAAAUUAAAAAUUGGUACAAAAACAGAAAGAAUCCAACGACUAUUGUAUAAUCCUAAAUCCUAUACACUAUCGCAUAUAUAUAUGAGAAAAAAUAAAUAAAGCAGGUCCAUAUCGUAGGGGCAAUCCUCUGCACCCACAACAAAAUCAAUAAUGGGUUAAAGUAUAAUUUUUCUUCACCAUAUAUAUCAUACCACAAAUUUUUCAAGUCAAACCAAAAAACAAUUCAUAUCAUCAAGCUCUAACAUUAAAAAAAGAUGAAAACAAAUCUUUGUAUUAUGGUUAUGGGAGUAACUUUAAACCUUAAAAUUCUCAUUCAAGCUUUUCCAAAUGAAAUAUAUUAAUAUUAAGUUUUAUUUAAAUAAUCUAUUUUUCCGCAGAUAUAACGAUGAGUUGAAAUUUAGACUUAUUUAAUUUGUUUAUGUCAAACAUUCAAAUCUAAAAUACAUAUAACAAAAGAUCAUGGGAAUUUAUAAUAUAAACAAUUUUUAUGCAAAGGGCCAAUUGUAAAUAAUAGAAUACUAUUUUCAAAAGAGAUCCAAAUCAAGUCGUUGUUUUUAAUAAAUAAAUAAAUAAAAUUUUUGUUUCAUUUGGAAGAUGGUGUUAAAGAGCGACUGAAUCAAAUAACUUGCUCAACCGGCAAAGCUGAGCUGGUCAACUUGACUCGCUUAUAUAUAUACGUAAUUGGGGAAAAAAUGUCAGAUGAGGGGGCGGAUUAGGUCACUUGGGGGGUGCCGGGUGUAGAUGGAAGAAAGAAGUACGUAUAUAAUAAUAAUAAUUGGAGGGUUGACGUUGUCUUGAGAGCAACCGAUGAUGAUAACCCAUGCAGUAUUUUUGUCAUGGGAGAAUUAGGGUGGGGGUGGCCGUAAAAAAUAAUGACUAUGAAGCUCACUAUUUUAAAGGAAAGUUUUACUUUUAAAUAUAUUCUUUAUAUUAUUUAUAAAUAAAUUAAGAUUGUCAAUGAUGUGGGUCCAUAUAUGAUGAUAAGUACAAGUUGAUAAAUUAUGUGGGGCUCAUAUAUGAUAAUAAGUACAGGUUGAUAAACAAUCAACGGUACAUUUCUCAGCUUGAAAAAAUUGUUGUCACUUUUGAACAAUUGACGGUUUAAAAAUUUACUAUUUUUUUUUCAAAAAAAAUUAAGAUUUUUUAAAGAACCUUGCAAAAAAAAUAAUUUUUAAUAUCUCAUAAAUAAAAAUCAUAUCCUAAAGUUAUUAUGUCGUUUUAUAUAUAAAACAUACAAUUAAAAACUUUGUUAUCAUAAUAUAAUGAAUAAUUAUUUUUUAAGAGCACUCAUCAAUUGAAUAACAUAUAAAUAUUCAAUUGACUAAUACACACCUAUUAAAUGAAAUAACUCACAAUUAUUCAUGGGGUAAUAUAGCACGUGAAAAAAUUAAAUAAAAAUAAAUUAAAUUAUGUUGUAAUAUAUUGUAAUGAUAGUGUAUUUAUAUUGUAAGUAUAAUGCAUUUAUAUCGUACCUAUAUUUAAUUAAAAAAGUAAUAAUUCUAAAAAUGUUUAUUCAUACCCUAUUGGUAUUAACACAUCGUAUUAAUAUAUUAACAACAUUUAUUUAGUGUCUUGAAAUUAUUUAAUAAUUUUUUUAUAUAUAUAAACUACGUGAAUUCAAAUUAGUAUUUCAUUUGAUUUCAAAAAUUAUUUAUGAUAUAGGUAUGUUGUGAAAUAUGGUAUAAUCAUAUAAAAUUACAAUUUUAAUAAAAAAUUUCAUAAAUUUUUUAAUUAGGUUUUAUUGUAAUGUAAGUGUAUUUAUAUUGUAAUUAUAACAUAUUUUUGUUGUACUUGUAUUUUAUAAUAAAAGUAAUAAUCUUGAGGAUCAUCUUUUAUACCUUAUUAAUAUUCAACAUAUCAAAUAUAUUAACAUUAUUCACUCGAUGCAUUGAGAAAAACAAAUUUAUAUGAAAUUUAUAAAAAAAAAACACUAUGCAAAGGAAAAAAAAUCAUAUAAAUUUUUUAAAAUUAUUUUAUUAUAAAAAUAAAAAAUGAUUAAACAUUCUCUACCAUUUUCUUAUUCUUUUUAGAGAAUUUGAAUGAAAAAUUAAACAUUUUAUCUUCCUUAAAUUUAAUACAAAAAUAUAAUUUAUCAAUUUAAAAUUAUAAUAUAUAUAUAUAUAUAUAUAUAUAUAUAUAUAUAUAUAUAUAUAUAUAUAUAUAUAUAUAUAUAUAUAUAUAUAUAUGAAAAAAUCAUCAUUUUUAUUAUAUAAUUAUAAAACUUAUUUUAAAAAUUAGAAUAAACAUAAAAAAAAAGGUAAAAAAACAAUAAAUGAUAUUUUGAAAAUAAUUUUUAAAAGUAUUUUUGUUUUAAAUAGUAAAUUUAAAUAACAAAUUAUAUAUAAUUGUAAGAGUUAAACCCAAAAUUUUGAUUUAAAAUUUAAAUAUUAUUAAUUACAAUAAAUAUAGGACCCAUAUACCAUAAAUGUAUUGACAAAUCAAGUGAAGUGCUUUAAAUGCUUUGAAUUUUAAAAGUUUUAGCUAAAGGACAAUUUUGGUAUAUUAAGCCUAUUAAAAUCCUUCUCAAGAAUUAUUAAAAUAUAUCACCCUUUCUAAUAAUUGUUCUGCCUAACCUAUUUUUAGGUAAUUCUCCCUUUUUUUCAUUCUCAUCCAUCUUCACGGGACUUCGUCUACCAAAUAUGACAAAUAUUAUAUUGUUAUAUUGAAUAUAUGUACUAAAAAAUAGAAAUGGGAUGAUGCACAUGGCCUGACGUGUACGUUAUUAAUUUGUUUUUGUCUACGUUUGUUUGUUUGUUUUCGUUUUUCUGUUUAUAUACGUAAAGUCAUUUUUUUCCUCUUCAUGGAAUUCUUUUUGAUGAAAAAAUUAGAGGAAAAAACACAGAUUUAACGAUAAAUUAUCCAUGUUCAUGACAAUAAGAAAAAAGAGUUUCACUAUAUAUAAAAUUAGGAUUACAUUAAAAGGUAUUUAUAUUAAUUAAAAAUAUGAUAUUAAUCAUAAUAUUUAUAAUAGACAUAUCAUAUCAAAUAAAUUAUCCAAUUUUUUAUUAUAUUAAUAGAUAAAUUGAAGUUUUUAUGGUAAAUUUAGAUUAUUUGAUAUCACAAAUAUUAUAACGUUUAAAAAUUAAUUUUAAUAACUAAGUUGUGUUUGGUUUAAAAACCAAUUUUUAGUUUUCAUUUUCCAUUUUCAUUUAUGUUUUUUCUUUUCUUAAAAAUAUCUUUGAUUAAGAAAAGUAAAAGUAGUAUUUUAAAAAAGUAAACUUAUAAAAUCUUGUUUGAUUUUAAGCUUUCGUGAAUGUAAAAACUUGUGAAAAAGUAAGCAUUGUUGUUAGUACUCUUAAAUAUUAAUUAAAUAUGACUAAGUGGAUGAUGUCUAUAUCACUUCUCCUGCCAUCGUCACCCAGUGCUCCAGAAAGAAACUGGAAUCUGGACGCGUGAUUAACAACUUCGCUGAUCGCCUACCAUUCCCAUGGCCUCAUGCCUUAUAUAUUUCCACAAACCUAGCUCAAUUUUCAUAUCCACCUUCACUGUCCUAUACUCACAAGCCAUGGCCAUAGAUACAAGCCUCUUGCCUGAGCUUGCUGCAGCAACUCUUCUCUUCUUCAUCACCCGCUUCUUCAUUCGUUCUCUCUUUCCCAAACCUUCCCGGAAGCUCCCUCCUGGCCCCAGAGGGUGGCCGCUCCUCGGC
rnacentral:lncRNA from 1 species